AUUUAUAUAGGUUGUCAUAUUCUCUUAAACAAAAAUUAUAGGUAAUUUAUAUUUUAUACAAAUGAAAAAGUAAAUUUUAACCUAUGAAAUUGAUUUAAACAACUGAAGAUUAAAACCUAGUAUUAGAAAGGAAAACUAAAUUAACACCAAUUUGCCCAAAAUUAAACCAUGUAUUAUACUAAAUUAAUUCACAAGAGAGUUCCACAUCACUCAAAUAUUAUCUCGCACUCAAAUUCACAAAACUCACUUUCCAGGUACAAAGUUUGUAGCAUAUGACCAUGCAUUGUUUGCAACCGGGUCCGCAAGAUGGUCAGCGAGGUUCUCCAAUGGUCCCUUUCCGGUAACAAUGGCUUGAACAAAGAAUCCAAACAUAGAGAACAUGGCUAGUCUGCCGUUCUUGAGCUCCUUCACUUUCAGCUCAGCAAAUGCCUCUGGGUCAUCAGCCAGACCCAAUGGGUCGAAGCUACCACCAGGGUAAAGUGGGUCAACUACCUCACCAAGAGGUCCACCAGCAAUUCUGUAACCUUCAACUGCACCCAUCAAGAUCACUUGGGUAGCCCAGAUGGCUAAAAUGCUUUGUGCAUGGAUCAAACUUGGGUUCCCCAAGUAGUCAAGACCACCCUCACUAAAGAUCUGGGAUCCAGCCUUGAACCAGACAGCCUCACCAAACUUGACACCAUUACGCGCCAAGAGUUCGGGGAAGACGCACCCAAGAGCUCCGAGCAUGGCCCAUCUGCUGUGGAUGACCUCAAGCUCACGGUUCUUGGCGAAUGUUUCAGGAUCAGCAGAGAGCCCAGCAGUGUCCCAACCGUAGUCACCGGGGAACUCACCGGUCAGGUAAGAUGGGGCUUCGCCGGAGAAUGGGCCAAGGUACUUAACACGGUCGGGGCCGUACCAUGGACUUCCUGAUGGUGCGACUUUCUUGACUGCUGUCUUCCUCAUGGAAACCCUUCCAUUUCCGGUAAUUUCAGAACCAGAUGGUGCUACUUUCACCGCCUGUCCGACGAAAGAAGAGGAUAGUGCCAUGGUGGAAGCUGCCAUUUUUGUGAGAUUUGUUUUGAAGAUGUUUUGAUGAUAUGAUAGUAUUAUGAGUGAUGAAGAUGUGUGGAUCUGGAACGUAGAUUUAUAGGGUGGUUUUUGGGCCAGGUAGUUGAUCAAUGCUUAUCUUGAUACACUCUUUAACUUCAUUUUGAUUGGCUACCAAGAUUUUAGUUCUAUCAGAGGGUAUAUAAUUUGUGUGGUUCAAGUUCUCUGGUCCACGGGAGAUAUUUGAAGGGGCAGCGAUAUUCAUGGCUCUGGCUUAUUGAGCGAAUAUAAUGGCUCGCAUUCUCAGCCACUAGCUAGUCUUGGUGGGGUUUUAGCCAGUCUUUGUGCGGUUUUUCAUGUUUAACCAUUACCAUAGUAUCGACUAAGUUUAGUCCAAACAUGCAUUGAAGUUCAGUAGAUUUGUAUUAUCAUUUUGUUUUUUAUACAAAUUUAUCAUUUUCGUACAUAAUAUAAACUCUAGGAAAAUUAAAUAGAAUAUAUUUUGAGAUAUUGACAACAUUGACCAAAUAAUAAAAAAACGUAACACACCAUUCUAAAAAAUAACAUAUAACCAUGAUGUCCGAAAAAAAUAUAACAUAUAACCAUGAUUUUCGAAAAACAAAAUUCUUGAAGAUGUACAAUUUUCGAAGGUACUAUUUGGUGACUAAUUUUAAAAGAAGCCAUUUUCAAAAUGUAAUAUUCUCGAAGUGAUUAUUUCAGCUACUUAAGGUGAUGUUGAUUUCAAAUCUCUAACAUGACAAAAAGCUUCCCCAACAAAUCUGAAGCAUGGACAUUUCAACCUAAAGAUGGGUGAGGGAAGUUCUUUUAUUGAUCAUCUUUUGUUUUCUAACAGCUUGUAGAACAUCUAGAAAUAUUGGAUGCCACAUAUGAAAAAGAAGACUUGCCGUUGUUCCUAUUGUCAUCUUUAACAAAUUCAUAUGAUGACUUUUGUGAUAAUAUUAUCUAUAGCUGAGACACCAUUGUCUUGGAUGAGAUCAUGACCACUUUAGACUUGAACGAAAGGAUGAAACUUAUCAUUAGUGAUAGUAAUGGUGAUAUAAAGGACGAAGGUCUCCAAGUAAGAGGAAGAUAUAUGUAGGGAAGUAACGAUUCCAAAUCCCUUAACAAGUCAAGAUCCAAGUCCAAAGAGAAACGUAUAUAGUGCAAAUAUUGUGUGUCUGUUGAAGCUGAUGUGGCCGAGAUCGUCUUUGAUGGCGAGCUUCUAGAAUUAUUUCUGACGAUGGUUAUUUGAUUACCACGAACGGUGGGUUCUUGAAUUUGUGCGUGCUUUUCACAUGAGUCCAAACAAAUACUAUUGUCACACCACAUUGAAAAGGAUAGUUGAUGCCAAGUUUUAAUAGGCAACGUCGACACUUCCUCCCUUAUUUUAGGACAAGCCACAAUUAGAUUUUGAAUGUUCGAUGGUGUAGUAAGUGUUGGGUUUCUAUAACAUCAAGUACACACAAACAAGGUAGUGGAAACAAUGAAAUGAUAUACCUAAGUGCAUAUGCUCUUUAGAUCUAGGUUUUACUAGUUUUAGCAAAAUACUUAAAAAUCAACAUAAAAUAAAGAUAAAACACUUACUUUUUGUUCAUUUGUAACGUCAUAAUAAAUACUCUCUCCGUCCCAAAAUUAUUGUUCACAGACAAAAAAAAAACACACAGAUUAAGAAAACAUUAAUUACUACUAACUUUAUUCAAUAAAAUGACAGUUAUGUCCUUAUUUUGCAUUUAAUGUUCGAUUAAAUGCUUAGUUGGUUAAGUAAUAAUAAUAAAGUGUAUUUUGGUAAAAAAGUUAUUUAUUUUUAUAAGUGGACUAUAAUUUUAGGACAAACCAAAAAGGAAAGAUGGACUAUAAUUUUGGGACGGAGAGAGUAAUAAUUACUAAAAUAAAAUCCUAAAAUAGGAUAAUCUAUAGCCGUGCGCGCUGCGGACUAUAUAAUACAAGUUUCUUAUUAAGGAAAAAUAGGAAAAAUCACCCGAGUCGUCCGUAAGUCAUAAAAAUAAGUGUGCCAAAAUGUAUAUAUUAUUAUAUAUUCAAAAAGUACAUGUCGUCCUGAUCCCGAAAAUAUAAAUUUCGUAGAAAUCUUAGUUCAUAUGAAGACGAUAUGAAUUUUAUAAGACAUAAAAAUCAACAGCCUAACUAAAAAUUAUUAACGUCAAAAUGUACAAAGAGAAUGGUUGACCUUUGGGUAAAGUCACCAAAAUGAAAAUCAUAAUGCUCUUUAAUGUAAGAAUUUUGGUAAAAGAAACACAAAAACUCGGAGUCCGUAUGGGAAAGUUAUGAUUUUUGCAAAAUCAUUAAAUCAUAUAAAAAUAAGGGCUAAAAACAAAUUCAGAAUUAGCCGAUGGAGCCUAAAGGAAAGUUGUAGUAUUGUCGAGAGCUACAUGUGGAAAAAAAGAACGUCAAAAGCAGAGUCCGUAUGAAGAAGGUGAAAAUGCGACCCAAUGAGAGCUUGACACGUGACACAAUGUGGCUAGGGAGAAGUCACCUUAAAAUGCACGACGUACACCCCCAUUGCACACUGUGCACCCAAAAUCGGCUAUAAAUAGGAGGUCAAGCCUCAUUCACUCCUCAACACCGCUUCUAUCAUUCUCUUUCGAUUUCCUUUGGUUCUGGCCCAUUUUAUCUUAGUUUUAGCAUUCGGCGAAGCCCUGCGAUCCCUAAAGUAGUAGUAGUUAGCGAGUAGAAGCUUUGCCAAUGCAAUUUCCUAACUUUGUUAGGAAGAACCUUUGUAAGUUAAGCUAUACUCUAGUCUUUUCAAUGUAAGUUAUAUUUAUAGUCAUAAGUCAUUAUUAUGAACCUAUAAAUAAGAUUUAUCAAUAAUUCUAUGUCGUUAUACUGAUUGAUCUACUUACGGGAGAUGUGCCUAGAAUGGUCACGUUGGCUUGGUUGUUGGAUUUCAAAAAAGAUAAUGAUUCUGCCUCCCAACUGUCCUGCUUGGAUGAUCCUUAAUUGAUAGAUCUUGAUUUAGACAUCAAAAUUAAUGAGGAAUCUAGUCAUCAGGACCAUUAGACUAGAACUUUAUAUAAAUUAUACUUAGGUAUCGGAAAUAUCUGAGGUGUUAGGCAAAGCUCUGCCCAGAUCACCAGCCACCCACCUAAGUCAAGUGAGUACAUAGUCCCCUUCAUGAACACGAUUUAAUACAAGUAUUAAUUGAAAUAUUAAAAAUCUGCUGGAAGUCGUAUGUGAAUUAUAUACUUAUUGCCUGGAUUGUAUGUUAGGAUAUAUGGUGCUAUGUGCGAACUAGAUAUGGUUCUAUUUUAUGUUAAGAUAAAUAGAUAAUAUUACAUAAUAAUAUUCAAAGCAAAAUUGUUGAGAAGAUAAAUGAUUAAUAACACCUAAUACUCUUAUGGAAUAUAUAUAUAUAUAUAUACUAAGAUAGGUUAGUGUCGCCCAAGAAUAGAGUUGGUAUUAAAAAUUUAGUUUCAGGCACGGUAUUCUAUUCUAGGAAUAAACUUAGACUUAUGGAAGAUACCUAGUUCAAUUAAGUUGAUAUUAGAUAGUCUCAUUAGGAGAAUGUGCGUAACCUAGGAAUGGAGAGUAAAGUUUUGUUCCAUGACACUAUUAGGUGUCGAUUUGUUAUAGCUUCGUACUAGAUGACCAGAAAUGGUGGGUCCUGAUCAGGCAACUGUUAGCAGUAUGUCUAGUCACGCCACAUAGUAUUUUUGGAUUAGAUGUCCAAACCCAUAACUAUAAUUGGUAUAUACUUGACCCGAGAGUAGCAUGGUCCAUUUCAGGUUGCCUUCAUCAAAGCAAUUUGACAAGAUAGAUAUUUGAGAAAGAGGUUAUUUGUGAUUUACUAAUAUUAUAAGAAUAAUAUAUUAAUUAAGAAAUCAUAUUAUUUAAGUAGUAUUGUUCAAAAAUUAAUUUGGAAUUAAUUUAGUAAUCAAAAGAGACUAAUUAAAUUUGCAGGGACUGAUUAGGUAAAUCAGUGAUAUUUAUAGUUUGGGGCCUUUGGGCUAAUGAUCAAUGUUGAUUAGGAUUGGACUAAUUCUUUGUGAGAGUCCAUGAAGAGUUAGUCCAAAACGCUAAUGAGUUAUUGGAUUAAAAGCCCAAGUGAGUUAGGGUUUACAAGUUGAAUCCCUAGGAAUUCAUAACAUUAUUGAAGCAACAUACUAUUGAAUAAAAAAACUUCUAAACCCUAAUGGAAAUCACAAUUUUCAGAAGAAUUACAUACCUCUAAUUUGUUAUUGUAAGCAAACCUUUGAAUCCAACAAGAUCAAUCCAAAAGUCUCUUUGAAAACAAACUUCAAUUGUGAGCGAGCCUCUAAUGGUUCGCACUCACAAGACAAGAACCCUAGAAAGAUUAGGAGAGAGGUUCAAAUUUUUGGAUCUACUAUCUCAAUAGAAGUGGCCAAAAAUUUCAAGGUACAAGACCCUAUUUAUAGCUUAUUAGGAAACAUCUAGAAACCCUAAUUUGAACAUAAAAUAAAAUUAUCUCAAAUAAGUCAAUUAUUUAGUUUCUUGAUUAUCUGCAUGGAGGCUUCCUGAAACCUUAGUGGGUCUAAAAAAAAGGUCCACUGGAGGAAGGUUCUGGAAUCUCUCCUCUGCUCAACUCUUAAAACAAGUUUCGCUUUAGUCCUUCAACCUUUAAUUAAUUUUAAUUAACCAUAAAUUAAUUCCAAACCAAUUCUAAAUUAAUCAUAACUAUUUAUAAUUAAUAUAUUAAUCAUAUAAUAUAUUAAUAAAUCAUUUCUCUCUCUUCUAAAAUCAAUCUAAGCAAUUUCUUGGUUAUGAGGGCAACCCAAAAAGGACUUUGCUUUUAUUUAUCAACAUUAUAUCAAUUUAGUUUGGAUCUUAGACACCUUAAUCCAACAUAAGGUUCGUAAUACAUAUACAUGUUGUGUAUGUCCAUUAGCAAAACAAAAAUGAUUACCAUUUGUUUCUGCAAACAAUGUAUCUCAUACACCUUUUCAAUUGAUUCAUUGUGACAUUUGGGGUCCUUAUCAAAUCAAUUCACAUCGGGGUUAUAGGUUUAUCAUUACUAUUGUGGAUGAUUACACUAGAUUCACUAGGAACUAUUUGAUAAGACACAAAUCUGAGGCACAAUUUGUUAUUCCCCAUUUUUUUUUUUUAAAAAUGGUGCUCAAAUAAUAUCAUACUCAUAUAAAUAUUUUCAGAUCGGAUAAUGCAAAAGAACUUCAACUCAACGUGUUUUUUAAACUAAAUGGAGUAUUACAUCAGUUCUCGUGUGUUGAUAGACCACAACAAAACUUUGUUGUUGAGAGAAAACUUCAACAUCUCUUAAAUGUGGCAAUGACAUUGUUCUAUCAAGCUCACAUUCCUUUUAUAUGUUGGCUUGAAUGUGUUUCAACAAGUGCCUACAUGAUAAAUAGAACUCCCUCAAAAGUUCUUGGAAAUAUUUCUGCUUAUAAAAAUCUCUAUAAAGAAUAGCCUCAUUACUCAUAGCUUUGAAAUUUUGGUUGUUUACCUUUUGCAUCCACACUUCAUUCUCAAAGACAUAAGUUUGAUCAUUGAGCAAGAGCAUGUGUUUUCAUUAGAUAACCACAAGGAAUGAAAGCAUAUAGAUUUCUUGAUAUAGAAACAAAUCAAAGUUUUGUUUCUAGAGAUGUCAUAUUUCAUGAGGGGAUAUUUCCUUUUAAAUAAUGCUCGCCAUCUUCUCAUACAAAUCCAUUUAUCUUUCAUGUUUUGCCUAUACUUUUACCUAGAAUCACUCAUUCUUUUACUCCUUCAGAAAAUCUCAAUCAAUUUGAUUCCCAAAUUGAUACCUUACAAAUGAAAUUCCAAAUUCACAACCAAUAUUUCUAGACCACGAAGACAAAGAGCUCCUCCUUCAUAUCUUCAGGAUUUUCAGUAAUUUGAUAAAUCCAAUUCCAGAAGAAACAUCUAUCAAAUACCCAUUAUUUGUUGUAUUAUCUUAUUUACAUCUUUCUCCUUCUUACCAAGCAUAUACUUAUGCCUUAUCUACUCAAACUAAACCCACUUCUUUUAAAGAAGCCAUUCAACAACCUAAAUGAAAGCAAGCAAUUGAUGAAGAACGUCAUGCUUUAGAGUUAAAUAAUAGUUGAACCAUUGUAACCCUAUCUCUUGAUAGAAAACCUUUGGGCUGAAAACGGGAUUUUAAACUUAAAAAGAAGGUUGAUGGAUCCAUUGAAAUCCAUAAGGAUAUAAUGGUAGCAAUGGGCUAUAGUCAAUAAGGAGUGGAUUUUUUUGGAUACUUUCUCACUUGUGUAAAAUUUAGUCAUAGUCAAACAUUUGCUGCUAACAAAGCUUGGCCACUAAUCCAAUUAGAUGUUAAUAAGCUUUCCCAAAUGGGGAUUUAAAUGAAGAGGUUUAUAUGCACUUACCACAAGGAUAUACUCCAUCUUUGUUUCUAAUUCCAGUGGAAAAUUAGUCUGCAAUUUUGAAAAAUAUUUAUAUGGUUUACAACAAGCUUCAAGGCAAUGGUAUGAUAAAUUUUCAAAAUUUUCUUAUUUCUAAAUAUUUCAAGCAAUAUCAAUAAAAAAAUUCCUUAUUUUUCAAAGGAAAAGAUGAUAAUUUUAUGGCCUUAUUAGUAUAUGUAGACGAUAUUGUCCUUACGGCUUAUUCUCUCACAACCAUUAAUAACAUCAAACAACGUUCAAGUGAUGCCUUUUAUCUCAAAGAUUUGGGUAAACUCAAACAUUUUUUGGGUUUGGAAAUUGGAAGAUCCCCAAAUGGAAUUGUCAUUUCUCAAAGGAAAUGUGUUAGAUCUAUUUGAAGAUGUUAGCAUGUUGGUAUCCAAACCAACCUCUCAAUUAAUGGAUCCUUGUCAUAAAAAAUUAAUUUUUUAUGGAUAACCUGUAUAAGAUCCAUCUCAUUAUCGCCAUUUAGUUGGUCGUCUUCUUUAUCUCACAAUCACACCUCCCGAAAUAGCUUAUGUAGUACACAGAUUAAGCCAAUAUAUUUCUGAUCUAAAAAUACCACAUCUUCAGGUAGCUCAUCAUGUGUUAUGAUUUUUAAAGGAUAACCCUAGACAAGGUUUGUUUAUUUCAUCCAAACCAUCUUUGCAAGUCAAAGCAUUCAAUGAUUCUGAUUGGGUUGGAUGUAUUAACACUAGAAGAUCUUUUACAGGUUUUUGUGUUUUUCUUGGAGAUUUCUUAAUCUUGUGGAAAUCCAAGAAAAAAACCACUUUUCCAAGAAGAUCAAUAGAAGUAGAGUACAGGGCACUGGAUCUGUCAUAAAUGAUGUGAUCUGGUUAAGAUAACUUAUGCGUGAUUUUUUUUAUUAAUUUGGAUCCACCAACAUUUGUUUUUUGUGAUAAUAAUUUUGCAAUGCAAUUAGCUGUCAAUCCUAUAUUUCACUAGAGGACUAAGCAUAUCUAAAUCGAUUUCCAUUUCAUAAGGGAAAUGAUUGUGGAUCACACCAUCAAACUCAUGCCCAUUCAUACUUCAAAUUAACUAGCGGAUAUAUUUACAAAACCCCUUGCUUAUUCUAGAAUUGCUUUGAUUUUAUCCAAGAUGGCACUUAAAAGUAUUUUUUAGUGUACAUCUUGAGGGAGGUAUUAGAGCAUAUUGACCGCUUAGUUGAUUAAAUAUCUAUUACGAUGCCGUUUUAUAUUUGUCAUUAGAAAUAAAGGUAGUGAAACUAUGUCAUUUACUUGUGUAAAUAAGUUGUUAAGUUAGUUAGGUGCAUGUUAGCUAAUGUUGUGCAAGAUAAUAGUUAUAUAUAAUCUCAUUUUAUAUUUAUUGAUGAAUAAGAGAAGAUUAUAUUCCCUUUUCAAUUCUUUUUCUUCUUGAUUGUAAAUCUUUCCUCUACCCAUACCUUUCAUAACCCCCUAAAACUAUUUAAUCAAAUCGGUCACUGAAUUCUUGUUUCCAAUUUUGAUUCGAACGACGGUACCUCAAGCCAUUGUUUCAGAUCUUGAGGUAAAUACAAUUGCUCUAUUUCCCUUAAUUAUAAAUUGCAUUCAUGAUUUAUUGUUGAUUGAUGGUGCUAAAUGUUCAGAUGUAAAUCAUACACAUUGUGAACUUAUAGAAACAAUAUGUUGUUCCUAAAAUUGGUAAAAUCCAAAAUCCAAGAUGAUGCAAAUAUCGAUGCUCUACUAAAACUCAUAUAUGUCAAUGGCGCUACAUGAUGGAAAAAGAGCCACUUUUAGUUUGUUGUCAAAAGGCAAAGUGAAGUUAAGACAGUCUUCUCUCAAAUACGACCUCUAGCCUUAGGCUUCAAGUUGUUUCUCGUGUGAGUUUGGGUCUUUCAAAAUUCAACAAAUUUGCUACAAUGGAUACAAAUGUUCUUUAUGGAUACAUCACUAGACUGUAAAAUGAGAUUGAUAACAUUCACGAUGUUGUUAGAUUGCUUACAUUCAUGAUGUUGUUACAUUGGUAAAAGUCCGAGAUGACAUCAUGGUGGACGUUGGUAGAACGAGACAUGACAUUGUGUUCCUGCUCAGUACUACGCUUCCACCAUACUUAGUGUCACUUAUAUGUAGAAAGGUGUUAUCUAUAUCAAUUUUAUAUAUUAUGUAUAGUGUAGGGAGACAAUUUUAACAAUGUAUUGUAUAAAUAUAUUCUGCAAUAUACGCCUCCAAAUGAUGAGGUUUUUCCCACUUUAAUAUGGUAUCAAGCUACGGUUUCUACCCUCUUUAAUCAUACGUAUGGAUCAAACCUUUUACCGCCUCACAUUUUUUUUUCUGGCCAUUAAUCACGUUGUCGCUGCUCUUAUAUGCCACUAUAAUUGUCGACUGCUUCUCAAUUUUUCUCGACGUGCUCUCCUCCGUGCAUUAGGGUCUUCCUAAAAUAUGGUUGUGGUUGAUUCUUUUAUGUUUCCAACAAUAUUUUACAAUCUCCUGCUGUGAUCACAUAAUUUUGCCCUCAUCAUUAUUGUGUGCGUUUCUUGCUCCUUAAGGUAUUGCCUCCAUGACCACUCCUGGUUCAUCCUCUACCACCACUCCCAUGAAGUUAAGUCUCGUUUGUACUCUCACCAACGUUUACAAUCAUUUUAGUUUCAAAUUAAAUGUUGAUGAGCCAAACUGUAAACUAUGGAAUCAGAUUUUUUCAAACAUGUGUCGAGGCACAUUGUCCUAUGGUAAUAUUUCAUAGAAAUCGGUUCCAACCAGAGAUGAUGAGGAAUGAUAUUCGGUUGAUGCAAGGCAUCAAUUCUUAUUUUUAUAGUAUUGUGAUCCCGAGUUUCUUCAAUUCAUCUUGAGCGAUGAUUACACCACCACAAAUCUUUCGAAAAAAUUAGAUGAAUUUUUCGGAACAACAAAAUAUCUCGAAUGUUGCAAUUACAGGAUUAAUUUCGCAAUACGAAGAAGGGUUCAAGCUCCAUUACCGAAUUUUAUCACAUUCUCAAGAACCGUGCCAAUGAUCUCAAAGAUGUUGGUUCCACCAUCAUCGAAAUUGAGCUAGUAAUGCCAAUCUUGAGACAAUUACCAUCUCAUACCAUAGUAUUACGGAUGUCAUCACCAACAUCAAGCCUUUUCACUCUUUCCUUGAGGCCAAGAAUAUGCUUUUACUUCAUGAGUCUCGAGAAACGGCUUAAGAUUCCUUCACAAAUUCAUCCAUGUCUCAUAGUGUGGCUCUAUUUUCCUCAUCCAACAAUUUGGGAAAUCCAAAUACCGAUGGUCGAAAAACUGGAACAAUUCCCGAAAAAUUGAAAAACAAUGCACAUGGAAAUCAUUUUGAUUCGCAACCGCAAUUUAUUAGAAUUCUUGGAAAUGCUCUGUUGCCACCUCCGCGUGCUGCCUCUGGUUACGUUGCUGCUAUCCCAGCUGCUUCGCACUUAAUCCUACUGUCUUACAGCUCCUAUCUGUAGGUUCCAUUCUCGCCGAAUCAGCAGCCCACGUGACAACUGUCAGUGCCUCCGCAACCCUCUUCUCAACAUUUCACUUUUCAUCAGCAUCUGACUCAUGUUGUUGGGUCUUCAUCAUCAGCUACACCCCUCAGACUUGUUUCUCAACAACCAAGUCAGGUGCCUCACGGUCACUUUUCUCAACAUCAAUUUUUUGGUGGAUCUACUUUUGGUUGUCACGUUCAGACUACUCCUUAACAAUUCAUCGAUAUCGCCUCUGCCUUUCAAUCCAUGUCUCUUCAGCCGCCUCUCGACAACAACGUUUACGUGGACUCCGGUGCUAGCUAUCACAUGUCCUUCAAAUCAGUUAACAUGCCUUGCCUAUCACUACGUAAUUCUAGAUCUCUAAUAGUUGCUAAAGGUGCUAUACUUCAUAUUACUCAGACUGGUCAAAUUUUUUUUCCACAUUCACACAACUGUUUAGCUCUAAAUAGCAUACUUGUCUCAAAUAAAAUUGUUAAAAAUCUCAUUAAUGUAUGUCAGUUCACUGUUGAUAACUUUGUCUCUGUAACUUUUGACCCUUUUGGUUUCACUGUGAAGGAUUUUAAAACAUGUGCGUUUAUUUAAAGAUGUGAUAAUGGCAGUGAUCAUUGUCCCGUUAUCCCCAUGCCAACUCCUUCUUUUUCUAACACUAGUUGUGUUGUUGUUUCUCUCCCAACUUGGCAUAUGCGUCUUGGUUACCUUGGCUCAUCUAUUUUGAAUUUUUUACAUUCUUGCAAGUUUAUUUCCCAUACUACUACUAAACUACCCAUCUAUCAUGCUUAUUAGCUUGGGAUGCAUUGUCGUUUACCCUUCUCUUCGUCUAUAAUUAAAACUACUAGUAUGUUUGAAUUGGUGCAUUUAGAUUUAUGGAUAUCUCUUAUUGCUAGUCUAAGUUGUUUUAAAUAUUAUAUUUUUUGGAUGAUUUUACUCAUUUCUUAUGGGUUUUCCAUCUUCGUGAAAAAUCUGAUAUUUUUGAUGUUUUAUCUAACUUCCAUGGAUGUGUCCAAACUCAAUUUAAACCUGACAUCAAAUUUUUUCAAUGUGAUAAUGGUUGUGAAUUCAAUAACAAAUCUGUUCUCACUUUCUGUGCCCAUAAGGAAAUCAAAAUUGGCUUCUCUUGUCCGUAUACGUCCCAACAGAACGAUAAGGUUGAAAGAGUCAUACGAACCAUUAAUAACAUCCUUCGAACUUACCUGUUUCAAGCCUCCCUGCCUCCAACAUUUUGGGUUGAAGCUCUCCUCAUUACUGUUCAUACCCUUAAUCUCCUUCCCACCUCCACUCUUGCGUUUCAAACACCCUUUGAGCUUCUCUUUGGUGUUUUUUCCCUCCUAUGAUCACCUUUGAGUAUUUGGGUGCCUUUGCUACCCAAAUCUCUCAUCCACGACUCCCCAUAAGAUCUCUUAUAGGUCUUCUUCAUGUGUAGACCUCAAUCCCUCCUCUAAUCAUUGUGGCUUUUGUUGCCUUAAUCUCAUCUCCCAACGAGUAAUUAUCUCUCGUCAUGUCAUCUUUGACGAUCACUUCCAUUUCUCUACCUUUCAUGAUAAACCCUCAACCAAUUACUAUGAUCCUUUCCUUUCCGAGGAUAUACCUCCCCUCCUUACAGUAUGCACUACUCUUCGCAUCACUGAGCCCUCUCCUAGUGAAUCUUCUCCCGCUCUUUCUGAUAGUAGUUCCCCUCAACCCACUGCCUCCUCCUCCUUUCCUAAUACUAUUCCUACCCCCUCCUCCUACCCAUCCCAUGGUCACUUGCUCUCGCACUGGCUUUCUCAGGCCUAAGUAGAUUUUUAAUCUAUUUGCCACUUCUGAUGUCUCCCCUAUCCCUCGCUCUAUAUCUCAAGCUCUAUGUGAUCCUAACUGGAUUUUUCCAUGGACUCUGAAAUGCAGGCUCUUCACUCCAAUCACAAAUGGGAACUUGUUCCCCUUUCUCCAUGCCAAAAUUGUUGGUUGUCGCUGGCUUUAUUGUCAUAAGUUUGACAGAAAAGGUAACCUAGAUCGCUAUAAAGGUUGCCUUGUUGCUUAGGGAUUCUCUCAGCUUCCUGGUCUUGACUUUGAUGAUACCUUCAGUUCUGUUGUCAAACCUGAUACGAUUUGUACUGUUCUAAUUAUUGCGAUGUCCAAGCAUUAGCCAAUUCAUCAACUAGAUAUCAAAAAUGGUUUCCUACAUGGUUACCUAUCUGAGGAAGUUUACAUGAAACAACCUCAUGGGUAUGUCCAUCCCUCCCUUCCUAAUCAUGUAUGCCGACUUCUCAAAGCUCUUUAUGGUCUCAAAUAGACUCCCAAGCCAGGUACCAACGCUUUGCUGUUUUCAUCACCUCUCUCGGUUUUACUAGAAGUCGGUCUGAUUGUUCCUUAUUUACUUAUCACUCUGGUUUCGACCAUAUCUUCUUUCAUUUUUAUGUUGAUGAUAUCAUCCUCACCUCCUCCUCUUUCUCCACUCUCAUCACUCACAUUAUCUCAUGUCUCUCGUCUGAGUUUUCCAUGUCCAAAUUGGGUCCUAUUUCCUUAUUCAUUGGCAUCGAUGCUUUUCGAUCUGAGGAGAGUCUAAUUUUAUCUCAGGCUUCCUUUAAUGACAUCUUAGCUCGUGCUGACAUGUCUUCUUGCAAUCCGUGCAGUACCCUAUCUGACACUAAAUCUAAACUUUCUCCUCACGGCUCUCCUGUCUCUGAUCCCACUCUCUACAGGAGUCUUGUUGGUGCCUUACAAUAUCUUACUUUCACUCGUCCUGACAUUGCAUAUGUUGUACAGAUCUCUCUUCAUGUUUGCGUGAACCUCAUCUUCUUGCUCUUAAACGUAUCCUUCACUAUCUUCAGGGUACUAUUUCUCAUGAUAUGUUUAUUCGACCUUCCUCCAUUGAUCACUUGGUCUCCUAUUAUGAUGCAAACUGGACCGAGUGUCCUCAUACUCGUUGGUCUACUUCUGGGUUUUGUGUUUAUCUUGGCAAUAAUCUCGUCUUUUGGUCCUCUAAACAUCAACAUGUUGUUUCUCACUCCUCAGCUGAGGAUGAGUAUUGUGGGAUGGCUAAUAUGGUUGCUAAAGCUGCUUGGCUUUGUAAUCUCCUUCUUGAGUAAUCUUGUACGUUAUCUAAAGCAACAUUUAUGUUUUACUAAAUGUGAGUGCCAUGUAUUUAUCUUCUGAACCAUUAAAACACGAACGUAUUGCUCGUGCCGUCGAUUCACUAAUUUGCAGAUAUAUUUACAAAGGGUCUUCACCGGUUUAAAUAUUUGUAAAUCUCAUGCUCUAACUAGAGGGUGCCUUAGUUUAUAUUAGUUUAUAUAUAUUAUGUAUAGUGUAGGGACCAAUUGUAACUUUAUAUUGUAUAAAUAUAUUCUGCAGUAUAUGUCUCAAAUUGAUGAGGCUUUUCCCACAUUUAACAAAAGGAAAACUAAAUUAACACCAAAUUGCCCAAAAUUAAACCAUAUAUUAUACUAAAUUAAUUCACAACAGUUCGACAUCAAUCAAAUAUUAUCUCGCACUCGAAUUCACAAAACUCACUUUCCGGGUACAAAGUUUGUAGCAUAUGACCAUGCAUUGUUUGCAACAGGGUCAGCAAGGUGGUCAGCGAGGUUCUCCAAUGGUCCCUUUCCGGUAACAAUGGCUUGAACAAAGAAUCCAAACAUAGAGAACAUGGCUAGUCUACCGUUCUUGAGCUCCUUCACUUUCAGCUCAGCAAAUGCCUCUGGGUCAUCAGCCAGACCCAAUGGGUCGAAGCUACCACCAGGGUAAAGUGGGUCAACUACCUCACCAAGAGGUCCACCAGCAAUUCUGUAACCUUCAACUGCACCCAUCAAGAUCACUUGGGUAGCCCAGAUGGCUAAAAUGCUUUGUGCAUGGAUCAAACUUGGGUUCCCCAAGUAGUCAAGACCACCCUCACUAAAGAUCUGGGAUCCAGCCUUGAACCAUACAGCCUCACCAAACUUGACACCAUUACGCGCCAAGAGUUCGGGGAAGACGCACCCAAGAGCUCCGAGCAUGGCCCAUCUGCUGUGGAUGACCUCAAGCUCACGGUUCUUGGCGAAUGUUUCAGGAUCAGCAGAGAGCCCAGCAGUGUCCCAACCGUAGUCACCGGGGAACUCACCGGUCAGGUAAGAUGGGGCUUCGCCGGAGAAUGGGCCAAGGUACUUAACACGGUCGGGGCCGUACCAUGGACUUCCUGAUGGUGCGACUUUCUUGACUGCUGUCUUCCUCAUGGAAACCCUUCCAUUUCCGGUGAUUUCUGAACCAGAUGGUGCUACUUUCACCGCCUGUCCGACGAAAGAAGAGGAUAGUGCCAUGGUGGAAGCUGCCAUUUUUGUGAGAUUUGUUUUGAAGAUGUUUUGAUGAUAUGAUAGUAUUAUGAGUGAUGAAGAUGUGUGGAUCUGGAACAUAGAUUUAUAGGGUGGUUUUUGGGCCAAGUAGUUGAUAAAUGUUUAUCUUGAUGCAAUUUUUAACUUCAUUUUGAUUGGCUACCAAGAUUUUAGUUCUAUCAGUGGGUCCAUAAUCUGCGUGGUUCCACUAUUCGAGUUCUCUGGCCCACAUGAGAUAUUUGAAGGGGCAGCGAUAUUCAUGGCUCUGUCUUAUUAAGCGAAUAUAAUGGCUAGAAAUCUCAGCCACUAGCUACCAUGCACAAACCGGUUUUUUUUUUGAACCGGACCGCUUCAAAAAUCCGGUUCGGUUCUAGUCAAUUUAGUCAAAACCAGUUUGGUUCCAAACCGGUCCAGCUUCAAAAUAAUUCAAACGUAUGUAAACUCGUUAAAGAAAAAACCGGUUCAAAAAGGGUUCAAAACCAGUUUGACGGAAAAAAGGUUUUUUUCAAUUUUUAUUUUGUUUUUAGGCUAAUAACUGAAAAAUAGGAAUUUUUUUUUAUAAUAUUGCUUUUAUUGUGUUUAAAAAAAAAGUUUCACACUAGGUUUUUUGAAAAUGGAAGUGGAAUGAAUUGGGAAUUCAUAAGCCUUUUUUUUGGUAAUACACACGUACACACGUCCAUAUGCCAAAAGGUUUUUAUUAUUAUUUUUUUUAUUUCUUGUUUAAUCUUUUGAUGUAUUAAAUUUUUUUUUUGUUUCAGAUUUGAUGUUUUAUCUUUUUUUUUUUCAUUUUUUUUGUUUUUUAUAUUGGAAAUACAUAAUACAACUUCAAACAUAAAAACACAAAACAUCCAAAUUGUCAAACUAAUACAUCUUCAAAUAUAAAACAUUGAUGUCGUCGUAGUCUUCAUUCCAAGUCCGUAGUCAUUGUAUUUAUUCGUCAUCCGCCAUGUCGUUGCGUAAUUCUCUCUCAUACUCGAUCUCUUCUAGGGUGAGUGACACCGACAUUCCCAUCGCUACUUCUUCCUCAUGUACUCGUGCUUCGACAUGCAACGAUGUGCCUUCUAGUGCUUCGAUGUCUUGUAUCCUUUCCACGCCAUCAAGGUAGUAUUUCAAGCAAAUGCACACUUCCACCGACAAAUGGGUUAGUUUUGUUCUUCUUGGUGAUAUUACCCUGCCACUAACAGAAAAACCGAUUCCGANUUACCCUGCCACUAACAGAAAAAGCCGAUUCCGAAGCUACCAUAGAAGCUUGGGAGCUUAGUAGAUCACGGGCCAUAGCGGCUAGAAUUGGAAAUUAGGUUUCCUUUCCUUUCCACCAAACCAAAAUAUCAAAAUUUUCAAACUCUUGAAUACUCAUUUCACUACUAGAAAAAUAGCCUUUUACGACGCGCGAACAACGACACGCGCUGUUUUAUGAUACACAAUAGUGUGUGCCCUAAAAAUAAUGUCGGCUCUCCAAAAAUUAGAAGGAUUUAGGGUACGCAUUUUUGCGCGCCCUAAAAUAAGUGUUACAUUAAAAAAAAACACGGAGGGCACAUAACAUAAAACGCGCGUCCACUAAGUAUGUCGCUUUAUAUUUUUUAAAUGAAAUGCGGGUCACAUUUUUUAGGGAAAACGAAAUUCCAAAAAGUUUGAAAGGCCCGCCAUGUUCCUACCUUCUUUCCACCGUUCUUCUCUCCCUUACUCAAAAUACCCAAAAAAAACCCUAAUAUACUCAUCGCUCCUCUUUUCUCCCAUAACAAACUCGCACCAUCACCAAAUCUCUGAUCUCCCACCAGCAAAAGGUCUCCUACCGAUGUCUCCACCUACUCUCUGCCCUCUCACUAUUUCUCUCAAUUAAAAACGCUAGAUCUCUCAAUCAGAGAACCAUGGCUACUUCUCCUUUCUCCCACACCAGUUGGCAAAAAGUGAGGAGUCUCGAGCCUAGCAGUUGAUAUUCACAUGCCCUCUUAAAUUGAAGGAAUCAGAACAUUGUCGACAUCAAUUCGUUAAUCAUCACUAGAGAAAUCAGAUACGCCAUCUGGUUGAUGAGUCAAGAGAAAUCACAUAUGUCAUCGCUUCAGCAAUCAUCCCUCCUUUUAACCGUAAGUUUUCAAUCUUACACUUUACAAAUAUCAUAUAAACAUCUCUCUCUCUCUCUCUCUCUCUCUUUCUCUCUCCUGCUAUACCUUGAUGAAUUAUCGCAUACAUAUGGAGGAACUGCUUUCUAAAAGCCAGCUAUCGGGAGAGUCAACAGGGUCAAUUGGGUGUUCAAAAGGUGCUUCGAUAUCAUCUUCCCGCCAGCAAAUCUCUGUUAAAGUUGUCACAGAGUAAUCCAUUUGAGUUUGGGCAUAUAUUUUUUGUUAUUAAUUUAGGGGGAGACUGUGUUCCAUGAUUUUGGUCAUGCAUUUCUUCAGCACACGCUAACAAGACAAGAUGAAGGGCUUGUUGUUGGUAUUCGUGGCAUAGAGUGGAUGCUGUUGAGUUACCUUUCCAGUUCAUGGAAAAUUGGUGCUACCGUAGGUAGGUAUAUAUAUCUCCAAUUUCAAGAUGUUGUUCAACUGCUGCAGGAACGAGGUGAGGGUGGCUGAUGAGAAUUUGUGACAGGAACUAUCCGAUUGGGGAUUCCAGCUCAAGUGGGGCAGUUGGCGCAUCAGAUCCAGCAGAAUCAGAAGAUAAUGAGGCCUUUAUUGCAAUUCUCUUCUUUUGAAUAUGAAAAGAUGCACUUUUCAGUCCUAAUCUGGGAUGUGAAAAUGAAAGGAACCCCUGUUUAGCCAACAAAACAAAGUAAAAUUCAGUUACAACACUUACCCAAAUAUAGCAUUCUACCUUUAAUUUUUCUCAUCAAGACAAAAUUGAAUCAGUUAUGAAACCGACCACAUAAAAGGCUGUUUUUCUAGAGUUGCAAUGUUAGGAAUAAAAGUCACAAUGGUAUGUGGUCGGUUUCAUAACUGAUUCAAUUUUGAUGAGUAAACAGGUUAGAUUUCAUAUGGUUGUUUGUUCAGAUUGGUAUUCAUCCUGAUUUUCCUUCAAUUAUGCAACAACUAUGCUGGAAUUUGCUAUGUUCCAUACUCGGAUUUUGAAUUUAUCGGAAAAUUGAAUAAUUAAUCUGGAAAAAUACCAUCUUUGAAUGAUUUUUUUGUCAUCUGUAGAUAAGGAAUACCAUCUUUGGGUAAUUAGUUUAUCUAGUCUACAUGAUUAAAUUAAUGGACAUAUAAUUCUCUAUUGAUAGAACAAAAAACAUUGCUUUGUAGUGAAGAUAAGGAAUACCAUAUUUGGGUAAUUAGUUUAUCCAUACUCGGAUUAUGAAUUUAGCCCACCAUCAGCAGGGGAUUGCUGAGUUUUAUGUGACCAUAAUGCCCUUUCGGUUUGUAGUGAAGAUCCAAGCAUGUAAUUAAUAACACCUCUAAUUAAUUAAUUAAUUAAUCCCCUAAAACUAACUAUGGUUAAAUUAAACUGGUGGUAGGUGCCAGUGUACAUAGGGGCACAUAUGGUCAAAUAUGUUUUAAUUAUUAGUCUAAUAUCUUUUGAUACUUAUCAAUAACAACAAAAUAAUGUAAAAUCGUGUGAAUACAAUUCAAGGGUAUAAUGGUCUAGACAGAGAUUAUUUUUAUUAAAGAUAUUUAUUUAUUAAUCAUCAGAGAAGAAGGAAUUAAUAUGAAAGAAUCACUUACUGCAAAAUAAUCUUCAAAUGUAAAAUCAACAUAGCCUAAGCCCUGAUUUUUAUUUCACCACAGGUUGGCGAGCUGGCGGGAAUAGCUUUGGGAGCAACUGUCAUGCUUAAUAUUCUUAUAGUUGUGUACGUUAUGGUCAAAAUAGUUCAGCAAGAACCUCUGUUGAAAUGAUAUAGGCCACUAAUUAUUUAAAACUAUCACUGGCUCCUCAUUAUGGUCAAAAUAGUUGGUCUGUUAAAAAUUGUGACUAUGAGCAAUUUGCCACUUCUAAAUGGGUUCUUUGUAGUUUUCCUUUCUAUAAUUCAGGAAAUAGGAUCAUAUUUUACUCUUGCAGAAAUAGUUAUGGUCUGUGAGCAUUCUUCCAGAUUGUAAGAACGUAAUUUUCAACACAACAAAGGUGAAAUUAUAUCUAUGUUUUCUUGUGUAUUUAACUUCACAGGAGCUGAAACAUGAUCUAAUUUUUUUUAUCUAUUGGUUAUGUUGAAUAUGGAUAAAAGGUUGUGGCUCAGAAAAGUGUUGGUGAUGCUUCUACAUUUGUUGAGAGUGAAUUUUCACUGUCAAAUUCAAGUUGGAUUUGGUAUGUAGAAAAAGUGUGUGUUUAGAGUAAGGACUUUUUCCUUGUUGGACUGUAAUAGUAGACCAAUAUGAUUCGUUUUAUAAAACCCUUAGACAGAUCACAGUUGGUUCUGCAAUUGCAUGGUCAGGUAAACAUUCUAAACACAUUUUCAAUUUAUUUUGUGAUAUUUAAUUUCUCCCAUAUUCUUUUAAAUUAUAUUAUAAUAUGCUUAUAAACACUACUUUCCUUUCAUGUAGCCAAAAAAUUGUCCCAAAGUUGACUGAGGUACUUUGGACAAAAAUACAAUGUUAGCUUACAUCUUUAUUAGUUAAUAUAAUCAAAUUUCUAAUUUUAGGUGCUAACUGAUACGCGUCCGCAAGUUCAGUCUGCAUGGCAGACAACACUCCAGCAGGUUUGACUAUAUUCUUAUGGGUUGUGGCAUUCACAUUCCCAUAGUGAUCUUGAUAAAGUUGCUUCUAUUUCCAUGCUAAGUUGGCUUUUAUUUGUAAUAUAGGAGGUCCAAAAUCUUGCAAAGAAGGCUGCAGAAACUGUGGUGUUGGUAAUUGAUGAUGAAGGGACUGAGUAUUUGAUAUCAGAACUUCUCAAGUUGCUUCUAUUUCCAUGCUAAGUUGGAUUUUAUUUAUCUUACUGUUUAUUAUCAUUUUUUAUAUAAAAUUUCAUCAUUUAUAUUAUAUAUAUAGUACAUUAUAGACUUUGCAUCAUAAUUUGUUGAAUGUUACAAGAUAUAAUUCAAAAUUCAAUUUCCUCAUGUUGUUGCUGAAAUGACAGCAAUUGGUUUUGGCCUACCAAAGAAUGCAUUCACCGCUUUAAUGAAGAAUGUAAGUGUUUAUUUUUCUUUUCUGUUUGGUGAAAAUCAUCAAAUGACAAUCUCAUUAUAUAUCUUAGGAUCUUAUCAGUUAAUAAACUUGAUCGUGGGUAUGAUCAAGCAUAGGUUUACAUUUAUACCCCUGCUUUUAUCUUUUAUCUUUUAUGUUAUAUAAUUAUAUUCCCCCUUUUUUUAUCAGGUUAAUUUGGUGGUUAAUUAUGAUCUUCCUAUAAGACAUGAUCAUCAAUCUCACUACAAGAAAAAUACCCUUUUACGACGCGCAAAACACGACGCUCUUUGAUUUAUGUUACGCAUUAGAGAGCGACAUUAAAAAAGUGUCAUCUCUUAAAAAAUUUUAAGGAUUUAGGUCGCGCAUUACUGAGUGCCCUUAAAUUAGUGUCUCAUGUAAAAAUAUUAAAAACACGGAAGGCACUUGUGCGUCGUCUGUGAAUGUCGUUUUAUAUUUUUUUUUAAGAAACACGCGUCUCGGAGGGAAAAUGAAAUCCCCAAAUUUUUUAAACCCCCACCUUUUUCUCCCUCGUCUCCACCCCUCAUCCACAUCCACUACCUCCGAUCCUCAUUUCCUCUUCUAGCCUCAAACUACGGCGAUGCACCUUCCUUCUCGAAGAAUGCUUCAUUUACCACCAUCGUCCGAUUAUGUGAGCCCAAGGAAUUGACCAAGACGAAGAAGAUAAUGGAUCAAUUGCUUCACAUCAUGUUUAAGGUUAAGGGUUUGAGUUAGUCCGCAACAGGUAAUCGAAUUUUGCCUAAUAUAUAUUUCUACUCUCAAACUGUUUAUUCGUCCGAUUGGAUGCAUAUUUACUAUUAAAUUUGGGGAUUUUCUUUUAAAACCCCCGCGCCUCUUCUUGUUUGUAGCUAAACAACCGUGAAUUUGUUAGAGUGAUUGGAAGAGGAAAAAUAGAAGAUAGAAGAAAAAGAAGAAGAAGAAAAGCGAACAAACGGGAUUUCUUGACCUGAUGUGUUAAUCCGUGAUCAGGUCUUCUGAGCGAAGAGAAGAUCUGAGGCUCAAUUGAAGAAAUAUGAGCGCUUCUAGAUUUAUAAAGUGCAUCACAGUCGGUGAUGGCGCUGUCGGGAAGACUUGUCUCUUGAUUUCCUACACCCGUAACACCUUCCCCACGGUAAUCAUCUCUUCAUCAACCGCCUUCAGUUUCUGCCCAACUAAAGCACGGUUACACACUUAUUUCUCUUCGGACGUUUCUGUGGCUUCCAUGGGAACGGAGGAGGAUGAUAUAAAUGAGGCAACAACUUCAUUCGCUACAUGUUUGAACCUUAAAUUGAAGGGAUUAUAUAUUGAAAUUUGAAUCUACAACUUCGAAUUUCAGUCAUCUCUCUUCUCUUCUACAUCUCACCUGAUUCUCUAUUGAAAUUUCUAGGGUUUUUAAUUGAACCUACAUCUUCAUCUUAAUCUUCUUUUCUGAAGUUAGGGCUUUUUUCUUAAGAACAACUAAUUUUUUGCAGUAAGUAAACCUCUAAUUUUUUCAUUUCUCAUUUCCUUAGACCUCUCCCCUUUCCAUCUCAUAUCGAGGCAAAAUCAAUUUCACUUUGGUGGCUUCGAUUUCCUAGCACAUAUUAUGUUAUUAUAUGGAUUUGUAGGAAAUUAGAAAUCAUGUUAGAAUGUUUGAUGUUCUGUAUGUUCAUAAAAGUACAUCUAAAACAAAAAUCUUAGAUUAAACAAAACUGAAGCAUUUAAUGAGAUGUAAUUACUAACUUUUGUUGGAGAUGCAAAUGCUAAAUAAAGAAAACUGAAGCAUUAAAUGAGAACCUUUAUAAUUCGAUUUCAUUCAGAUCUUCGGUGGAUAUUUAGGGCUAACAAAGAAAACUGAAGCAUUUAAUGAGAUGUAAUUACUAACUUUCGUUCAAGGUAACCCCUGUUAUGAAUACAUGUAAGAAUUUAUUUAUCUUUUUCUCUCACCACUUGCUAUCCAUGUGCUGCUCUCUCAUAGUUGAUAUCUAACAACAAAGACCUGAUCAGUCUAGUUUGCUUGUUUUUUUUCUUUUUCUUAUAAUUCUUGAAUACGUGCAGAUUUUUUAAGACUUCUAGUUUUGUUUUUUGUUCAGUGAUAUUGAUGAUGAGGCAAGUUUAUCAACACUAUGGGAGAGAUAUCAAAGUGUCUCUGAAAAGGUAUUGCGAUAUCAAAGCAUAAAUUAUUUAUGGAUUAAAAUGGGAAAAUGACUUAUAUGGGUAAGAAAGUUUUAAAAACUUUUAAAAAUGACUAUCAAAGUAUUGUUUGUAUAAAAAACACCAACCAAGUUUACCAUUUUGUCAAAUCUAACAGGUUGGUAACCUGCAUCUGCCGGUCAAAAAAAAUUACCUGAUCAUUUUAAAAACUGAAAUUAUAAAUGACAUGGCAUCCUUUUUUAGUCUUACGUGGAUUAAUUGCAAGGGAAGAUCCAUUUUCUCAGCGUUCUUUCUCAAAAUCAGGAGGGAGUCAACACAGAACCCUCUCUAGGGUUAGUUUCUGCCCCUGUAUACAGUUAUUUUUGUUUAAAUUGACUGAUUUUAACAGUUGACGAAUAUGCUCCUGCUUUGGGCUAAUCACACAUAUGUCUUUUUUAUGACCAAAUUGCCCCUGUAUAUAGUUUUUUUUUGUUACAAUUGACUGAUUUUACCAGUCAAUUAAGGUGUUGUUUAGAAACUGUUAGUAUCCAAGACCAUUUACAUGCUCGUGCACAAAGACGAAUUUGCCCUUGAUUGUGACCAAACUGCCCCUGUAUACAUAUUUUUUAUUACUAAAAACACCCCCUGUCCUAGAAAAAUAUGACACUUCUAUACAAAAGCUAAUACCAAUUUCUCACUACAAAUCAACUAAUAAGAAAAGAAGUGGGCAACUCUCUAAAAUGACCAAAAUUUGAAUUGCAGUGUCACAAAUUGACAAUUUUUUAAAGCUAUAAUGAAAUAAUGCUUUGUUUUGUAAAAUAUACAAAAUCCGUUUGUUGUUGUGUGCAACUAAUCCACAAACAUUUACAUAAUUCUCGUUAGUGUACUUUGCAAAGUGGUGCUGAAGUAAUUUGGGCAACAAAAGUACAUAUAACUAUAUUAAUAUUCUCUAAAUAAUCAUAUAUAAUGAAAUAAUGGUUUGUUUUGUAAAAUAUACAACCCAUACUGUAUUUUUGAUAAAAAAAAAUAAUGAUUUUAAGAGAUUUUGUCCGAAAUACCCUUAUAUACUCUUUUUUUUGGUAAAAAAUUAAUGAUGUAAUAGUUUUUGACUAAAAUGCCCGUAUAUACUAUUUAACAGGUUUGACCCCAUCUGAAUUAUGAUUCAGCUUAAAAUUGAAUGCCAUUUUGACAAUUUUAUUGCUUUUAAGACUAUUUACUGCUGAAAAUAUGUCAAAUUUGUUACAUUUUGCUGCUAUAAAUAGUCAAAAAAUAACUAAAAGUCUACAAAGAUUCAAGGUAACAGUAAAUAAUACUGGCAUUUCCAGCAGCAAAUCUUCAAUUGCAGGGACUAAACUUUGUCAUUUUUAGCAGAAAACUUUAUCAACCAACAAAAAGAGGUUAAUAAAGAAUCUAAAUGGCAUUCCAUUGUAACAGCAUCAAAACACGACCUGCACUCAAAACCCUCCAAAAUAGCCCCUACACUCAAUUGUAACAGCCCCUCUGUUGUGAUUCCUUUAACUGUGACCAAAUUGCCCCUCUAUUGUGAUUCCUUUAGAUUCAAGGUAACAUUGUUUUAAGUGAAAAGAUCAUUUCAUAACUUGUUUACAUAAAUUCUUUCUUAGCUUGUUUACAUAAAUUCUUUUUCUGUCAAUUCCUUUCAAGACAAAAAGAAAGAAAGCAGGAACUUAUAGCCAUGCAAGUAAUUUCAUUAUUUUUCUCAUUAACGAUUGUACUUCCUUUGCUCUUUCUUGCAUAAUAAUAAACAGAUUUAAAGAGGAGUGGAGCCAUAUGACCACCUGAUGCCCCCAAAUCAAUUUAUUUGAGCUAGAUUUGAACGAUUUACAAGGAGAAGAAGAAAAUCAAUUGUCAAGAGGAGAGGAGAUGUAUGACCACCCACCUGAUGCCCUAAAUCGAUUUAUAAUAUGUAUUUUUCAUUUAAUGCUGAGUAGAUGUGCAACACACUACCUAAAUAUGCCAACUAAUCAUUACUUUUGCCAACUCAGCCGUUCACCUGGAGAUCCGGUUACCACCGGGUCAUAUUUGAACAAAAGAUAAACUUCGUUGGUAUUUUUUGUACGACGCCUAUAGUUAAAUGGUAUUUUUGAACAACUAAAACUUCAAUGGUUUUUUUUGAAUGUUUUUGAAACUUUCUUACCCUUAUAAGUCAUUUUCUCGAUUAAAAUUGAACUUUUUUCAUACAUUACCUAACAUUGACUUGUCUUAAUUUGCAGGCAGAAAUACAAAAGGCUUUUCAUAUAUUUCUUAAACAAUUUUUUGUAAUAUACAAGAAUUGGGAGCCAUUAGAUUUAGAUAAUUCCAUAGAACCUUUCAUUGAUUCAAGGGAUCCUCUUUCUGAAAAAAAGAUUGCAGUGGCAUCAGAAGGCAGUCAUAUCAGUGAUGGAAGCUGGUGGUCUUAAUUGGUUAGUAGGUAAGGUAUGCAUCUUCAGAUUUAAUUUCUAUUGAGAACUAAACACAUUUGAAUAUCUGAGAACUAAACACACUUGAAUAUUUAUAAAUGAUGCACACAUCCAAAGGGAUAAUAGCAAUGUUUCUAAUGGCGUCAAAUAGACCUGAUUGUGACCACUAAUGGUUCAUCAGGUUUGUUGAUUUUUAUUUUAUUUUAUUUGAAGUGCAUUAUCUGGUUUAAUAUGAAAUGAUUCAUGUUGAAAUUGGUUUCUUUUGUUACUCCAUAAUACUUGAUAUCUUAUUUUUUGCAUGCAGGUGCUAACAAAUAUGGUGUCAUUAUCAUUGUUGUUGUUGUUGUUGGAUACGGAUAUGUUUGGUGGAAGGUAAAUAUAAGCUCAUAUAUUAAUAUUAUUACUUUUUACAGUUAACUUGUACAUAGUUUUUCUUCAACUAACAGAAAUGGUAUCAUUAACAGGGUUGGAAACUUCCUGAUAUGAUGUUUGCUACAAAAUGAAGUUUAUCUGAUGCCACAUAUGCUUUAGCUAAAUAGAUUGACACUGUUUACUCAUCACUUGCAGUAAGUUAUUUAAAAACUUUGUUAUUUUUUUGUUAUUAAUUUGGGUUGUUUAUUAUGUUGUUUAGGCUACCAAGAGACAUUUAUCUACAAGGAUUGACCGUGUUGAUAGUAGUUUAGAUGAGGUUGCAGAAAUUACUGCUGCUAAAAAAGAGGAGGUAUGACAAGAUAAAGGUUGUUCUAGAUGUUUAAUCUAUACAUAAUGCGGUUUACACCCUGGUGUGGUUCUUUUCCAUUUUGUCUUGUGACUUUGAUAUUGUUUUCUGAGUUGGAUAUGUGGUAUGAUAAAUUAUUUUUACAUGAGAGUAGGCUGAGUAGGGUUGAAUUGAAAUAGGUACUGAAUAUUACCGUUUGACAUGCGAUUUUUUCUAGCUUAAUGAGAUAUUUAUAACAAAUAAUUUUGAAUUUUUGUUGUCUUUUGUAGGGAAAUCCAUCAAGUUCAUCAAGGCCAGCUCUUGAAUUACCAUAGAGAGUAAACUUCUAAUCUUAUACAAAUACAAUGAUUUGCUAAAUUCAAGAAAUAACAAUGCACUUUUAUUUAUUACUUUUAUUAAAACAUCCUAGUUUAAUUUCUAGCUUAAUGAGACAUUUAUUACUUUUAGCAGAGAUCGAUAUAUAUAUGAGCUUUUUGCUUUCAAACAUUGUUGGGGAAGAAUGUUGAAACUUGCUCUUUGUGAAGGUAAUUUUUUUUCUUAAUGCAUUAUCCUCUAUAUUCUUGAUAUUUUUCCCACUUUUUAAAUCUUUUAUCAAAUUCUCACUUUUGGAUACAGUGCUUGAUGAGAGAAUGUGUGACCUAAAUCUUUUAUCAAAUUCUCACUUUUGGAGUUGGCCAUAAGAAAAUGUAGGCAAAGGGUAAUUUGUUAUAGUUCAGGUUGACAAGGUGCUGUAUUUUUCACAUAAUUGACAAGGAGCUGUUGUAUCUAUUCAGACUAGACUUAGAGCAAUGGUUGCAAGAGAUGAGUUCAGCAGAAAAAGAAACAAGGCUGCAACUAUAGUUAAGGUACUAUGGAUGAAUUAUGUUUGUAAAGUAUUUAAGAAAAUGAUUAUAAACAAGGGUGAAUUUGUACAAAUUAGUUAGCUACUUGCANUGAGUAUUUGAUAUCAAAACUUCUCAAGUUGCUUCUAUUUCCAUGCUAAGUUGGCUUUUAUUUAUCUUACUGUUUAUUAUCAUUUUUUAUAUAAAACUUCAUCAUUUAUAUUAUAUAUAAUACAUUAUAGACUUUGCAUCAUAAUUUGUUCAAUGUUACAGGAUACAAUUCAAAAUUCAAUUUCCUCAUGUUGUUGCUGAAAUGACAGCAAUUGGUUUUGGCCUACCAAAGAAUGCAUUCACCGCUCUAAUGAAGAAUGUAAGUGUUUAUUUUUCUUUUCUGUUUGGUGAAAAUCAUCAAAUGAAAAUCUCAUUAUAUAUCUUAGGAUCUUAUCAGUUAAUGAACUUGAUCGUGGGUAUGAUCAAGCAUAGAUUUACAUUUCUACCCCUGUUUUUAUCUUUUAUCUUUUGUGUCAUAUAAUUAUAUUUCCCUUUUUUUAUCAGGUUAAUUUGGUGGUUAAUUAUGAUCUUCCUAUAAGACAUGAUCAUCAAUCUCAACCUGACCAUGAAGUGUAGUUGCACUGAAUCGGAAGAGCAGGGUGAUUAUGGGAGAUGUUAAGUAGUUAUAGGGCUUUAGAUGCUUUCCCUUUGGGUAGGAAAUGUUUUUAAGACAUGAUCAUCAUUCUCUACCCCUGCUUUCCCUCUGGUGUUUAUCUCCCAUAAAACCCUAAAAUGUGGAUGUGCUAAAACUGAAGAAAUUAGAAGACACAUACUGGAUUUUAGCAAGUCGGGUAAGUUUAAAAAUAUCUUAAUACGAUAUUGAUUAGAUUACACAACAUGUAAUGUAGAAAAUAUCAUGAAUAUUUAUGAUCAAUAUUCAACUUUUGAAAAUGUAUCCAGUUUGAUGUUUAUCUAUUUGACAUUUUUUUGAUAGAAAAUGAGAAUACCGGAGAAGAUGAACCACAAAUUUACAUUGAAAUGAUCAAUGGAAUUAUCAAAUCCCUUCAGGUAUCAUCUCAUAUCACUUGCUUAUGAAAUUUAUUCAUCUAUACUUGAAAAGAUAUAUUUAUUUUUGUGUUGUUUCCAGGCUAUCCUUGAUGCAGUUCUCAGCACAACAAUUAUGAUUUUAUGAUGUUAGGCUAAACUAUAAAGCAAUCAUUCUUUGUUUUAGGAAACGUUUCAGAGCUUCUUUAGGCAGCUUAAUGAUGAGUUAUUGAAACAAAAUGGUGCCCCUUUAUAGCAAUGUAGUAUUAGGUUAUAUAGAUAGGAAAAACCUCUUAAUAACAACGUACAAUUAGAUCCCCUUAAUAUCAAUGUAUUACAAUUUUAUGACAUGAUGUUAUUGAAUGAAAUUGAUUGUGUAAUGGAUUGUAUUUUUUGUAUAUGGUAUUUUAUUUUCUAUUAUGAGACAUGAAAUGCAAAUUUAAUUUGAAAAUUAGUAAAUCUAUAAAUAAUUUUUAAAAAAAAUAAAAUAAAAAUUAUGAUACGCAAAAAUGUGUGUCAUCUUCAUUUAUGACAUGGCCUUUCUUGACAGUGGCUUUAAUGAUACGCAUUGCGUGUCAUAAAUACGUGUCGUCUAUAGACGACGCGCAAAAGCGCGUCGUCUCUCGUUAUGACAGGGCCUUCCUUGACGCGCAUGCGCGUCGUCUGACCGUUUUACGACUCGCAAUGAGCGUCGUAAAAGGCAUUUUUUCUAGUAGUGUUUGAGACAAGAAAUCAGAACCAAUGUACCUUCCGAGCUCGCUACUUGGCGCGUUAGACCGAGCUCGUUUGGAAUUUUCAUUCCUCAAAGUAUUAUAAAGCCUAAUUGUUUCGUUAUUUUAGUGAAAAGUGGAUCCGGGUGCCCCCAUAUUUUGCAUCACGUCAUGAAUGUUUGUUGAACCAUAUUUUGUUAAAUAAACUUCAAAUAAAUUUUGAAAAACUUUGUUAAAUUUUGAAACUUCCUUUGAUGCAUAAUCAAUGUCAUCAUCCAAUAAACCCAAAUCGUAACAAAUAUUUUCAAUUAAAGUCUCAACCCCCCCAACAUUUAGAGUUGGAUUCAAAGUGGCGGAACAAGUAAUAAUGGGAGCCAUUUCUUGAAAAUAUUUUUUUAACUUUGCUUUCAUCGGUUUCAUCAUAUUAGCAAACAUUGUGCUCCUCAUUUCAAACUCAUUUAUUUUCGCACACAUUAAAAAAAUUUGGUUUAAAACUAAACAACUUGUAGGAUAAUAAACCCCCGAUAAAAAAGUGGUUGUUUUUUUUUUAAAAAAACAUCAAGCAUGUCUGUAACAAGUUUGAUAGUAUCCCAACUUGAUUCCGGAUAAGCCGUAACCUUAUUACGGUCCGAAGGUUGUCAUGUAACAUUUUUAAAGUAUGUUUUUGACGUAAGGCACAUUCAAAAAUUUUGCAAGUGGAGUCCCAUCGGGUAUUAUUUUCCCAAUUCAGACCUAAAAAGAGGGCAUUCGCAUCGACACAAAAUUGCAUAUAAUUAUGAUAUCGAGCGUUACUAGAACUAAAAAUAUCUUUUAGCAUGUCUUUGAAACCAUCUUUUAUAGUUUCAAUGUGAGUUAGUCCAUCUUGCACAACCAAAUUAAUCAUAUGUGCAACACAUCGACUAUGAAAAAUAAACACCAUCACAAAUUGGUUUAUAUUUUAGUUUUAGUUGUCCAACCGCGACGGUGUUGUUUGAAGCAUUAUCAAAAGAUAUAGAAAAAAUCUUUCCUUCAAGUUUAUAAGUUUUGAUCACACAAUCUAAAAUUUUAAAUAAAUUUCUAUCGGUGUGCGGGUACUCAAACAAUUCAAACGUAAUCGUAUGCUUUAUCAUUACCCAAUUAGUUGGAUUAAUCCAAUGAGCGGUAACACAAAGGUACGCAUCCGGUGAACCGUCAGGAGCCGUCCAAACAUCACAAGUUAAAUUCACACCGGUUUCUAAAGAUUGAAAUCCUAAAAUCAAUUCAUUUUUUGCAAGUUUCCACAUUUCAAUACAAUCGCGUCUAAUAGAAGUACGACUCACAUGGCAAUAUCGUGGUUGGAGAGUAUCUUGGAUGAGUGAAGUCAAUCGUUUGUUGUCGAAGUGGUCAAAAGGCAAGCAUUCUUGAAUCACGAACUUCGUCAUCCUAUCCCGAACUUUAGCCAUAUCGUAACUCCACAAUGUUGCAUCAUUCGUCAUUCUUGUUUGAAUAUGUCCCGACCCAAAUUUCACCGUGGGGCAUCUUUUGGUCAUAUGAUUUUUCAAUGUCGAAUUCUCAUCUUCAUUAAAAAAAGCACCACAUUUCUUGCAUUGCGCUUUUUUAUACCGUUCGACAUUACACACAAAUCGUAGUUGCACAAAAUAGCCGGAUUUCUAUUUGUUUCUUUGAUGCUAACAACGGUAAGAGUGUUUGAUGAAUCUCGAACACCAACGGAAGCCGAAUCCAUUGUUUGAAUUAAGAGUGGUUUUUGAACUAAGAGAGGUUUGCGGUUUUUGAACUAAGAGAGGUUUUUUGAGGUUUGGUUAAGGUAAAGUUGAGACCUAAAAAUGUAAUACAUAUAUAUAUACUAUAAGGAAUAGUUAAUAUGGUAAAAAAGAAGCAAAAAUCGAGUCUUGAACAGCCUCAAACGACUAUAUAGCCGUUAGGAAAAGACAAAAAAACGGUAACAUUACAAAAACCGGUUCACCAACGGCACUUUCGAAAUCUGGUUCAAAACUGGUUCAUCACACCUGUUCAGAAUAAACCAGUUCCAAACCGGUCUCCAGGGUAAAACAUGCGAACUGGUAACAUCCGAUGGUUCGGUUCACUAUGGGUUCGGUUCUUAUGUGAACCGGUUCAAGGCUAAACCGGUUUCCGGUUCACCAACCGGUUCGGUUCCUAAACCAGUUUUUUUGCCCACGCCUACCACUAGCUAGUCUAGGUGGGCUUUUAGUACGGGGGUUUUCAUGAGGAAUAGGUUGAAAGGAGUGUUGGCAUCUCACUGCCGUCAUCUGUUACCAUUUCAUAAGGAGUGGUAGCAUUCCUAGCACAUUAGAUUUUUUUUUUUUGAUUUUUUUUUUUGAACUUAAAUAAAUUAUAUUUUUAUAAAACACAAACAAUUCAAUAUUAAUCAAGAAACUAACUACAUUUUAUAGAUAAAUUUACCUUAUUUAAACAAGGAUUAAUAGAAAGGUCAAAUAAAAUUUAAAUGGUUAACGACAUGCUUAAAAUUUUACAAAUAUAUUGAUUUUGUAACGACACAAUUUUCUACUCUAUCAAGGUAAAGAAACAUUUAUGUUAAUAAUAAAGUGACACUUUAAUAUAUAUCUUCAAAUAAUUAUUAAAAAUAAAUAAUACUAUAAAAAAUUACCAAUACUAUCUAGAAACAAAAACCACUCACAGCACGGAAUUUACAAAACAACCAUCCAACUUCCUUAUUUUUUUGAAAGAGCUUUUACGAUCUCCAUUUCCAUUUCCUUUUUUUCUUAAAAUUACAUCUUACAUCUUCCAAUUUGCUAUUAUCAUUUCUUAAGUUUGUGAAAGUAGACUAUUCCACAAAACUACUCCUCCAAUUGUGUGAAACACGAAGCAAAAGCGAGACCUUUGAGCUUUUUCUUAAAAAAUAAUCCUUGUUUGAGAUGGAGACCACACCAUUGAUGGGAGAAAUGAAGGUUCUAGAGAACGAUUGUAAGAGGAAGAUUAUUGUAUCCACAGGCCAAUAUCCAACAAAUCUCUUUCUCUUUCUUCUCGCUAUGGUGUUGACGAGCCAUGGCUGGCGACUUCCUUGGCGCAAGCCAGGGGGCGGCCUUCAGCGCCCUUGGCGACCGGUGGCGACCUCCAUAGCGAGGCCCACUCCCUAAAGCCUUAUAACACACCAUUUAUUGACCAAGUUUACCCAACAAUGCAUCCCAAUUCAUUAGAUUUGUCUUAUCAUUAUACUUUUUAUACAAUUUCAUCAUUUUUCUAUAAUAUAUUAAAACUCUAUGAAAAUUCAAAAGAAUAUACUUUUGAAUUUUCAUAGAAUUUUAUUAUAUUAUAGAAAUAUGGUGAGAAUCCUAGAUGCUUUUAUCUCUCUUUCAGACUUAAAAGCCAGUAUGCGUUCAAUAAGUACGUGGCCAACUCCGGACCUAGCUUUUGCGAACGUGGGACGUUCACUUCGGAUAGCCUCGAAAUGAGUACCUCUUACUUUAAAAAUUUAUAACUUUGGCAUACGAGCUCCGUUUUCGACAUUCACUUUCAUUUAGACUCUGUUUGCUAAUUUUGAUUUUUAUUUUUAAAUUUAUAUUUUUUAACAGGCCGGGACUGGAAAAGCCCGUUAAAAAUUCAUAACUUCUUCAUCCGACGUUCGUUUUCGUAUGACUUUUUACCAUUAAACUACUAUCGACGAGAUUUUUGAUUCUCAUUUACAUUGUGUUGGAUAAAAAUCGCUCGAUCUAUACUUCGAACUACGGGCUGCACAAUGUUAUGCCAAAUCUUAGAAAAUUCAUAACUUCCUCAUACGAAGCUAGAUUUGGAUUUCUUUUUUAUGCACGCUCUUGGUUUAACGUAUACUACGAUUUUCAUUUAGAUUGCUAAGGCUAAAAAACACUUUAUCGUAAACUCACUUUUCACGUCACACAAUGUCAUGUCAGUUUUGUCGCGAAACUUCGAUAUGUCAUAAAUUCUUCGUGAUCAGGGCCGAUCUUGAAAAAUGAAAUAUUCUUGGAGCCCCAGGACGAGCAAGAAAAAAAUGGCCCUUAUCUUUAUUAUAAUUUUGUAAUUUUAAAUAAAAAUAUAUAAUGAAAAAAAUUAGGCCAUGUGCAGCUGCCCACUUUGCCUCCUUCUAAGCCCCCAUUGUUCAUGAUAACUCGGAUUUCAGCGUUCUUUAUAUUUCUGGAGUCCUUGUCACGACCACUACAACUUUCUUCAUAGAUAUCGGGUUUAUAUAACAUUUUAUUUUUGACGCUUAUUUUUAUUCUUAAUUAAUUAUAUCAUUAUAAACAAGUAUAUAAUCACAUAAAAUCACGUAAUUCACAUAAUACUCAAGUAAUUCAUCUUUAUUACAUUAAAAUAGGUUACAAUGGUUGACCUUGACUAUUACAUCAUCAUACUAAUGUGAAACAACCUAAAAUACGACCCAAUUUUUUUUUUGUUAAAAUAAUACUAAAGAUAUCAACCAUCAUAAUAUAUCAUGAAAUCGUACGUCAUAAAUCCCCAAAAAGUUAUAAUAGAUAUGUCAUGACAAAAGAGUUGUAUCAACAUACCAUAGUAUCUAAAAUAAACUCCCAGGACAAAAGUUGAAACUGUGGUGUGUGCAAUGUCAUCAUCCUGAGCUCUUUCCUUUGCUUGCGGAAAUACCUGAAACCAAAACUGAAACUGUAAGCACAAAGCUUAAUGAGCUCCCCCAAACUACCACAUACCAUACAAUAGCAUAUACAACACAUACUAGGCCUUGCCCACUGCAUCGGACCGAAGUCCGGAAAUUGCAUCGGACCGAAGUCCAGAACUAACCAAGGCCUUGCCCUCUGCAUCGGACCGAAGUCCGGAACUACAUCAGACCGAAGUCCGGAAACUAACCAGGGCCUUGCCCUCUGCAUCGGACCGAAGUCCGGAACUAACUGCAUCGGACUGAAGUCCGGAACUGACUGCAUCGGACCGAAGUCCGAAAUUGUCUGAACAUAACAUAUCAUAAACAUCUCAACCAGUAUGAACACAUAAACUGCAUAUCGCAUCAGACCGAAGUACGAAACACAUAACACAAAUACAUGCUUGAAUCACAAAGACAUCAAGCAUUCUAAGUACUGCAACGGACGGAGGUCCGAAACUUCUGCUAACUAAACCGACCGGCAUUGUAGCCGUAGACCCGUUCCUACUGGAAGGAAAACUCACCUCGUAAUGCUGGCUGCUGAGAUGCUAACUCUAAAAGUGACUGACCGCUGCUUCGGAACUGUCCGACUACAAAUCCCAGAAACACUAGAUUAGUUACUUGCAUAUACCCUCAGGGUAAGAUGACUAUUUUGCCCCUGGUCAAAGUCAACUUCUAGUUGACCGGACUCGCCGACUAUGGGCGCAGAACCGCCGAGUCCCUCCUUUACUAACUCUGACUUUAACUCACCGAGUCCCUUUCCCACUCACUGACUCUCUCUGAACUCGUAGGUCGAAGAAAAAAGGGGACUCACGACUCGACUCGUCGAGUCUGAAGAACAACUCGCCGAGUCCUGCCGUGCAUAUUCCAAACAAACGAAUUCAAAACUAUUCCAGAGCAUCUGACUUGAAGAUCUGAGCCCUUGGAACUAUCUAAACACGUGAAGUUUCUAACUUUACGUGCAACUAAGAAGGAAUGAAGCUAUUUCACUCAAACACUACUUUUCUUGGGAAAACUCAUCCGACUCGCCGAGUUGUAUGAACAACUCGUCGAGUCUAAGGUGAUCUUCAUCGGACUCGCAGAGUUGCUCAUCAAACUCGUCGAGUCUACGACUAUCUUCAUAUGACUCGCCAAGUCACACAUGCGACUCGCCAAGUCCAUUCAGUCCCUUUUUCCAUACAGACCUGAUUUGGGCCAUGCAGUGGCUCCAAAUCACAGAUCCAAGAUUCUAGGGCAUGCUUAUCACGUAAAUUUGCAAACUUUACGUGCAUGCAUGGCUUUAAAGGCUUCAAAUGCCAACCCUAAGCUCUUAAUGGGGUUCCAAGCUCAAGAGGGACCUCAAUCACGACCAUAACCGAAACUUUACUCUUCUAGAAUGCAAUGAGAGUCUAGAUCUGAUGUUUCCAUAAAAGGGGAAGUCCAUCUCUCAAGUUUGAACCAUAAGAGGCUCCAAAGAGGGCAUAACAAGCAUAUAUGAGGUUAUAAUGGGGGAAUGCACAAGGUCAUAACUUCAUUACCUGAAUGAAAAACAGAUGUAAGCUAACUCCUAGAUUUUCCUUCCCUUCUAUGGACCUUCCUUCCUUCCCAAAGCUUCCAAGCUAUCACAAAUACCCUCAAACUCAACAAUGGGGCUAGGGUUUACAAGGGAAAUGUUAUGAGAGUGAUAGAGGCGAGGUUGGGGGCGCAUAAGUGUGUUUAAAUAGGGUGAAAACCCUUAAAAUUAGGGCUUCAUCCAGACAGGCGGACUCGCCGAGUCCAACGUAUGGACUAGUCGAGUAGCCAUCUCAAAACGCGUGAUCGUCCCGUCUCUACUUGACGAGUCAGGCUACAGACUCGUCGAGUACCCCUUCAGAAAUGAAAAUACUUUAUUUGAAUUACAUACCAGAAAUGGGGCGUUACAACUCUCCCCCACUUAUCUUAGACUUUGUCCUCGUAGUCUGCUGCUGCUGCUGAAAAUAACUCUGGGUAAUGCUCCCUCAUCUCCUACUCGGACUCCCACGUCCACUCUGAACCCUUUCGGUGCUGCCACAACACCUUCACUAGCUGAACCACCUUGUUCCUCAAGGUCUUCGUCUUCCAAUCUAUGAUCGCAACUGGUCUCUCGAUAUAAUUCAGGCUGCUAUCAACCUGAAUAUCCUCCAAGGGUACAACUGCUGACUUGUCCACCAAACACUUUCGCAACUGGGAAACAUAGAAAGUGUUGUGGAUCUGGCUAAGCUCUACCGGAAGAUCCAACCGAUAAGCAACCCGACCCACCCGGACCAAAACCCUAAAAGGGCCAAUGAACCUGGGACCCAGCUUGCCUCUCUUCCGAAACUUGAUAACACCCUUCCAAGGUGAUACCUUCAGGAGGACCAUAUCGCCCACCUGAAACUCCAAGUCCGAACGCCUCUUGUCGGUGUAACUCUUCUGCCUACUCUGUGCAGUCUGCAGUCUACUACGAACCUGCUGGAUCAACUCUGUGGUCUUGAGCACCAUUUCAGUGCUCCCAAUGACUCACUGACCAACCUCGCCCCAACAAAUCGGAGUCCUGCACUUCCUUCCGUAUAGCAUCUCGAAAGGAGGACGUUUAAUACUAGUGUGGUAACUAUUGUUAUACGGAAAUUCCGCUAGUGGGAGAUACGUAUCCCAACUACCACCGAAGUCUAGAACACAUGCCCGGAGUAUGUCCUCGAGAGUCUGAAUUGUCCUCUCACUCUGCCCGUCCGUCUGGGGGUGGAAGGCGGUGCUAAAAUGAAGACGAGUCCCCAUCUCGUCAUGAAACUGCUUCCAAAAUCUGGAAGUAAAACGGACGUCUCGGUCUGACACUACCGAAACAGGCACUCCGUGCUGUGCUACUACCUCGCGUACAUAGAUGUGGGCUAGCUUCUUAGCCGAUAUGCUCUCCUAGAUCGGUAUAAAAUGUGCGCUCUUGGUCAGCCGAUCCAUUAUGACCCAAAUCGAAUCCACUCCCCGUGCGGUCCUGGGAAGCUUGGUGACAAAAUCCAUGGUAAUGUCCUCCCAUUUCCAUAUGGGAAUAUCUAACGGCAGCAUCUUGCCGUGGGGUCUCUGGUGCUCUGCCUUGACCUUCCUGCAGGUCAGGCAUCUCCCCACAUUCCAGGCGACAUCCUGCUUCAUGCAGGGCCACCAAUAGUCGGGUCGAAGAUCUCUGUAGAUCUUCGUUGCCCCUGGGUGGAUGGAAAAUCAAGAAUUAUGAGCCUCGUCCAUCAAUACCUGCCAUACUCCGCCCCAGUACAGUACCCAAACCCUCCCAUGGAGGGUCAACAAUCGUUAACUGUCAUAAUCAAAGGAAGCUACUCGGUCCACGAUUCUCUCACACUUCUGCCUCUCCUCCUUGAGGCCCUCGACGUGUGCCUCCCUGAUCUGCUCCAACAAGGGAGUAAUCACUGUCAUCCUCAAGCAUACAUCCCUGAUCGGGGCCGCUGCCGUCUUGUGGCUCAGGGCGUCGGCCACUACGUUGGCCUUCCCCGGGUGAUAAAGGAUCUCACAGUCGUAAUCCUUCACCACAUCUAACCACCGACGCUGCCGCAUGUUAAGAUUCGGCUGGUCCAUGAGGUACUUCAGACUCUUGUGAUCCGUGUAGAUGGUGCAACGGACCCCAUAGAGGUAGUGUCUCCAAAUCUUGAGGGCGAACACCACUGCCCCCAACUCCAAAUCAUGCAUCGGAUAGUUAGCCUCGUGAGACUUCAACUGUCUGGAGGCAUAAGCUAUCACAUGCCCCCGUUGCAUCAACACUGCCCCCAUAUCUGCGAUCGAGGCAUCACAGUAGACUACAAAAUCAUCCACUCUCUCCGGCAAGGUCAGAAUCGGUGCCUCGCACAAUCGCUGUCUGAGAGUCUCGAAAGUCGCCUGCUGCUCAGGCCCCUAACGAAACACCACCGACUUCUUGGUUAGUCGGGUGAGUGGAACUGCUAUCUUGGAGAAAUACUGAAUGAAUCUCCUGUAGUACCCUGCCAAACCUAGGAAGCUCUGAAUCUAUGAUGGAGACUUUGGGACCUCCCACUGCAUCAUGGCCUCUAUCUUGGCCGGAUCUACCAGUAUACCCUUCUGGUUGAUGAGGUGCCUAAGGAAUUGCACCUCGCGCAACUAGAACUCGCACUUGGAGAACUUUGCUAAAAGUUUCUCCCUCCUCAAGACCUCUAGCACCUCCCUUAGGUGCUCCUCGUGCUGCUCCUGAGUCUUGGAAUAAACCAAGAUGUCAUCGAUGAAUACAAUCACAGACCGGUCCAACAUCGGCAUGCACACGCGGUUCAUGAGUUCCAUGAACGCGGAUGGAGCGUUGGUGAGCCCAAACGACAUCACCACAAACUCAUAAUGACCAUAACGGGUCCUAAAAGUUGUCUUCUGAACAUCCUCACCCCUGACCCGCAUCUGAUGAUAACCGGAGCGCAAAUCAAUCUUGGAAAACCAAGACGCUCCUUGAAGCUAAUCGAACAAGGCAUCUAUCCUCGGAAGUGGGUAACGGUUAUUCACCGUUACCUUGUUCAACUCCCAGUAGUCUAUGCACAUACGGUGCGACCCAUCCUUCUUCUUCACAAACAAGAUUGGGGCUCCCCAUGGAGAACUAAUUAGUCUAAUGAAACCCUUGUCUAGCAGCUCCUGCAGCUGCGUAUACAACUCCUGCAUUUCUGGAGGAGCCAACCGAUACGGCGCCUUGGCUAUCGGAGCCGCACCAGGAACCAAGUCAAUCUUGAACUCAACCUGUCUCUCUGAAGGUAUCCCAGGUAAUUCCUCUGGGAAUGAGUCCGGGUACUCUCGCACCACUGCUACAUCAUCUACUGUCAUCGUACUCUUAUCCCGGGUAUCCAUCACAUAUGUGACAUAACCUGCUUAACCCUGUUGGAAGUAGCGCCUCACUCUCACUGCUGAACAAAGAAUCGGUCCGCGUUGUGGGCUCUCGCCCUGAAUCACUAACUCUCCCCCGUUGGGAGUGCGAACCCUCACUAGCUGCAAUUCGCAAUCAAUCAUCGCCCCAUUGGGGCUCAACCAAUCCAUGCUUACUAUGGCCUUGUUCCCUCGCAAAGGAAUAGGGACCAUGUCCACCGAAAACUGCUCAUCGAAUAACUGCAGUGAGCAUGCCUUAUGCACCCUCGUGACCCUGACGGUCCUAUCAUCGGCUAUCUCCACCUCGAGUGGACAAUCCAGCUCCCUAGGAUCUCUGCUAAACCUCUUGCUAAGUGCAAGAGAGACAAACGAUCGGGUAGCCCCUGAAUCAAAUGACACUGUAGCUGAAAUGUCGUUCACUAAGAACGACCCUAUACAUAAACAUAUAACAUUAGAAACAAUCAAUAAUCAAUGCAUAGAUAAAAGGAAAAUACAUACCCGUCACCACGUCAGGAGUCGCUCGCGCCUCCUCUGCUGUUAUCUGAAAAGCUCUACUCUUCGCCACUGGCACCUCGGCCCGCCCCUGACGACCGUUCGUAAUCCUCAAUGUAGCAGGGGCAGGUGCCGACACCUUCCCUGCUGCUGCUAAGCUUGGGCACUGGGACUUUUUAUGUCCCCUCUGAUUGCAAUGGAAGCAAAUCAGAUCUGAUGCUGCGGUAGCUGUGGUAGAAACUGUACAAUCUCUGCUCAUAUGCCUAGUCCAACCGUACUUGUAGCAGCCGGAACUCCCUGCCUUGCACGCCCCAUCGUGUAAUCUCCCACACUUGCCACACCGACUGUGGCUCUGCUGACCUCUGGACCUAUGAUCCGAAACCUUGGGCUUCUUGCCCAAACUCCCUGUACCCGAAGCCGCCUCCGCCUUCCUCUUAUUCUCCAUCUCAAGAUCAAUCUCUCUCUCUCUCUCUCUCUCUCUCGCCCUUGCAAUCAUAUCAUCCAGCAUCUUACAGCUGGAUCGGCUCACAAACUGGCGGAUAUCACUCCGCAGCGUCUCAUGAUAACGGGCCUUCUUCAUUUCCUCGUCAGCUGCGUACUGAGGAACAAGAAGAGCCCUCUCCCUGAACUUGGCGGUAAUCUCCGCCACUGUCUCUAUAGUCUGAGUAAGGUCUUGAAACUCUCUAGCUAACUGUUGCACCUCAAUAGUCGGUGCGAACUCGGCUCUGAACCUGGUGGUAAAAUCAGCCUAAGUCAUAGUAUCAAGUGCUAUGUCAUCCCUGAUACCAUGCCCAACCUCCUCCCACCAGUCACAUGCCCUAUCCUUCAGGAGACAGGAUGCUAAUCUGACCUUGUCCCCUUCGGGACAUCUGCUAGUGCGGAACACGUUGGCAACAUCUGCCAACCACCUAGUGCUCGCAAUGAGGUCCCGCACCCCAUGAUAGCCUGGAGCUCCACAAGCCCGAAACUCCCUGAAGGUGAGUGUGCGCGACCCCAUCAUGGCCGCCAUCUCAGCACGAAAUGUGCUCAACUUCUCAUCCAUCAACUCCAAGAUACCCUCCUUGAUCGAACCGAAGAUCACAGGACUCUGCUCAAGUAUGAUACGGGUAACCUCUGAAGUGAAAAACUCCCUAGUUUGCUCAUCCAACUGCUCGGCCCCCCAGCCUGAUCCUGAUCCUUCCUCGGCACCUGAGCUGCCGACUGCUGGCCUAGGGCGUAAAACCACCAUUCUGAAAACACAUCAUGAUAAACGUCAAAAACACUGAUAUAUCUCUAGGGAUCGCUACUACUAUAGGUUUCCUGGUCUCGCCUCUGCCUUCCUUGAUUCAAGUACAAAUCCUCAACAAAAACCAGUCCUCAACUGCUGAAGGCCUCCUUGUAAUGCCAAUUAGUCAUCACCUGAAUAUCAUCACAUGUGACGAGACUCAGAUAAUCCUUCGAGUAAAAGACUCAUUCCUACAACGGAUGGACUCAAACAAGAGCUGCGCAGUAGAGCCAAAUCCAGCACUCUGAGAUUAUUCAACCCUGAUCUCAGGCGAUGUGUCGUAUUCACCUAAUGGUUAACUCUCAUUACCCGGAGUCUCAUAAAGCACAAAGCAAGCAGCAUUCGGACACAGGAAACUAAUCAAGCCACUCUAUUCUCAUAACAAGAAAUUGUACUAGCAUACAAUGUUAAGCUCGUACUGUCAGGCAUAACCUAAACAGGCUAUCCUACUGCUGUCUACUCAAUACUAGCAUGCAGUUCUCAUAAAGCUGAAGCACAUAUAGCAUGCACAUAAGGCAUCCUGCUAGAUCCUUAGUCCUAUUCUAGCAUGCUGUUCUACUGAAACUAAAACUGAUAAUCAUAACAUAAACUUGUAUGGGUAAUUUAGGGGUACUUACUUGAGCUCGACUGAUCGCAUGCACCACACCCUUUUCUCGUUUUCAAAACUCUUUUCUUUUUAAGUCUCUUUCUCAAAAGUUCUUUUGAACACAUUUUUCUUUCGAAAAUCUUUUUUCUAUUUCCUCAGUUUGAGUUCAGUUACACCCGUAAGUGUGUCUGAAUCCCUCAAACCAAGGCUCAGAUACCAACUUGAAAUAACCCAAAAUACAACCCAAUUUUUUUUUGUUAAAAAAAUACUAAAGAUAUCAACCAUCAUAAUAUAUCAUGAAAUCGUACGUCAUAAAUCCCCAAAAAGUUAUAAUAGAUGUGUCAUGACAAAAGAGUUGUAUCAACAUAACAUAGUAUCUAAAAUAAACUCCCAUGACAAAAGCUGAAACUGUGGUGUGUGCAAUGCCGUCAUCCCGAGCUCUUCCCUUUGCUUGCGGAAGUACCUGAAACCAAAACUGAAACUGUAAGCACAAAGCUUAGUGAGCUCCCCCAAACUACCACAUACCAUACAAUCAUAUAAAACACAUAUUGGGCCUUGCCCACUGCAUCGGACCGAAGUCUAGAAAAUGCAUCGGACCGAAGUCCGGAACUAACCAGGGCCUUGCCCUCUGCAUCGGACCAAAGUCCAGAACUGCAUCGGACCGAAGUCUGGAAACUAACCAGGGCCUCGCCCUCUGCAUCGGACCGAAGUUCGGAACUAACUGCAUCCAACCGAAGUCCGGAAUUGUCUGAACAUAACAUAUCAUAAACAUCUCAACUAGCAUGAACACAUAAACUGCAUACCGCAUCGGACCGAAGUCCGAAACACAUAACACAAAUACAUGCUUGAAUCACAAAGACAUCAAGCAUUCUAACUACUGCAACGGACAGAGGUCCGGAACUUCUGCUAACUAAACGGGCCGGCAUUGUGGCCGUAGACCCGUUCCUACUGGAAGGAAAACUCACCUCGUAAUGUUGGCUGCUGAGAUGCAAACUCUAAAAGUGGCUGACCGCUGCUCCGGAACUGUCCGACUACAAAUCCCAGAAACACUAGAUUAGUUACUUGCAUAUACCCUCAGGGUAAGAUGACUAUUUUGCCCCCGGUCAAAGUCAACUUCUAGUUGACCGGACUCACCGAGUCAGGGCGCAGACUCGCCGAGUCCCUCCUUUACUAACUCUGACUUUAAUUCACAGAGUCCCUUUCCCACUCACUGACUCUCUCUGAACUCGUAGGUCGAAGAAAAAAGGGGACUCACGACUCGACUCGUCGAGUCUGAAGAACAACUCGCCGAGUCCUGCCGUGCAUAUUCCAAACAAACGAAUUCAAAACUAUUCCAGAGCAUCUGACUUGAAGAUCUGAGCCCUUGGAACUAUCUAAACACGUGAAGUUUCUAACUUUACGUGCAACUAAGAAGGAAUGAAGCUAUUUCACUCAAACACUACUUUUCUUGGGAAAACUCAUCCGACUCGCCGAGUUGUAUGAACAACUCGUCGAGUCUAAGGCGAUCUUCAUCAGACUCGCCGAGUUGCUCAUCCAACUCGUCAAGUCUACGGCUAUCUUCAUAUGACUCUCUGAGUCACGCAUGCGACUCGCCGAGUCCAUUUAGUCCCUUUUUCCAUACAGACCUGAUUUGGGCCAUGCAUUGGCUCCAAAUCACAGAUCUAAGCUUCUAGGGCAUUCUUAUCACGUAAAUUUGCAAACUUUACGUGCAUGCAUGGCUUUAAAGGCUUCAAAUGCUAACCCUAAGCUCUUAAUGGGGCUCCAAGCUCAAGAGAGACCUCAAUCAUGACCAUAACAGAAACUUUACUCUUCUAGAAUGCAAUAAGAGUCCAGAUCUAAUGUUUCCAUAAAAAGGGGAAGUCCAUCUCUCAAGUUUGAACCAUAAGAGGCUCCAAAGAGGGCAUAACAAGCAUAAAGGAGGUUAUAAUGGGGGAAUGCACAAGUUCAUAACUUCAUUACCUGAAUGAAAAAUAGAUGUAAGCUAACUCCUGGAUCUUCCUUCCCUUUUAUGGACCUUCCUUCCUUCCCAAUGCUUCCAUGCUAUCACAAAUACCCUCAAACUCAACAAUGGGGCUAGGGUUUACAGGGGAAAUGUUCUGAGAGUGAUAGAGGCGAGGUUGGGGGCGCAUAAGUGUGUUUAAAUAGGGUGCAAACCCUUAAAAUUAGGGCUUCAUCCAGACAGGCGGACUUGCCGAGUCCAGCGUAUGGACUCGUCGAGUAGCCAGCUCAAAACGUGUGAUUGUCUCGUCUCUACUCGACGAUUCGGGCUACAGACUCAUCGAGUACCCCUUAAUAAAUGAAAAUACUUUAUUUGAAUUACAUACCAAAAAUGGGGCAUUACAUAAUGCUUAGCCCAGAAACACGGACGUUACACUUCUCUCCUCCUUAGGAUGAUGCCAUCCCCAGAAUCAUACAUCAACAAACUAAUGCGGAUAGCGACUCAUCAUGUCACUCUCCAUUUCCUAGGUGAGAUUUGACUCAUUCGUAUGUUUCCGUCGCACAAGUAGUAAGUCAACCAUCUUGUGACGCAACUUCUUCGUCUUAUGGUCAACAAUCGCCUCCGGUUCUUCAACUAGCCUCUUAUUUUCAUCCAUCCUUAGCUCAUAAAUUAGAAUUAUGUCAGGAACUUCUCCCAUGAAUUUCCUCAAAUAACUCACAUGGAAAGUGUUAUGAAUAAUGUCUAGUUCUUCUGGUAGUUCUAGCUUGUAGGCUUGGUUCCCAAUCCUCUGAAGAACUUUGAACGGUCCAAUGAAUCUUGGACUUAACUUCCCUUUUUCCCGAAUCUUAUAAGUUCCUUGUAGCACCUGGUUCCUGGUAUGUAAUUUAUUUAAAUAUUUUGCAUUUUUGGCCUUGGACUCGGCAAGUUGAAGGACCAACUUGCCGAGUAGAAGCGGGAUGGGACGUGGGAUUUAAGUGAUGGACACGUCGAGUCGGGUCCCGGACUCGACGAGUAGGCUCUGACUGAAAAACCCUAAUCCGAGGGUUUGCACCCUAUUUAAUCAUCUCAUUUUCCCCUAAUGCUCCCAGAAACCCUCCCUAGUAAACCCUAAGUGUUUUGGUGCAAGAUCUAAGGCUUUUGAGUGAUUUUUGUGGGUUUUGACCUCAAGGAAUAAGGAAGAGCAUAGAAGGAUCAAGAGGAGACUGAAGGAUUAGAGUUUGGUGCAUCAUUUUCAGUCCUUGAAAGGUAUAAAUUAUGUACCUUGCUUGUUCAUUUGUUAGAUCCUUUUUUGGGGAAGAUUUAGGGCUUCUUAAGUCAUAUGAGGUGGCCAAACAUGGUUGGGGGUCAAGACUUCGGAUCUAAGUCUUGGAAGGAGUCCCAAAGCAGAUUUGGGUUGCUUUUGCACCCAAGGAAGGUCCCAUGCAACAUAAGAGCCAUUUUAGAGCCUUUUUGGGUCAAAAGUCCCAUGCAUGCACGUAAAGUUCGAAACUUUACGUUCUAGAUCGAGCUUAGGGCUUGGAUCUAUCUUUUUGUCAAAGGUUGUACAUCAGAAAUCGAGGAUUUAGGGUGUGGAUGUUAUCGAAUCGGCGAGUCAGUUCUUGGGACACGACGAGUCCAAAGCAUAGGGUCUGUUAUCUGUUGAGGGUCAAAAGAACCCAGUUGGGUGUUAGAAGGGUUGUAGAAGGUCCGAGAGAGUGACCCAACGUGUUGGACUUAGCCUUAGACUUGGAAUUCAUGGGACUCGUCGAGUGCUAGAACAGACUCGGCGAGUCCAAGGCAAUCUCCUUAUCGAUGAAGAUGAACUCGACGAGUUGUUCAUACAACUCGGCGAGUCGGGGUCAGGACUUGUUCAUCAGAUGAAGGUGAACUCGACAAGUGUUCAUCCGACUCGGCGAGUCGGAUGAAGGUUCAUUGAUGUUCGUAAAGAAAGGGAACUCGUCGACUUGUUGCCAAACUCGACGAGACGAGUCGUGGAUAAGGACGAGUAAAGGAAAGGGACUCGACGAGUUNAACUCGGGGAGUCGGGUCAACUGGAAGUUGACUUUGACUUGGACUUGGUUGGGGGUAAAAUAGUCAUUUUACCCCAAGAGUAGAUAUUAGUUUUCUGACUGAGUAUUUUGUGGGGAUUAUAGCCGGAGGAUUUCCGAAGCAACAGCAGGCAGAGGUUUCCUGCACAUAUUAUCAGCAGCUACUUGUUCGAGGUGGGUUGCCUACCAGUAGCGGUGGGUCUACGACCACAAUGUCGGCCCACCAAUAGGAGUUGUAUAAUUAUAUGAUUGUCUUUGUGAUAUCAUCUAGGUUGCUUCUACCUGAUAUGUUAUAUGCUGGCAUGAUAUGUUAUAUGUGAUAGUAGUAGAGUUCGGUUGUUAGGACCGAAGGGUAGGUCAAACACCCCAGAUAUGUAUGACAGUAUGUGAUGAUAUGUUUAUAUGCCGACAUGACAUGUUAUAUGGGAUAGUGGUAGUAGGAGGGGAACAGUCCCCAAGUUCGGUUGUUAGAACCGAAGGGUAGUUCAGACACCCCAGAUAUGUCUGAUAGUAUGUUUAUGUUAUGAUAUAUGUGAUAGUAGUGGUACGUGUGGAAUAGUCCCCGAGGGUCGGUCUUUAGGACUGACGGGUAGGUCAGCACCCCAAAAAGACUUGACAGGGGUAGGACGACACCCCAGAAUGGCCGCACGGGUAGGUCGGCACCCCAGAAUGGCCGUACCGGGUAGGCCGGGCACCCUAGAAUUGCCUGGCAGUAUGUAUGCUAUGUGAUUGUAUGGUAUGUGGUACGAUGGGGGAACUUACUAAGCUUCCUGCUUACAGUUUACAGUUUUGGUUUCAGGUACCUCUUCAACAAAGGGGAAGGAGCUGGCGCGGUAGCGGCACAUCAUACACACAUGUUGGUUUCCGCACUAGUGUUUCUUGGGUCGUUACAAGUUGGUAUCAAAGCCCUGAUCUGAGGGAUUCGGACACACCUUGGGGGUGUCUGGACUCAAAUCGAGGGAUUAAAAGACUUUUACAAGAAAAAUGGUUUCUUAAAAGCUAAGAUAAAAGAGUUUUGGGAAAGAACAAAGUGUGUGAUGUGCGCGACCGGCCGAGCUCAAGUAAGUAUUCCCCAAAGUACCCAUACAAGUUUAUGUUAUGUUUAUCAGUUUCAGUAGAAUAGCAUGCUAGAAUAGGACUGAAGAUCUAGGAAUGAUGGCUUAUGUGUCUGCUUUAUGUGCUCCAGCUUAUGAGAAUUGCAUGCUAGUAUUAAGUAGAAAAUAAUAGGAUAGUCUGUUUAGGUUAUGCCUGGUAUUAUGAGCUCAGCAUUGUAUGAUGGUACAACUUCUCGUUAGGAGAAUAGAGUUGUUUGAGUAGUUUCCUGUGUCCGAAUGAUGCUUGCUCAGUGCUUGUAGGACUCUGAAUGAUGGCCGUUAGCCAUUAGGUGAGUACGUCGCGUCGCAUGUCAUUAGGAUUGAAUAAUCUCAGAGUGCUGGAUUUGGCCCUAUUGCGCGGCUCUCGUUUGAGUCUAACCGUUGUAGGGACGAGUCUUUUACUUGAAGGAUUAUCUGAGCCUUGUUACAUGUGAUGGUAUUUAGGUGAUGGCUAAUUGAUAUCACAAGGAGGCCUUCAACAGCCGAGGACCGGUUUGGGUAGAGUCAGAGAUUUUCCCUAGGGUAAGCCUACGAUGAGAGUAGCAGAGAUCAGCAGUGGAAAAAGGGACUUGGUGGAGUCGAGGCCGUCCUUGAGGAAAGUACGGAUAGAUAUGGAAGGUAGUAUGGGCCCGUACUACAGAAAGCAGAGGAUCCGUACUCGAAUUAAGGAAGGCUAAGGCAAGACCAAGGAACUUGUGAUGGGUGUGAUCCCUAUAGAUGUACUAGUAUCACUGACGGAUGUCAUGAUGUAUUGCGGAAUGGUGGUACUAAGGCCAAGGCCAGCAGUGGGUAGCUCAGGAGAGGGAUCGGGUUCGGGUUCAGGCUCCGAACCAGUGGACGAGAGGCUACGCGAGUUCAUCGCGUCUAAGAUCACUAUAGGCAUCCUUGAUGCGACCCCGAUCAUCUUUGGGUCGAUCAAGGAAGGGAUUGUUGAGCUGAUGGAGGAUCGCCUUAGGGCGCUCAGGAGUGACAUGGCGACCAGCCAGUCAGGAUCCCGCAUACUAUCCUUUAAGGACUUCAGGGGCAGUGGCGCGCCGGACUUCCACGGGGAAAAGGACCCCAUUUCUGCUAGACGAUGGAUUGCGGACAUGGAGUCUGCACAGCUGACAAGCUUCUGCCCCGAGGGGCCGAAGGUGAGAUAUGCAGCAGGGUGUUUGAGAGACAGAGCUAGAGAUUAGUGGGAGUCUGUUGUUGACUCCUUGGGAGCCUCGGCUGUUGAGGCUAUGACCUGGUUAGACUUUGUGACCAGAUUCAGGGCGGAGUUUGCGCCAGCUGUAGAGCUUCAGCAGCUGGCCAGAGAGUUUUUGGAUAUGAGACAGACUACGGAGACUGUGGCGGAGAUCACCGCCAACUUCUGGGAGAGGGCAUUGCUUGUGCCCCAGUAUGCGGGAGAUGAGGACAUGAGGAUGACCCGCUAUCAUGACAUGCAGCGAGCCGAAAUUCGGGAGCAUGUUAGUUUUUCAGCUUGCCCUACCCUAGAUUCCAUGAUUUCCAGAUCAAGGGAGAGGGAGAUCGAUCUAGAACAUGUCCAGAAGAGGAAGGUAGAGGAGGGGCAGACGAUUGGGGCUUCGGAGAAGAAGCCUAAGGGAUCAGAUGGUAGGCCGAAAGGCCAGUCAGGACCAGGCCACUGCAGGAAAUGCGGCAGGCCACAUGAGGGGGCGUGUAGAUUGGGAUUGUCGGGCUGCUACAAGUUCGACAAGACGGGGCAAUUCAGCAGAGAUUGUACCGCCCCUACACCAGUUAUUCAGACGUCUGAGUUGCUGUGUUUUCAAUGCAACCAGAGGGGCCACAAGAAAGACAACUGCCCCCAGUUAACAGCAGCAACAGUGCCAGUGAAGGCGCCAGGUCUAGCGACCCUGCGAAUUACUGAUGACUGGAAGGCCAAGGCUGAGGCUCCAGUGGUGAGGAGUCGGGCCUUCCAGUUGACUACCGAGGAGGCACGCGCUGCACCCGAUGUGGUAACAGGUAUGACUUCUUGUUUAUGCUUUUAUGAUAUGCUGCUGUGAUUUUGAUAUGUUAUGUAUGUGCUCUGUUUAGGAUCGUUCCAUGUGAACGGUAUCCCAGUUCAAGUAUUGUUUGAUUCGGGUGCUACCCGAUCAUUUGUCUCUCUUGCGCUUAGCAAGAAGUUUCCUGAGUCUUCGGGCAUGUUGGAUUGCCCUUUAGAGGUUGAGAUUGUAGACGACAGGUCGGUACGAGCAUUAGAGGUCUUCCGAGAUUGUGUUUUGAGGUUGUUCGAGGAGCGUUACAUGGUAGACUUGAUUCCCAUACCCUUGCGGGGGAACAAGGUUAUUAUCGACAUGGAUUGGUGGAGCCCCAAUAGGGCGGUGAUAGAUUGCGCACAAUAGUUGGUGCGAGUCAGGACCCCAGGAGGGGGAGAUUUAGUGAUUUAGGGUGAGAGCCACAGCGAGGGCCAACCUUAUGUUCGGCAACGAGGACAAGGCGUUACCUUCAGCAGGGUUGCGCCGGAUAUGUCGCUUAUGUCAUGGACACCCGGGAGGAGGGAAAGGCGACAGUGGGCAAUGUGCCUGUGGUACGAGAGUUUGCGGACGUAUUCCCCGAGGAGUUGCCUGGGAUACCUCUGGAACGAUAGGUGGAGUUUAGGAUCGACCUAGUCCUUGGUGCGGCUCCGAUAGCCAAGGCACCGUAUCGGUUGGCUCCUCUUGAGAUGCAGGAGUUGUCUACACAGCCGCAGAAAGUAUUAGACAAGUGAUUCAUUAGACCUAGUAGUUCUCCCUGGGGAGCCCCGAUUCUGUUUGUGAAGAAGAAGGACGGGUCGCAUCGGAUGUGUAUAGAUUAUCGGGAGCUGAAUAAGUUAACGGUGAAGAACCGUUACCCACUCCCGAGGAUUGAUGACCUCUUUGACCAGCUACAGGGAGCAUCUUGGUUCUCCAAGAUUGAUCUGCGUUCAGGGUAUCAUAAGAUGAGGGUCAGAGAGGGGGAUGUACAGAAGAUAGCGUUCCGGACGCGCUAUGGCCAAUAUGAGUUCGUGGUGAUGCCUUUCGGGCUCACCAAUGCUCUUGCCGCAUUCAUGGAUCUCAUGAACCACGUGUGCAGACCAAUGUUGGAUCGGUCCGUGAUAGUUUUCAUCGAUGAUAUCUUGGUUUACUCCAAGACACAGGAGGAGCACGAGGAGUAUCUGCAAGAGGUUCUAGAGACUUUGAGAAGGGAGAACUUGUAUGUUAAGUUCUCCAAGUGUGAGUUCUGGUUGCGCGAGGUGCAAUUUCUCAGACACCUUGUCAACCAGAACGGGAUAUCGGUGGACUCGGCCAAAGUGGAGGCCGUGAUGAGAUGGGAGGUUCCAAGGUCUCCAUCCGAGAUUCAGAGUUUCCUAGGAUUAGUCGGCUACUAUCGGAGAUUCAUCCAUGAUUUCUCCAAGAUAGUCAUACCCCUGACCAGGCUAACGAGGAAAGUCGUGGUUUUUCGUUGGGGGCCUGAGCAGCAGGCCGCAUUCGAGACAUUGAGACAGAGAUUGUGUGAGGCACCAAUCUUAGCCCUAUCGGAGGGCAUAGAGAAUUUUGUUGUGUACUAUGACACGCCCAUUUCAGGUUUGGGCGCGGUACUGAUGCAGAGAGGGCAUGUCAUUGCCUACGCUUCGAGGCAGCUGAAGCUUCACGAGGCGAACUACCCGACGCAUGAUUUGGAGCUGGGGGCUGUUGUGUUCGCCCUUAAGAUUUGGCGUCAUUACCUCAAUAGGGUUCGCUAUACUAUCUACAUAAACCACAAGAGUUUGAUGUACCUCAUGGAUCAGCCGAAUCUAAACAUGAGGCAGCGUCGGUGGUUAGACGUGGUGAAGGAUUACGAUUACGAAAUCCUUUACCACCCGGGGAAGGCCAAUGUGGUGGCCGACGCACUUAGCCGCAAGGCAGCGCCGAUCAGGGAUAUUUGUCUGAGGAUGAUAGUGGUGACCCCGCUGUUGGAGCGGAUUCGGGAGGCCCAACGGGAGGCCAUGAAGGAGGAACAUCGGAAGAGCGAGCGGAUUGUGGGGCAAGUUUCCUCCUUCGAUUAUGAUAGCCGAGAGCUGUUGACACUACACCGUAGGGUGUGGGUGCCGUACCACGGGGGUGUACGCCAGGUUCUGAUGAAGGAGGCGCACAAAUCUCGAUUCUCCAUUCAUCCCGGGGCGACGAAGAUGUACAAGGACCUUCUUUUGGACUAUUGGUGGCCCUGCAUGAAGCUGGAUGUAGCAUGGUAUGUGGAGUGGUGCUUGACCUGUAGGAAGGUCAAGGCCAAGCACCAGAGGCCACAUGGAAAGAUGCAGCCGUUGGAUAUCCUGCUGUGGAAAUGGGAAGACAUUACGAUGGAUUUUAUCAUAAAGCUUCCUAGGAUCGCUCGGGGAGUGGAUUCGAUAUGGGUCAUCGUCGAUCGAUUAACCAAAGAGCGCCCAUUUUAUUCCGAUCCAGGAGGGAAUUUUGGCCGAAAAGUUGGCCAACAUCUAUAUCAGGGAGGUGGUGGUGCGGCACAGGGUGCCGGUAUCGGUGAUUUCAGACAGGGACGUGCGGUUCACUUCCAGGUUUUGGAGGAAGUUUCAUGACGAGCUGGGUACUCGUCUGUAUUUUAGCACCGCCUUUCACCCACAGACGGAUGGUCAGAGCGAUCGGACCAUCUAGACAUUAGAGGAUAUGCUGCGAGCAUGUGUUUUAGACUUCGGAGGUAGCUGGGAUACCUACCUUCUGUUGGCGGAAUUCUCGUAUAAUAAUAGCUAUCAUACGAGUAUUAACCGUCCUCCCUUCAAGAUGUUAUACGGGAGGAAGUGCAGAACCCCAAUAUGUUCGGGUGAGGUUGGCCAGAGGGUCAUGAGGAGCAUCGAGGUGGUGCUCAAGAUGACAGAGAGGAUUCAGCAGGUCCGGAGCAGACUUCAGACUGCUCAGAGUCGGCAUAAAAGUAAUCUUGAUAAGCGCCGAUCAGACCUGGAGUUCCAGCUCAAGGAUAUGGUUCUCCUAAAGCUGUCGCCAUGGAAGGGCGUCAUCCGAUUUAGGAAACAGGACAAGUUGGGCGCCACGUACAUUGGACCGUUCAGAUUCUUAGCCCGGGUGGGCAAGGUAGCAUACAGGUUGGAUCUGCCAGCCGAACUCAGCCAGAUCCACAACACUUUCCACGUCUCCCAGCUGCAGAAGUUUCUGGUGGACGACUCAGCAGCGGUACCCUUAAAAGAUAUUCAGGUCGAUGACAGCUUGAAUUACAUUGAGCGGCCAGUAGCGAUCCUCAACCGGAAGUCGAAGGAACUGAGGAACAAGAGGGUUGAACUAGUGAAGGUGCAAUGGCAACAUCGGAAGGGCUCAGAAUGGACUUGGGAGCCAGGGGAGGAGAUGAUCGAGCAUUACCCAGAGUUGUUCCAGGAACGAACAGCAGACUUCGAGGACGAAGUCUAAAAUAAGUGGGGGAGAUUUGUAGCACCUGGUUCCUGGUAUGUAAUUUAUUUAAAUAUUUUGCAUUUUUGGCCUUGGACUCGGCGAGUUCAAGGACCAACUCACCAAGUAGAAGCGGGAUGGGACGCGAGAUUUAAGUUAUGGACUCAUCGAGUCAGGUCCUGGACUCGACGAGUAGGCUCUGACUGGACAAAAACCCUAAUCUGAGGGUUUGCACCCUAUUUAAUCAUCUCAUUCAGCCACCACUCUACCCUAAUGCUCCCAGAAACCCUCCCUAGUAAACCCUAAGUGUUUUGGUGCAAGAUCUAAGGCUUUUUGAGUGAUUUUUGUGGGUUUUGACCUCAAGGAAGAAGGAAGAGCAUAGAAGGAUCAAGAGGAGACUGAACAAUUCGAGUUUGGUGCAUCAUUUUCUGUCCUUGAAAGGUAUAAAGUCUGUACCUUGCUUGUUCAUUUGUUAGAUCCCUUUUUGGGGAAGAUUUAGGGUUUUUUAAGUCAUAUGAGGUGGCCAACCAUGAUUGCAAACAUGGUUGGGGGUCAAGACUUCGGAUCUAAGUCUUGGAAGGAGUCCCAAAGCAUAUUUGGGUUGCUUUUGCACCCAAGGAAGGUCCCAUGCAACAUAAGAGCCAUUUAGAGCCUUUUUGGGUCAAAAGUCCCAUGCAUGCACAUAAAGUUCGAAACUUUAUGUGCUAGAUCGAGCUUAGGGCUUGGAUCUAUCUUUUUGUCAAUGGUUGUACAUCAGAAAUCAAGGAUUUAGGGUGUGGACGUUAUCGACUCGGCGAUUCCGUUCUUGGGACUCGACAAUUCCAAGGCAUAGAGUCCGUUAUCUGUUGAGGGUCAAAAGAACCCAGUUGGGUGUUAGAAGGGUUGUAGAAGGUCCGAGGGAGUAACCCAACGUGUUGGACUUAGCCUUAGACUCGGAAUUCAUGGGACUCGUCGAGUGCUAGAAUAGACUCGGCGAGUCCAAUGCAAUCUCCUUAUGGAUGAAGAUGAACUCGACGAGUUGUUUAUACAACUCGACGAGUCGGGGUCAGGACUUGUUCAUCAGAUGAAGGUGAACUCGACAAGUGUUCAUCCAACUUGGCAAGUCGGAUGAAAGUUCAUUGAUGUUCGUAAAGAAGGGGAACUCGUCGACUCGUUGCCAAACUCGACGAGUCGAGUCGUGGAUAAGGACGAGUAAAGGAAAGGGACUCGACAAGUAGAUGACCCAACUCGGUGAGUUGGGUCAACUGGAAGUUGACUUUGACUUGGACUUGGUUGGGGGUAAAAUAGUCAUUUUACCUCAAGAGUAGAUAUCAGUUUCUGACUGAGUGUUUUGUGGGGAUUAUAGCCGGAGGAUUUCCGGUGCAGCAGCAGGCAGAGGUUUUCCAAACAGAUUAUUAGCAACUACUUGUUCGAGGUGAGUUACCUACCAAUAGCGGUGGGUCUACGGCCACAAUGUCGGCCCACCAAUAGGCACUACUAGAAAAAAGGCGUUUUACGAUGCUCAUUGCGCGUCGUAAAACGCUCAGACAACGCGAAAAUGCGUGUCAAGGAAGGCCCUGUCAUAACGAGAGACGACACGCAUUUACGACACGCAUUUACGACGCUCAUUUACGACACGCAAUGCGUAUCAAGGAAGGCCAUGUCAUAAAGGAUGACGACACGCAUUUGAGUGUCGUAACCUUACGACACGCGUUUAGGACAUGCAUUGUGUAUCAUUAAAGCCCCUGUCAUAAAUGAAGAUGACACGCAUUUGCGUGUCAUAAUCUUCAGCAACCAUUUACGAUAUGCAUUUACGACACGUCUUUACGAUACACAUUUACGCAAAAUACAAAAAUAUGGAAAUAAAUAUAUAACAAAACAAUCAAUUUCAUUCAUUAACAUCAUGUCAAAAAAUUGUAAUACAUAGCGGAAGUAUUUGUUGAGAGCCCAAAAAGUUACAUAAAUCAAUGAAAGUAAAAUUCAUAACUUUUCUAGUUUUCAUAAUCCUAACAAUAGCUGCAUCAACCUGCGAUAUAUUUAUAAAAAAAAUGUGAUUAUAAAUUUAUAAUUACAAAAAAAAAUAAAGCAAAAAAAAAUUGGACCUGAUAUUGACGAUCUUGGGAAACUCUCUCUGUGGUGCUUGCGUUUUCUUCCACAGUUUCCUUCAGCUGGAUAUCAUUCACAUGUACAUGGAAUGGAAUGGAAUAAUGAAAUAAGCAAAGGAAUGGAAUGAGUCAUUCCAUUCCAAUUUCAUAUGAACUUCACAUUAUAAAAAAUUAAUUGAUCUCACCUUUAUACGAUAAAGAGGAGCAGUAAAUACAUCAUUAAACAUGAAGGAAUCAUUGUCAUCCACAUCAGUUUGAACCUAUUCUUUUGUCUCCUUUUCUUCUUUCUCUUUCCCUUGUUCUUUUUUGUCUUGUAUCUUUUCAAGUGGUUGGUACAACAAUAGAGGUAACGGGACAUGUGCCAGUAUUGGGUCCUGAAGAUCUUGUUGCUUUUGUGCUAAGUGUUUUGUGAUUGAGAAGCAAAUGGUCACAAAUUGCAUAUGGGUUCUGGACAUGCAAAUAAACUUAACUAUCGAUCACAUAACAAAAGCAAAUGAAAGUAUGAUGUUAUAAUAAACAAUUCAAAUGCUAAUACCUUUGACAUGUUUGUAUCUACAACAUUUUGGGAGCUUUCGAUGCUUCGAAGAAUUAAAAGUAUUGAAAUAACCUCUUCCUUCUUUAGACUAUUAUGAGGCUUCCCAUCUUCACAAUCACCACCAAUUGCCAACAUAGAAAGAAAUAAAUACAAUUUUCCGGAAAAUAAUAAAAAUUCAUAUAUAUUUUUUUCAUUCAAAGAAUCAAAAUCAACAGGUAUAGUAUGCAUUCAAUUUAUAUUUCAGGAAAAAAAAACUAAUAGUAUACCUACCUGUAUGUGGGUUCAUAGCAAGUUUUCUCUCUUGGAUAAAACAUUAUUUUUUUAUUUUAUUUAUACUAAAUGUUUUUUUUUAUAUUUUGAUAUAAUACAAAUUAAUUUAUGUUUUAGAUAAGCUCUCUUUUACUUNCCUGUCUUUUACUUAUUUACAUUGAAAAUUGACAAAUAGUUCUUUUUCCACAAAAACAGACAAACUAUCUACAAUGAGUUUUUUGCCCUUUGCCACUAUUUAAUCACCUUACCUUAGUUUUACACACAAAAUCCAAUAAUGGAAUAAUGCAUUGAACAUUACACAUUUGCAAAUAAGAUACACAUUAGCAAAAAAUGGUCUUAGCACUAACUUUCACCACCCACCCACCCGAUAACAAAAGAAAAUAUAAUCCGCCCACUCAGUUUCACUUUAUUUGCAAGUAAGUAUAAACAAUAAUAUUGCAGGGUUUUUUUUUCAGUAUGAAUGAGUAUUCAGUCACUAUUCAUCCAUACCUCUUUAAGUAGUUGAUACCAAAUGCUACCAUUAUUCAAUCUCCAUCUAGGGGUAGGGCUAGGUGUUGGUGUUGUUGGAGCAGAAGAAGCAUCAAUGAUAUUGAUAACAAUGAAAGGGGAACUCAAAUCAUCAAGUUCAUCAUCACUUGUGUUUGACUUUCUCAACACUGAUGAUCCAGUGCGACCCAAGUGUUUUAUACAUACAGCCACUCCCUCUCCUCCAACCAAAAUGGUUUUUAUUAUUGAUGAUGCUGAUGGCGGAUCAUAAACAACCGAACCAGCUACACAUGGGACACUGCUCACACAGUCUUCGCCACCCUCUGUAGAAUAUAAAGCCAAAAGAAACCUGUGUUUGUUUACUACUCAAAAUGAAGACAUAAAAGAAGAAAGGAAUAUGCAUUGUAUUGGAAAAAUGAAGACUAAAAACCUCUUAUAUUAUCCAUAUCAAUAAAGCUAUAUUUAUAGCUUCUUAGACACCCACGAUGAAGUAUGAAAACAAUCCAUGCUCUUGACUCCACCUAAUUAGCUUAAGAAUUAACUAUUAUAUAAAACAUAAAACACAAAACAAUAAUAAUUAUCAAAUCUAAAGUUUCAGCCAUGCACGUGAGCUAUGACUAACAAACCGAUUAACCCAACACCUUCCACCCCCAAAUCCUUAGCAUAUAUAAACAAACACCCUCUAAAUGCAUGUUAUUAGACAUACCAAAAUAUCUUUAAUUGGUUGGCUUGUGUGUCCUUCACAUCAACAUAAUUACUUAAUUAAUUAAUUAUACUGAACUCACCUCUGAGUCUAAGGCUUCAAGCACAACUUCAGGAAUAGCAUCUGGACAAAACUCAUCUGGAACAAAACUAUCUAGUAUCCCUUUUAUUAAUGCUACACCAAAACUCAAACAUACCUUCAAAAAAUUUUAAAUAACUUUAGCUUUGUGGAUAACUACACUACUAUAAAAGAAAAAGAGCCCAAUUUUAGAGACCUCUUUUCUGAUUGUGCUAUCUAACAACAUAUCCUUAGGAAGCAUCAUCAGGUCACUUAAUGCAUUCAGGAGAUGAAAAGAUUUGAAUGAUGAAUCAUCAGCAUCUAUAUCAAAUAAAUCAGUCAGCCACCUCGACCAAUUUUCAAUUUGCACAUUGCCAAAUGAACNNNNNNNNNNUAUAUAUAUAUAUAUAUAUAUAUAUAAAGGAUCACUUGCCAUGGGAAUUGGUCGCCUAUGAUUCAGAUCAGAGGCCUGGAAUCGUCAAGGUAGAAAACACAAGUCAAGAAAAAAAAUAAAAUAAGAGACUUUUAGGCAUAAAUGGUAUAUACCCUGUAAUAGGGAUAACAAACUCCUUGAGUGCUUUUUCACUUGUUACUCCAAUUAAUUCGCCAAGACCUUGAGCAUCCUGUUCUCUCAAUUCUGCAGACCUGCUUAUUAGGCCCUGAAGAUAUAUGGGAAGCAAUGGUUGAAGAGCCUUUGGGAGACAUAACCUGGGUAUAACAAUUGGUCCACCCUAUAUGUCCAUCAACAAAUAUUUAAAUAAGAUAAACCUUAAUCACUACUAAAUGCUGAUUAAAAUACACAUAGUUGCCCCUCGAGUUCCAAAACAUUAAAACAACUCUAUUUUGUGCUUAGAUUCCAAAAUAGGACCAAAACAAAAUUCAUACGCAAGUGCUCAAUGGAUGAAAAAACUCAUAUGUACAAAUUCUAAGCCAAAAUACAAGAAUACAUUAGUUCUACAUAAACCCUAUCAACUCGAAAAUAAAAUUUUCUCGUAUAAUAAUUACAUAACCAAAUUAUGUAGUGAAAUCACACAUUAAAGCAAAUGUCUUUGUUAUUGUGAAUUUUGAUACAUCAUAUAUUAUUAUAUUUUUACCUUUAUUAUAGAUUGGUUACCCAACUUUACAUGCAUUUGUUGAGUUUAUUUCUGGAUUUGACAUGCCUUCUGACAUUCACUCAAAGAAGAAAGACAACAUUCUUCUAGAAACUGGGAAACCUUUUCGAUGGCUCUCUUCCAUGAUGAGUUAUCGUUGCCACUAGCUCAUAUCUUCGACCGUAUUUAUUAUAAUUUUUUUUAUAAAUUAAUAAAAAGAUGAAAAUGAUAUAUANNNNNNNNNNNNNNNNNNNNNNNNNUAUAUAUAUAUUAUAUAAAUACAUACCUCUGGUGAUGAUAAAAAAAGGAAAUCACGAUUCAGAGUAAGGUGAAGAGGAAUGUGGAUUGGUUUGAGUAAUUUUGUGCUUCCUUGACUUACAUAGCUAAACCUCAUUAAGUGUAGUAUUAUUAUCUCUGGAAGCUCUAAUAUUUCACUGAUUUACUUGCACAUACUAAUUCACAUAAUAAUAAAAAGAAGUAUACAUUUCCUGCUGAUGAAGCACGAUACCCUUCAAGUGUCUCUGGAGCUGAAAAAAGAUGAAGUGCAUCUUCUAUUGUAUGCAUAGGAUCUGGACAUAUAUUCAAAUGGAGCAAAAGAAAUGGCUGAAUAGUUGCAGAUGCUUUGUUACCUAUUUUUGUUUUACAUUAAAAAUAUAUAAAUGAUGAAUUAAUGAUAUCAUGUUAUUGAGAUGAGUGAAAAAUGUUAAAAGAUUAAAAAAAAAUACCUCUUGCUUUCAUUACACUUUUUAUUUGGCCUUCGAAGAUCUGACUUAAUUUUGAAGGAAUAAAACUUUGUGUUCUUGUGAUUGUAGUUUUGUUCUUUGGUCCAACUGUUUCCCAAAUAUCAUCAUCAUCUUCAUCACUUAAAGAUGAAACCAGUGAAACUUUUCCACCAUUAAAAUUACAAACUUCUCCUUCAAGUUUAAGAAGUUCAUCAUGCAUUUGGUGCAUUACAAAGCUUAAAAACACCUGAGCAUCUUCUUGCCUUUUUAAAAAACAAACUUCAACUCAGCAUCCGAAAUUCCAAACAUAACAUAUAUAAAAUUUGUUGAUUAAUUUUAUAACAUUAACACAAACCUUGGUCUUCCAGAGAAGCUAUUUGGCAUAUCUGGAGAGAAAUUGUUGAGAACAGAUUCAAACAUGAUAGGUCGAAAAGGUUUCCCAGUUUCUAGAAGAAUGUUGUAUUUCUUCUUUGAGUGAAUGUCAGAAGGCAUGUCAAAUCCAGAAAUAAACUCAACAAAUGCAUGUAAAGUUGGGUAACCAAUUUGUAAUAUAGGUAAAAAUAUAAUAAUGUAUGAUGUAUCACAAUUCACGAUAACAAAGACAAUUGAGUCCAACUCCAUCGGCGUUUGCUUUUGAAUGAAUUCCUUGGGAUAAACCUUCCAUAUACGCUCUGCUCCCUUUCCUUUUGGAACAAAACACCAUAGCAAGACUCCAAAUAUGUAAUAAUAAUCGAUCGAUAAAGUUUCUACAUAAGUUGCAGGUGAUCAAAAAUGGCGGAAAUCAGGAAAUGUAAAUUGUACCUUUAGCGAGAUUAGGGUAAAGCCAUCACAAGUUAGAGCCAUCAUCACCUGUGGGAGACCUAGGGGAAGUUGAUCGCCUCUAUCCACCUGCCAAAAAAGUGAAUCGUCUUCCCAUAAGUUUUCGUCACUUUCUCUCGAUCUUGCCGCUCAACCGGACCAAGGACGCCGGGAAGGAAAAGGACGUCCCUCUUCACCUCAUACUCGUGGAUGUGCCACAUUGGCUUUUCUGAAUCCGGCAAGGUGAAGAACAAUUUUUAUGUUACGAUGUUUUCAACUCCGAUUAAAAAAGCCCUAGAAAUUAUCCCAGUGAUUUUGUGAUAUAUGAGUUGUUGAGGUAUACAGCAGAGGUGGUAUCGUGAUUAGGGUUUGCAGAGAAAAGGGGGAAGAAGAGAAUGAAGGGGAUCAAGCGGGGUAUUAAAAAAUUUAAGAUUUUUGAGAGGAUUUCAUUUCCCCCUUUCAAGAAGGCGCGUUUUAGUAAAAAUUAUAAAGCGACAAUCACAGAGGACGCAUAUUUUAGAUAAAGUGCCCUCCGUGUUUUUAUUUUUUUUACAUUCGACACUAAUUUAAGGGCAUGCAAUAAUGCGUGACCUAAAUCCUCAAAUUUUUUGAAGAGACGACACUUUUUUAUUGUCACUCUCGUUUGCGUAACAUAAAUCAAUAAGUGUCGUGAUUUGCACAUCGUAAAAGGGUCUUUUUCUUGUAGUGAGGAGUUGUAUGAUUAGAUGAUUGUCUUUGUGAUAUCAUCUAGGUUGCUGCUACCUGAUAUGUUAUAUGCUGGUAUGAUAUGUUAUUUGUGAUAGUAGUAGAGUUCGGUUGUUUGGACCGAAGGGUAGGUCAGACACCCCAGAUAUGUCUGACAGUAUGUGAUGAUAUGUUUAUAUGCUGGCAUGAUACGUUAUAUGGGAUAGUGGUAGUAGGAGGGGAACAAUCUCCAAGUUCGGUUGUUAGAGCCGAAGGGUAGUUCGGACACCCUAGAUAUGUCUGAUAGUAUGUUUAUGUUAUGAUAUAUGUGAUAGUAGUGGUAGGGGUGGAAUAGUCCAAGAGGGUCGGUUUUUAGGACUGACGGGUAGGUCAGCACCCCAGAAAGGCUUGACACGGGUAGGACGAUACCCCAGAAUGGCCGCAUGGGUAGGUCGGCACCCUAGAAUGGCCGCACGGGUACCUAGAAUGGCCGCACGGGUAGGUCGGCACCCCAGAAUGGCCGUACCGGGUAGGUCAGGCACCCCAGAAUUGCCUGGCAGUAUGUAUGCUAUGUGAUUGUAUGUUAUGUGGCACGAUGGGGGAACUCACUAAGCUUCGUGCUUGCAGUUUACAGUUUUUGUUUCAGGUACCUCUUCAGCAAAGGGGAUGGAGCUGGCGCGGUAGUGGCACAUCAUGAAUGGUUUUCCGCACUAGUGUUUCUUGGUAUUGUACUAUGACAUUAUUCUUAUUUUUGUGAAUGGUUUUCAGACAUGAGAUGUGGUUUUAUGAAAAGUUAUGAUUAGAUGGUGUUUUCUUAUAAAUGUUUUUACAAGUCAAUUUUAAAAAUGAAAUUUUUGGACUUGUAAAUUGGGUCGUUACAUUCCUUCCAUGGUAAGACUUUAAGCAAAACCAAAUCUCCAACUUCGAAUGCCAUCAGUCGUCUUUUCUUGUCAGCAUAGCUCUUUUUACAAUCCUGAGCUGCUAACAUCCUUUCCCUAAUCACUCUUAACUUUUCAACAGUCUGAUGGACUAUCUCGGGGCCCAUAAACUGCCUUUGUUCAACUUCAAGCCAACAUGACGGCGUACGACACUUUUUUCCGUACAAAGCUUAAUAAGGUGCCAUCUUGAUGCUUAAGUGGAAACUAUUAUUGUAGGAAAACUCUACCAGAGGUAAGUGUUCAUCCCAGUUACCUUGGAAUUCUAGGGUACACACUCUUAGCAUUACUAUAGUGUUUGAAUCGUCCUUUUUCUCUAACCAUCGGUCUGUAGAUGGUAGGCUAUACUUAAACACAGCUUCGUACCCAAUUCUUCUUGUAGACUCCUCCAAAACCUUGACGUGAAACGGCUAUCAUGGUGUAACGCCCAUGUUUCUAGGCUAGGCAUUAAUGAUAAUGUAAUAGUCUAGGUUAACCUUUGUAACCCGUCUUGAAAUAAUAAAAAUGUAUUAUUUGAGUAUUAUGUGUUUUGUGCUUAAUUGUGUGACUUAAAUGAAUUAAGGAUAAAAAUAAGCAUCAAAAUGAAAUGUUAGAUAAACUCGAUAUCUAUGAAGGAUGUGGUAGUGGUCGUGGCAAGGUUUCCAAAUAUAUAAAGAAUGCCAAAAUCUGAGUUAUAACGAAAAAGUUAUGAUCUGUCGAAGUUUCGUUACAGAACCGGCACGGCACUGCGUGACGUAAAUAGUGAAUUUACGAUAGAGCGAUAUUUAGUCUUAGUGAUCUAAACAGAAGUUGUAGAAUAAGUUUAACCGAGAGCGUGCAUAAGAAGAACGUCUAAAUUUGACUUCGUAUGAGGAAGUUAUGAUUUUUCGAAGUUUCGAUUUAGCAGUAUGCAACCCAAAUCUCGAAUUACAGAUCGAGUGAUACUUGGCCGAAACAAUCUAAACGGGAAUCGAAGAUCUCGUCGAUAGUAGUCCAAAAGUGAAAAGACAUACGAAAACGGACGUCGGAUGAAGAAGUUAUGAAUUUCUAACGGAGUUUUCCUGUCCGACCUGCUAAAAAUAAUAUAAUAAAAAUAAGUUCAAAAUUAGCCGACGCAGUCUAAACGAAAGUUGUAGAGCAUAGUCUCACCUAUGUGUGGAUAUAAAGAACAUAAAAAAUGGAGCUCGUAUGAGGAAGAUAUGAUAUUAUGAAGUUUUUAAAUAAUUAAAAUAUAUAAAUUUUAUUAUAUAUUCGGAUAAUAUCCGAAUCCAUGACUCAGCCGAUCUGAUCCGAAGAUUACGCCCAACGUACUGCUUGUAGAGGCAUUACGCCCAGCAUAAUCAGGAUUUACGCCCAACGUAAAUCGAGGUUUCAUCCCCUAUAAAUAGAAGUCGUGGGCAGCCGAGUUUUGUUGCUCAUUUCUUCCUCUCUCUCCCGUUUUACCUCGUUUUACGUGCAAGCUUUACCCCCGAAGCCGCGGUAUCAUUCCCGAGACCCGAAGCCCCGGGGAUCCCGAGAAGUAAAGUUUCUGAGCCGAAACUCUGCCCGUGUAAAGCCCGGUUUUGGAGAAAACGUCCUGGUUUUAUCGGAAAAUAUUAUUUUAAUAUAUGAGGUGAUGUCCGAUCAUCUUCUUAUCAAGUGAGUGUAUAUUCCCUUUCUUCUAACACAUAGAUAUGAAGUAUCUACUUUAGAAUAUGUGUUACAUGUGUAUAAAUAUACGUGUAUAUAUAUGUUAUCUGUUUAUUUGGAAUGAGUAUCUUAUUAGUUUUUAAGUUACAUAUGAAUGCAUAUGUAUGUUGUUAUCUACAAAAUGUUGGGUAGAACUUGUGUAGAUAGUUGAUGUGUGAUAAACUGAUGAGAUGCCUCGAUGUGAUUGUGAUCUAGUCAUUCAACAGAAUAUGGGUGACGACCACGGACUCUUUCUAGACUGUCCCGUGGAAUGCUGGCAGGCUCAUAACCUGUAGGUGUUGGUGAACUUGGGUGUUCAUUUGUUGUAUUCUAUCCCCCUCAUGGUUGCCUUAGGACAUUCAUUGUUGAGAAAACCCCUCUGCAGUAGUGUCCGUCCUGAUGAAAAUCCUAGAUUAGGUCCCUUGUAAUAGUUAUUGUCAUAGUGACGUAAAGUGAGGAUAACAGGAAUGGGUAAUCAGGUUAUUGUUGGUUGGUGAAAUUAAAUAUAAUUAGUUAUUGUGGGUUGAAAACCCUAUAUGCUCACCAGGCUCCCAAGCUUGACCCACUCAGUUUUUUUGUAUUACAGGUAGUGGUGCGAGGGCAUAAGUUGGAGAACUUAUGAAGAUGUUUUUGUUUAUAGACCAGUAGUUGUAUAUAACAGUGUAAGGUCUAUGUUUUACUGUUUAUGCUUUUGUGUCUGUAUCGGAACAUGACAUCCUGAGUUUUGAUAUAUAAUGAAAAUACAUUUCUUUAAGAAAUGUUUUGAUAAACUUUAUUUUAUCAUGUUUUGUUUUAGGGACAAAUUCUGCAACUCUUUUAAAUCAAUGGAUUUACUCUGAAAUUAUUUUAAAAACAUAAAUGAAACCGGCCUUUUCUGGCCGUGAUUUUGGGGAUUUCACACAUGGUCUGAUACUAUCUUUAAAGGAACACCAUGAAGUCUUACUACCUCCUUCACGUAAGCAUUUGCAAGCUUAUCUGUAGACCAUCUUGUUGGAUUAGUGUCUAAGUCCAUAACUAUUUUGGUAUGUACUUGACCCGAUGGUGCAUGGUCCUUUUGGGUUGCCUUCACCAAAGCAACUUGAUUGGAGAAAUAAAUAAAGAGAGAGAGGUUAUUAUGAUUUAUUAAUAUGUUAUAAGAAUAAUAUAUUAAAGGAGAAAUCAUAUUUGUUUAAUUAAUAUUGGUCAAUAAUUAAUUAAGAAUUAAUUUUGUGAUCAAGUGUAAUUAAUUAAACUAGAGGGGCUGAAUUGUAAUUAUGUGAUAGUUACAAAAUAAGGUAAGGAUUAUCUUAAAUAUAGGGUGAACGAAUUUAAGGAGAUAAUGCCUUAGAAUUCGACUAGGAUAAGGGUUUCUAAGACUUAUCUUAUGGUUGCUUGGUGGGCAAGCAACUAGAUAAGGAUAAGGACUAAAACCCUAAUCUUUACACCUAUAUAAACCCCCUAAGGCUCAUGAAUUCGUCUAAGCCUUCCCAAGAAGUCCUAAGGACGAAUUCCUACCUCUAUCCUCUCUCUUUAUACCUUCUCCAUUUGCUCUUGGUGUUUGUGAGCCAUUAGAGGAGUGACACUUGUGACUCUAAGCCUUCCAAAGUCAAUUCAUGGAGAAUUGGGAUUGUUAUUACUACAUAACAAUCAAGGUAACAUCUUAAACCUAAUUAUAUGUUAAUAUUGAUUUCCAUAUGCUAGAAUUAGGGUUUAUAGUCUUGGAUUCAUUGCAUGUACAAUAGAGAAACCUAGAUCCAAGCAUUAGGGUUUGUAUGAGCACAUAGGAUGUCUUAUGACCAAAACCCAUCAGUGGUAUCAGAGCCUAGCUUGGUUUCAAUUGUAUUGAUGCAUUGUAUAACUGGAAAAUUCGUUUUUUGGGUUUCUGGAGGCUGGACUCGCCGAGUCCAUAGAUGAACUCGCCGAGUCCAUGCUGACUCGACGAGUCCAUGCCUGACUCGGCGAGUCGGCUCGUCAGAAGGAGGGAAAACCGGGAUUUCUUGCUGUUUUUGCUUAAGGAUAGUUGCCUUAUCAUAUUAGAUCAAUAUAAAUCCGAUUUUAUGAUAUAUUUGACUAUAUUCUUGAUCUAAUUGAAGAUAUUUAUCAAUUAAUAAAAUAUUUGUUUCCUUAUGUGAUAAUUGAUUAAUUAUUUUGAUUAAAUUGAUAAAUUGUUUUGCAAGAAAUCAUUAAAUAAAUCAAAUAUGGAUAAUUAUGUGAUUAAAUGUUAAUUUAGAUUAUUUGUUAUUUGAUCCUUGUUGUUAUGAAAAGUUUCAUAUUUUCCCCUUUAGGUUUUAUAGUUUAAAUUUGAACCCAAAAGUUUUGUUGUUUUGAAAUUUAAAUAGUUGAAACCCUAAUGUUUUGAAAAAGGUUUCAAAACUUGCCCUCAAGUUUUGGAAUUUAAAUUUUGAUUAAAUAGUUUAAUUUUGAUGUAUAUUUAAAUUCUAAACCCUAAUGUGUUGAAAUGUUUCAAAACUUGCCCUCAAGUUUUGGAAUUUAAAAGUUGAUUAAAAGUUUAAUUAGGAAUGUUAAAUUCUAAAACUCUAGUAUUGUUUUGAAAAAGUUCAAAUCACACCCUUAUGGUUUUAUUAAUUAAUUAAGGUGUAUAAUUAAAAGAGGUUUAAUAAAUCCAUAAAAGUUUUGGUUUACAAUUUAAUUGAAUUAAAAGUAUAAUUGUUAAAUUUGACCACCUAGUAUUUUAAAAGUGUAAAAUACACCCUAUACUAUAUAUAACAUUAAAAGUCUAACAUUAUAUAUAUGUAUGAGUAAAAGUCAGUCUUACCGUUAGUAGGCCUCAUUCACGAAGCUGGUCUAUAAGGGGUGUUUAAGGAAAUUGCCUAUAAAAUGGCGAUUGAAUGGGUAUCCACUCUUACCCACCGCACUCUUGACUAGUGGAGGGUCGUUAGCCGAACGGGUAGGAUAGGACGAAACCUUCCAUUAUAAGUAUAAUGAAGUAUAAAAGUAACUAAAUGUUUUCAUAAAAUUCCCAAUCUUAGUUACUUAGGCAAAAGUGAAUUGAUGCAAUUCCAUGAAAUUACACUUUGUGCCCUUGCGAAGACGUUAGUGGAGCGUGUGUGGUUUACCGGCACACUAAAUGGUUCUAAGCAAAGGUAGCAAAGGGUGACUCAAUGUUUGUCAUAGUUCGGUGGAGCGUGUGUGGUUUACCGGCACAUCGAAUAGGUGACUGUAACAUGUGAGGGCACCAUGUAAGUUUGCAUGGUUAUUCACACCCGCUUUGUGAUCCUCGGCAUCCCAGUCACAAACAAGAGGGGCAUAUCGAGAUUUAAACAUGCCAUUGAAAUGUUCAAUGAAUCUCAAAGGAUCUAGGAGUUUUCAUAGAUUUAAAACUUAAAUUUCUUUUUCGUUUUUCAUGGUGGAAAUUAGUGAAUCGUCAUUCACUUACCUUCAAAUGUUCUGCAAUUUGGGUUACGGCAUCCCUCUCCCGAGUUGUAGAAUAUUGUGUUGGGUCCUAGCCUUAGUAUCUCAUUUGGGUGAUUUACUAAGGACUCAAUCAAUCAACUAACUUGAAUUCUUUUUCUCCCGUUUUGUAGAUGUCAAAGUUCGACAACUAUGGUCUUCCCAAAUCCCGUGGAACAAGCAUUCCACAUGAAGAUGAUAUUCCACGAUUCGAUCGAGGAACAAGAAAUCAUGCUUCACUUCCUCCACCUCCUCCAAUUAUUCUCCCUAACCCACAAGUUCAAAGGCUUGAAAAGUUCAAGAUCACUCAAGCCCUUUUGGCAAGUAAACAUAAAGAAGGAAAGUCGGUGUGUGCACACGUCCUAGGGAUGAAGUCACACAUUGAUAGGUUAAGAAUGUUGGGAUCCGUUGUCUGUGAGGAAAUGGCUGUUGAUUGGGUUCUUCAGUCACUUCCUAACUCAUAUAGUGAGUUCGUAAGAGAGUACUAUAUGAUGAACCGCGACGUGACCCUUAUAGAUCUCACCUAUAUGCUUAUUGCUGCUGAAUCAGCAAUGGUUUGGCGCAAUAGAAAAGCAAAGUUGAUUGGUGAAUCUGCCUUCAAGACCUCUAUGGAUAUAGACAAUGGCAACGAAAGACAUGCUAUGAUCGAAAAGUUUGAUCAUAAGAGAAAGGCAAUGUCUGAAGUAGUUCCAUGUCAUGUUCCAAAAGAGUCAAUUUGCUUUUAUUGCCAAGAGAAAGGGCAUUGGAGACGAAGCUGCCCCAUUUACCUAAGAGAUCUAAGAGAUGGGAGAGUCGAAACGUAUGGCUCUAAUAUAGGUAAAAUCCAUUAACUAACUCUUUUAAGCUUCUAUUCUAGAUUCUUAAUACAUAAUGUGAUAAGAUUACAAUUGAUGUUUUGUAGGAUCGAAGAAAAGAAAGGAAGCUUAAGGGAAGAAGUGAGCAGAAUCUAACCGUGAAGGAAUGGAUUUCGAUCGCAUUUCUCGAAGAUUAGAUUCUUGAGCUACUACUUAGAGUUAGAAUUAGAUUGCUAAGAAAGAUGUAUUAGCAUAGUUUUUCAAUGAAUUGCAUUGUAAGGACAAAUUUUUCCGCAAUAAAAUAAAUUUUGAUUUUAAAUUUUAUUUAUUUAUCCUUACAAUGGCGUGUAUGAAAAAUUGAUGUUAAAAUGUUUCUAUUAUUAGCAAUAAUGGAUUUGGUUCUUAUUAUGUUAUUUAUGGAAAGUCGAGAAUUUACCAAAUAGGGAGAGUUUCUCAUCGCCCAAGUUUCAAUUGGACAGAAACUUGGAAUCAUGCAACUUGGUUGCACGAUGAAUGAGAAAUUUCAUAUUUGGAAAUUAGACUAAUUCAUUGACAAAGUGUCAAGUGAAGGACUAGGAGAUCGAGUACACAAAGUUGCGUGUUGAUCAAGUCCACCAUAAGAGUAACAAAGAUAUUCGUCAUGAUUUACUAAAGGUUUAGUAAAUAUGAUUAUACUUAUAAGAUUAAGUGUAAUUCUGAAUUGAUUGAAAAGGUUUAAAUCAAUAGCAGAACGAAUAAGAAGAAUCAAGUAGGCAGAAAGAUAAAAGUUUCUCCAUUCUAAGAAGAAGGGAGAGUACCUUUUAUGCUUUAUGAUAGGUCUUAAUGAUUAAGAACCAUAUCUCAAUUGAUCCUCUAAGUGAGUCUUAGUACAAUUGUAUGUCUAAGAAGAGGAAUCAAGAAUUGAAGAAAUGGUUAAAUCAAGAAGUCAAUCAUACUUCGUUCCAAAACAAGUCUUAGAGUUAAGAUUGUGACAUUGAGUGAUAAGUAUAAAGAAGGUUUAUAACAUUCAUUAAAUGUGGAAAGUUGUGAUGUCUUGGAUAAGACAAAGACCAACUAGGACCAAUUUAUGAAGUGUUUUGAUAAAAGCUACACUAACUCUUGAAUAUUUGUUUGUCAAGAAAUGGUUAUUGACAAGAGAAUCUUAUAUGUCAAGGAGUCAGUGGGAGUCUUAAUGGUCUUGAAAGGUUUCAAGAACAAAUCAAAUAAACCUUAUCGAUCAUCACUAGCACACGAGUUGAGGUUUACAACCUAUCGUGUUGACAUUAUUUUGAUUCUGUGCCAAUCCAAUCGAGUUAAUUAUGCAUGUGAGUUCUAUGAGUUCUCAUUUUGAACGCAUAAAAGGCAAAGCACCUUAAUCAAUGAAAGGUACAUUGAUAGGAAAGGGUGAGCUGCUUAACUACUUGGAAGACAUGGUGGGCAGCUGUGCUACCAUAAAGGCAAGAAAUCGAGAUCAAGAAAGUUCGAUCCAUAAGAGUUUGAAUUUGUCGUAAACUUUGGUUUUGACAAAUUCACAUGGAUAGGAACAAAUACACCGUUUAAAUCUAAGUGUCAUAAGAUUUCCUCCUUCAUGAAAAUGAUUGUGAGGAAAUGCUUUCACUAAGACAGAUUUUAAGAAGAUAGUGAUUGUAAAAUUGCAUUCUCGAAUUCAAUUAUGGUUACGGCAUCCCUUUCCAUAAUUUGAAUUGUGAGGUUUGGCAAUUAGUCUUAAUUGUUUAGACACACAUAUGAACUAUCGAAGGCAAAGGUGUAUAAGUUCAAGAAGCCUUGAUAAAAGAUUAUCAAAGCACUAAGUAUUAGAAACAUGAACUUAAGAAAUUCAAUAAGCAUUUUUUUUCUGAAAGUUAAGAUGUUUAUGAAUACAUGUCGAAGCUAGUGGGAGCAUAAGUGUUAUGUUUUAUAAUAAUCAUCAAGAUAGUGGGAGCAUAAAAGUUAUGAUUGUAUGAUUAUUAAGGAAAGUAUUGCAAGGUUAGCAAUAUUAAUUAUAGAAAACAAGAGUCAUACUUUGCAAAGUCGCAAUAGUUGAAGAGUUGUUUUGCUAUAAUUAAGGGAGAGAAUAUUAUGCUUCAUUUCAAAUCUAAAGGUUUAGGUUGAGAAAUGUUAAUAAAAUUUAGUCAAAGGUACAAAGUGUGUUCUUAAAAUUUCGAUUAUGAUUACGGCAUCCCUCUUCACAAUUCGAAUUUUGAGAACAUAGCAAAUAAAACAUUAUGCGUCGUGUCCCAUACGCUUCGGGUAUAGGAUCGAUUGCAAAUGCUUUAAUGUUUGACCAUUCUAAAAUUUUCCAAAUGUCGAGCGCAUUUAGAGGGAAAAGGGACUAGAAUUGGUUUUGACUAAAAUAAUUAAACAACUAUCAAAGGACAAUCCAAAGUUCGACGAGGAUUGGUCGCUUGUGAGUAGUUGGAAGUAUAGUAUUGGAAAAUAUGGAAAUGUUUCCAUAUUGGAUGGACCAUAUCGACAUCAUUACGAAUAGAUAAGAUUCUAUUAAGAAUGAGUUGUCAUAUGGAACAUAUGGAAGUGUGUCCAUAUUGGGAAUUGAAUAUUGAGAAAUCUAUGACUAGAUUAGAAACUUCUAUGCAAAAGGAUGUUCAAAGAAUGUACUUUGAGUGAGAGACAUCACAUCUAUGGAAUUGUCUUGUAACAAUCUCCGAUAGAGGACUUUGUAAUAUCAUUGGCAAUAGUCUUUGUGACUUUGGUGCAGUGACAUUACGAAAGGAUCGUUGCAUAAAAUGUUAGAAUCUAGCAUAUUCUAUAAGUAGCAAGAAUUUGAUAUUCUUUCACUUAUGAAAAGGAUUUGGAGUUGUGAAAUGAGAAUGAUUGGAAAUGUGUUCAAUUUGAUCUAUUUCACAAAGUAAGAACCAUAGGUAAACAUUGUGUGCAUGCUAGGAGCAUGGGACAAGUGUAAUAAUUCAAGUAAGAAGUUGAUUACCCGAAACGACAAAUAAUGAGUAAUCGAUAUGGUGAUAAAUAAAAGGUGUUUUAUUUAUACUCAAAGGUUUGAGGCCAUAUGGGAUUAGUAUUAUUCUUGUGUUUCACAUUUGCAUGUUUUGACUUCCAGAAUAAUUGAGUUUAUUAAGAAUAAUCGAAUUAUUCGAACGGGCCACAGUCGUUCAUAUGUUGGAAGUAGAUAUGAAUGAAGACUGUCGUGAAUUGGUGUGUGGAUUGUCUAAAAGAGUAUUAGACAUAAGCAAAUGUUUGCUGCAACGUUCAUGAGUGCUUAUGAAUAUGAUUUGAGCAUUGGAUUAAACCCACGCUCACUUGGAUCACUCCAUGAAUUGUAUCACGAGUGAUUGGUGAGACGAUAACAUCUUAUAUUCUUGAAACCGAGAUGUGUGAGUUGUAUCUUGCGAAUCGGUUGCACAUUGAUAAUAUGUAAACGCACUAGUAACUUGGUGUUAUAAAACAUAUUGUUGUGUGUGAUUUGGUUAGUAAGUGCAAGCAAGCAUUGUAUCAAAGUUUAUCCGUUCCUUUUAUCCAAAGUAGGAUAAAAGCGAUAUCUUUGGGCCCCUCGAUGAUUUAGUGAUGACAAACGUAAAUGCUCGGCCGGGCUAGGGCUAAUUUGAUUUGUUCAAUUAGUCAGUCGUCAUAAAUCGGGAAUCGAGAUAUAGUACAAAGAGAAUGAUUUGAAAUCAUAUCUCAUAUGAUAUCUAGAAUGGAGGAAUAUAUGAUCCCUUAUCUAAGGACACGCGUAUCUGAUAUGAUCAGAGUUGACAGCGGCUUUGGAAAGCUACGAUUGCAGAUCAGGAUCUGAAGUCAUACGCAGAAUAGUUGUUAGACUUAUCCAAGUGGGAGACUGUUGGAUUAGUGUCUAAGUCCAUAACUAUUUUGGUAUGUACUUGACCCGAUGGUGCAUGGUCCUUUUGGGUUGCCUUCACCAAAGCAACUUGAUUGGAGAAAUAAAGAGAGAGAGAGGUUAUUAUGAUUUAUUAAUAUGUUAUAAGAAUAAUAUAUUAAAGGAGAAAUCAUAUUUGUUUAAUUAAUAUUGGUCAAUAAUUAAUUAAGAAUUAAUUUGUGAUCAAGUGUAAUUAAUUAAACUAGAGGGGUUGAAUUGUAAUUAUGUGAUAGUUACAAAAUAAGGUAAGGAUUAUCUUAAAUAUAGGGUGAACGAAUUUAAGGAGAUAAUGCCUUAGAAUUCGACUAGGAUAAGGGUUUCUAAGACUUAUCUUAUGGUUGCUUGGUGGGCAAGCAACUAGAUAAGGAUAAGGACUAAAACCCUAAUCUUUACACCUAUAUAAACCCCCUAAGGCUCAUGAAUUCGUCUAAGCCUUACCAAGAAGUCCUAAGGACGAAUUCCUACCUCUAUCCUCUCUCUUUAUACCUUCUCCAUUUGCUCUUGGUGUUUGUGAGCCAUUAGAGGAGUGACACUUGUGACUCUAAGCCUUCCAAAGUCAAUUCAUGGAGAAUUGGGAUUGUUAUUACUACAUAACAAUCAAGGUAACAUCUUAAACCUAAUUAUAUGUUAAUAUCGAUUUCCAUAUGCUAGAAUUAGGGUUUAUAGUCUUGGAUUCAAAGCAUGUACAAUAGAGAAACCUAGAUCCAAGCAUUAGGGUUUGUAUGAGCACAUAGGAUGUCUUAUGACCAAAACCCAUCACAUCUUUCAUUGGCUACUAUGAAGUGUGCACUCUUAGUAAACCGAUCAACGACCACCCAAAUCAUGUCGUGACCGUCCUUCGUUCUGGGCAGUUUAGUGACAAAAUCCAUGGUAAUGUCUUACCACUUAUCCAUGGUUACACAUAAAGGUUCUAAAAUCCUAUAUGGUUUCUGAUGUUGUGCCUUAACUCUCACAUAGGUCACACACUUGGCCACAUACUUUGCAAUGUUGAGCUUCAUCUUCGGCCACUAGUAGUAGGGUUUCAGAUCCCUAUACAUUUUUGUGCUGCCGAGAUGAAUCGAGUACAUGGUCUUGUGAGCUUCUUCCAUCAGAAGAUCUCUUACUUCGCCCAUCUUGGAAUACCUUUAAUCCUUGAUUAUUUGUACCGAAAACCAAGUUUUUGCUUAAACAUUCUUCCUUUUGGUCAUUCUCCUCUAAAACUUCCUCCCAAGCUUUGUUGAUGCUUUCCACAAUCAUUGUGACAACCUCUAUUGAUUGUUUUGAUUAUAUUUCUCUUCAAUCUUCUGUCCUAACUCAGAUGCUACAUGAAACUUGGUUCUCUGAACCAUGUAACAUACUCAUCUUAGUUGGACUCGAUAUGAUACGACCACUAGGGUCAGAAUCAGAAUCAUCUUCUUAGUCAUUACCAAAACGAUGGUAAUGAAGAACUUGAACAAAACAGAAUCAAUUACUAGCUUCUUAGUAACCUUGCGACUUUCACUGAUCCAAGUGCAAGUCCUGUGCUUCCGGUAGUAUAGGCCUCUACUACCAUUCACACCUACUCAUACUCGUUCAAGGUGCUAUCUCACAGUUUUCCAAGUCAUCAUUCAAGAGUUUCACAUAAUCAUUUAACACAUCAGAUAACAAAAUCAAGGUUUUAUAUUAUUUCUUGAAAUGAUUACAUAAAUGUUCAACUUCGUCCUAUACUAUGCCUCUAAUAAGUUGCGCUACAUGAUGCUAUCCACAUGGCCACUUCAUAACUUGAUCUUCGGAUAUCAGUCCUCACUCCUGCUUCCUUGCAUUGUCAGCUGCUUCGUUAAGGAUCAUUUGGAAUGCCCUUGGCUGGGGCGGUGCGUUUGGCCUUGCCGCUUUAUUCUUCCUUGGGCGGUUCUUCAAAAUAUGCCAUCCUUCAUUGCAUUCAUAGCACACCCUCUUGCGGGAUGUACACUCAUUGGCGUAGUGCCCAGGAUUUUCACACUUAAAACAAGUGACCUCCCGUCACAUUUCCCAUGGUGCUUCUUUUUGUACUUUUCACACCAUUUCGCUUCAACUCCUCCUCCUCUCGAACCAGACUUCGAGAAAUUACUUUUCUUGUUGGAUUUCGAAGAUCCAUCAAACUUCCUUUUCUUACCAACCUCUGCCCUCUCCAGACCCUUCUCCCUUAUCCGUGUCUCAACAAUCUUCAUAGCUCUAACGACUGCCUUCAACGUGCUUGCCAUUUUGACUAUUGGGCCAAAGUCUGAUGGCAAUCCGUUAGCAAAUUUCUCUAUCUUGGCGAGUUCAGUCGACACCAAGUAUGGAAAUAACUUCAUCUUCUCAGUGAAUGCAGUAGCAUAAUAAUCAAUGCUUAUUCUCCGUUCUUCAAUUUCUGGAACUCAUUGUUUAGAUCUAUCAUAUCUAUUUCGGAGCAGUACUGCAUUUUCAACUGCAUUAUGAACUCUUCCUUAGACAUUUUCAGAGCUUUUCCUCGUGGCAUCGUAUCCGUUAAUAACUUCGACCAGCUUAAAACUUUGGUCUUUACUUGUUUGACCGCAAAGACAAUUUUUUGUUUGUCGCUAUAGUUGCAGCUUUCAAAUACCAUCUCUAUUUCGACAUGAUCUUCAUUGUGAUUUGACGAAACAUAUUUGGACGGUUAUGCUUUUCAUGGCCAAUUUUCGAAGAAGUACUUCUUUUAAAUUGACGAGUGUGACAUCCACCAUUUUCACGGUCAGAAAAGACUGAUUUUGUUUAUGCUUUAUAAUAAAAUCAGAGUAACCUUUUUAAAGAAAAGUGUUGUGGAAUUUGUUCCUAAAAUAAAAUAUGAUAAAGAUUUAUCAAAACAUUUCCAAAGAAAUGUAUUUCAUUGUAUUAAAACCUUGGGAUGUCAUUAUUAAUACAAAUCAGAAACAUAAGCAGUACAACAUAGGCGUUACAACAUUUAUUUAAAUCUACUAGCCUAUAAACCAUAAUCCUCUCGUCAAGUCAUCCAACUAUGCUCUUGCCACUACCUAUAAUACAAGAAACUGAGCCGGUCAGGCUUGGGAGCCUGGUGAGCACAUAGGGUUUUCAACCCACAAUAAAUAAUUUUGUUAAUUUCAACAAAUGAAAUAAACCAGAUUACCCGUUUCUAUUUAUCCUCACAUUACGUCCCUAAAACAUCUAAUAUAAGGGACAUAGCCUAAGGAUUAUUGUAGCACCUGGUUCCUAGUACGUAAUCCUUGUAAUUAAUAUUUCUUAAUUUUGCAUUUUUGCCUUGGACUUGGCGAGUUGAAGAACCGACUCGUCGAGUAGAAGCGGGAUGAGAAGCGGGGUCUGAGCUUUGGACUCGGCGAGUAGACCCUGUUUGGGCAAAAACCCUAACCAAAGUGUUUGCACCCUAUUUAAACGCUCUAACUUGGCCUCCUUUGUCCCGAACACUCCCAGAGAGCUGAAGAGCGAAACCCUAGCCCCCAUUUUGUUCUUGAGAGUGAUUUUUGGCUUUGUGAAGAAGGUUUGGAGCUUAGAAGAAGAAGAAAUAGGUUGUAGUGUGCAAAGAGGGGAAGUAGAUCCGGAAUCUACACUACAAGAGGCUUCCAUUCAGCCGGAGGAUUACCGAUUCAGCAGUCAGGCGCUUAGCAAGCAGAUUUUCAGCAGCUACUUUUCGAGGUGAGUUACCUUCCAGUAGCGGUGGGUCUAAGGCCACAAUGUCGGCCCACCAGUAGGAGACGUAUGAUAGAUGAGUGUCUUUGUGAUAUCAUCUAGGUUUGUUACUACCUGAUAUGUUAUAUGCUAGCUUGAUGUGUUAUAGUAGUAGAGUUCGGUUGUUAGGACCGAAGGGUAGUCAGAUACCCCAGAUACGUCUGACAGUAUGUGAUGAUAUGUUUGCAUGUUGGCUUGUUAUGUUAUAUGCGAUAGAGGUAGUAGGGGGUGAAAUAGUCCCCGAGGUUCGGUUGUUAGGACCGACGGGUAGUCAGCACCCCAGAAUGGCUUGACAUAGGGAGGGCGGCACCCCAGAAUGGCCGUACAGGUAGGUCGGCACCCCAGAAAUGCCUAGCAGUAUGUAUGUGAUAUGAUUGUAUGGUAUGUGGUACGAUGGGGGGGACUCACUAAGCUUUGUGCUUACAGUUUUCAGUUCUGGUGUCAGGUACCUCUUCAGCGAAGGGGAAGGAGCUGGCGCGGUAGCGGUACAUCAUACACACACAUUGGAUUUCCGCAUUAUGAGAUGUCCUGGGAUUGUACUCUGACAUUAUUAUUAUUUUCAUGUUUUGGGUUUUCAGACACGAGAUUUGUUUUAUGACAUGAUAUGAUCGGAUGAUGUUUUACUGCAAAUGUUUUACAAACCACUUAUUUUAAGUGAAAUUUUUGGGCGUGAAAAUUGGGUCGUUGCAAUUAUCAUCGGGGUAACAACAUUGCUUAGGGGAUACUGUGACAUCCCCAAAAUCUUGGCCAGAAAAGACCGAUUUUCAUUUAUGCUUUUAAAAUAUUUUCAGAGUAAAUCCUUUUGAUUUGAAAGAGUUGCGGAAUUUGUUCCCAAAAACAAAACAUGAUAAAACAAUGUUUACCAAAGCAUUUCAUAAAAGAAAUGUAUUUUCAUUAUAAUCAAAACUCGGGGUGUCAUGUUCCGAUACAGACCAAUAAGCAUAAACGAAUACAUUACAAGUCAUAUAACAAAUAUAAACAUAUGCAGACUUGUAAACAAAACAACUUGAUGGUUCAUCCAUCUCAUGCCCUUCCGCCACUACCUGUAAUACAAUUUAAAACUGAGUGGGUCAGGCUUGGGAGCCUGGUGAGCAUAUAGGGUUUUCAACCCACAAUAAAUAUCAUAUUUAAUUUUCACCAACCAACAAUAACCCAAUUACCCAUUCCCGUUAUUCUCACUUUAAUGUCCCUAAAACAACUAACAUAAGGGACCUAGUCUAAGAAUAUUUCAUCGGGGCGACAACACAUGCUUCGGGGGUACCUCAGCAAUAUAAGUCAAAUAAGGCAACCAUGAGGGGGAUGGAGUACAGCGAAUGAACACCCAAGUUCAUUAACACCUACAGGUGGCGAACCUGCUAAUGUUUCCACAAGACUAUCUAGAAAAGUCCGUGGUCGUCAUCUAAACUCCGCUAGAUGACUAAAUCAAACAACAACGAGGCCUCUCAUCUGUUUAUUACACACCAACUAUCUACCCAUGUUCUACCCAACAUAUUAGUAGAUAAAAAUAUACAUUUUUAUACAUAGUUUAAAAACCUGUAUAGCAUGCUUUAAUCAACACAUAUUUCACAUAACAGAUGAGGCACACACACACAUAACACGUAUCUCAUAGAGAAUAAAUCAUAUCUAUGAGAUAGAAGAAAGUGAAUACACAUUCACACACAUAACCACAAAAUUAUACACAUAAUACGUAUUCCGUAUAAAAUACUUCAUAAUUAUGCGUUAGAAGAAAGUAACUACACACUCACUUGAUCAGAAGAUGAUCGGACAGCACUACGACUUGCAGAAGUAGUAAUCCUCAGCAGAUCUGGAAGAUCUUCACAAAAAUCGAACUUCUCGCGGGCAGAGCUUCGGCUCGGGAACCGCACUUCUCGGGAUCUUCGGGAUCUCGGGACUUGCCUCGGGGCUCGAGUAUGAUACCGGGGCUUCGGGGUAUUUCUGGCACGCAAAACGAUGCAAAACGGGAGAGAGAAGAGAGAAAAUGAACAAAAGAAUCGGCUGCCUUCGGAUCCUAUUUAUAGGAGGCUGAAGCCUCGGAGUACGCGAGGUGUACUGGUCCGAAAAACGUCACUGCUUACGUAUCCGAAGACUCGAGUGCGAAUGUCGACAUCCCUCGGUGUACGCGGGGCGUACUUCGGAUCGGAUUGCUGACUCCCCUUCGGAUAAUACCGGAUUUUCUAAUAAAAAUUAAAUACAAAUUAUUUAAUAAACUUCGGAAAUUCAUCUCUUCUUCAUACGAACUCCGUUUUCGACGUUCUUUAUAUCCACGCGAAGGUGAGACUACGCUCUACAACUUUCGUUUAGACUCCGUCGGCUAAUUUUAACUUUAUUUUUAUUAUUUAUUUUUAAUAGGCCGGGACAGAAAAACUUCGUUAUAAAUUCAUAACUUCUUCGUUUGACGUCCGUUCUCGCCUAACUUUUUAUCGCUUCGAGACCAACAACGAGACCUUCGAUCCUCGUUUAGGUUGCUUCGGCUCAAAACCGCUCGAUCUCAAAUCGAGUAUUUCGGGCUGCACACCGCUAAACCGAAACUUCGAUAAAUCAUAACUUCCUCAUACGAAGUCAGAUUUGGGCGUUCUAUAUAUACAUUCGUAAACCUCGUUUCAACUACUACAUCAUCAACCAAAGAUAUCAAGUUUAUUUUACACUUUAAUUUUGACGCUUAUUUUUAUUCUUAAUUAAUCAAACCACAUAAUUAAGCAAUUAAGCACAAAACACAUAAUACUCAAAUAAUACAAUCAUAUUAUUUCAAAACGGGUUACAAAGGUUAACUUAGACUAUUACAUUGCUAAAAAUGGCAAGCCCGGAAACACAGGCGUUACAGAUACCUCAACAUUUUAUGUCAAAUAAGGCAACCAUGAGGGGGAUGGAGUACACCUGGUGAACACUGAGUCCAAAUAAACACCUACAGGUUGCGAGCCUGCUAGCGUCCCAUUGGACUGUCUAGAAAAGUCUAUGGUCGUCAUCUAUACUCCGCUAGAUGACUAGAUCAUCGUCAAUAUCGAGGCCUCUCAUCAUUUUAUUUCAUCACACGCCAACUAUUUCAUCUACCCACGUUUUACCCAACAUAUUUGUAGACAUAAAUUACAUAUACAAUUCAGAUCUAAAAAACAAAAUNUAUAUAUAUAGUUUAGAUCUGAAAAGAAAAGUCUAGAUCUGAAAUGAGAAAGUUUGGAUUUGAAGGAAACAGUUCAGAUCUGAAAGAAAGAGUUUAGAUUUGAAAGAAAAGUUCAUAUCUAAAAAGAAAAAGGUUUAGAUCUUUCUUCCAACAUAGAUCUCAGGUAAACAGAUAAUAUAUAUACACAUAACACGUAAUUUAUAUAAAAUAGUUUAGAUCUGAAAAGAAAAGUCUAGAUCUGAAAUGAGAAAGUUUGGAUUUGAAGGAAACAGUUCAGAUCUGAAAGAAAGAGUUUAGAUUUGAAAGAAAAGUUCAUAUCUAAAAAGAAAAAGGUUUAGAUCUUUCUUCCAACAUAGAUCUCAGGUAAACAGAUAAUAUAUAUACACAUAACACGUAAUUUAUAUAAAAUAUUUCAUAUUUAUGUGUAAGAAGAAAGUAAAUACACACUCACAUGAUAAGGUGGCGAUUCGGACAACGUUUUGCUUCUUAAAAUAAUCUCCAUUGAUGAAACCGGGAAGUUUGGUUGAAAACCGGGCUCUGCGGGGGGGCAAAGUUUCUAAACCGAAAAACUCUUUUUCUCGGAGACUUCGGGCGCUCCGGGGCUUUCUUCUAGUGCUAAGGAGGUCCCCUAGGCUUCGGGGGUGUUUAGGGUGGAUAGAGAGAGAAAGAGAGAGAGAGAGAGAGAGAGAGAGAGAGUAGAGUAGAGAGUGAAAGAAGUGUGAAAUAUGUGAGAAAACAUGGCUAGCCUCGCAUCCUAUUUAUAGUCAGGAGGUCUCGCAUUACGUUGGGCGUUCCUCGGUCUACAUGGGGUGUUCCUCGGUACGCAGGGCGUACCCUCGUACGCGGUACGGUUUGCGAGGUUCGGAUUUGUCACCCUUCAGAUGGAGCUAUGUGGCCAAUUCCGGACCUAGCCUUUGCGAACGCGGGGUGUUCUCUUCGGAUAGCCUCGAAAUAUGUACCUCUUACUUCAAAAAUUCAUAUAUUUUGCAUACGAGCUCCGUUUUCGACGUUAUUUAUAUCCACGCGUAGGCAGGACCGUACUCUACAACUUUUGUUUAGACUCAGUUGGCUAAAUUUGACUUUAUUUUUAAAGUUAUAUUUUUAACAGGCCGGGACAGGAAAAGUCUAUUAAAAAUUCAUAACUUCUUCAUCCGACGUCCGUUUUCGUUUUUCUUUUAACCGUUGAACUACUAUUGACGAGAUCUUCGAUUCUUGUUUAGGUUGUGUCGGAUAAAAAUCCCUCGAUUAUAAUUCGAGCUACGGGCUGCACACUGCUAUGCUAAAUCUUAGAAAAUUCAUAACUUCCUCGUACCAAGUCAGAUUUGGACCUUCUUUUUAUGCACGCUCUUGAUUUAACGUAUACUAGGAUUUUCAUUUAGAUCGCUAAGGCUAAAAUGCACUUUAUCGUAAACUCACUUUUUACGUCACGCAAUAUCGUGCUAGUUUUGUCGUGAAACUUUAACAGGUCAUAACUUUUUUGUGAUAACUUGGAUUUCGGCAUUCUUUAUAUGUCCGAAAUCCUUGUCACGACCACUACAACUUUCUUCAUAGAUAUCAGAUUUAUAUAACAUUUUAUUUUUGAUGCUUAUUUUCAUUCUUAAUUUAUUAUAUCAUUAUAAAUAAGUAUAUAAUCACAUAAAAUCACGUAAUUCACAUAAUAUUCAAGUAAUUCAUCUUUAUUACUUUAAAAUAGGUUACAAUAGUUGACCUUGACUAUUACAUCAUCAUACUAAUGUUUAGCCCAGAAACAAGGGCAUUAGAACGAGUAUGUUACUAGGGAGAAGAGAAAGAAAAAGAGAAACGGAAAACAUGAAGGUUUCACGAGAACUUCUCACUGAUAUCACUAUUCCCGUCGGUAACGUCAUGGACAUUGCCGGUGAUAAGGUUACCUCGUUACCAGAGGCAUUUUCGGUGAAAAACGACAUGAGUGAAGCUUUUCAUCGGAGUUGAUAGAGAGAAAAAGAGUAACACGGAAGAGGGAAGAAUGAAGUCGCUAAGGGUAUUAUUCGUGUCACACUUUAGCAACGAUACCAUUUAGUGGUGUCGAAAGACAUUUGUGGCAACUCGAAACGUAAUAGUCGCGACACACUUUUGAGGGAAUAAUUGGCAGAGGGUUCGAGUAUUAGCGGUGACACCGUUGCUGGUAUUAGUUAGUGGUGUGUAUGGGGCGGUUUGGUUCGGUUAUUGGUUAAAACCGAACCAUAACGAUUAUGAUUGGUUAAUGCAUUUUGGUAGCCAUUGGGUAUGGUUAAUAUUGGUUAUGGUUAGUAGUUUUUAUCGGUUAACGGUUUUGGUUAAUGGUUAAUAUUGGUUAACCAUAAUGUUCAAAAUAAUAUAAACGACGAAAGUAUUUUGGCAUGAAAAAUGAAAAUAAAAUACCAAAAAGUCCUCGACGCCGAUGUUUGUAACCUAACUUAUAGUAAUAUAAUAAAAUGUGUAUCUGUAAUACUUAGAGUGAGAUAACACAUAGUCACAUUUAAAAUCAAAAAUAUUUAAUAAAAAUAUAAAACAUUAAAAAAAUUGACAUUAAUAAUUUCAUAUAUUGAUAAUUGAUAUUAAUAUUAAAAUAAAGUCAAACAUUCAUACACGUUCAAUACGAUUAAAUUAAAACUAUUAAAUAAAAAAGCCAAACAUUCAUAUUCUGUGUUAUUAGAUAUAAAAAAAAAAAAAAGUCAAUCACUCAUCUACAUUCAAUGUGAUUAAGUCAAAAACACUAAAAAAAUUCAAAAAAUUAAAAAAAAAUACAUUCUUAAUAUAUCACAUAGUUAAAAAGAACCAAAAACUUAACUUACCUAGAAGUCUUGAGUAUAAAGUCAAAAAAAUCCUUCGAAUAGGACUAUAAAGUCCAAACAAUCUUUGAUUAUGAUUAACGGUGUGAGAAGCCUUCGAUUAGGAUUAUGAGUGUGAAGAUUAAACUAAUUGUGAAUAAUGUUUACAAAUUGUAGAAUUAGCCGAUUAUGAAUUACAACAUUAAUUAAUAAUCUAACUCAAUGUAUGAUUGGAAGAUUAUGUGUGUCUGAGUGAUCAGUCUUUGAUGAUUUGAUUGCUCGUUCGUCUCCUGGUAAGUGAAGAUUAAUAGAUUAUAUUUUCAAAAUUUUAAUGGAUCUUAAAUAAGUUUGACUAUAUNUCUCUUUCUCUCUCUCUCUCUCUAUAUAUAUAUAUAUAUAUAUAUAUAUAUAUUAAAAUAUAAAGUUAGCGGUUCGGUUAAUAAUGGUUCGGUUAACCUAUAAAACCAUAACCGAACCGUUAGUUAUUGGUUAACAAAAAUUAGAAACCGAACCAACGGUUUUUAAAAUGGUUCGGUUAUAACGGUUAAUUUGGUUUUGGUUCGGCUUUUCGGUUAUUAUGCUCACCCCUAGUAUUAGUUUCGCCGUUAUUGUUAUGUACGAAAUCAUUUUUCAAGUGUUGGAUUAUGACAAAAUCGACGAAUAGGGUUUAACCUCAGAUUUUGACGCGGAUCGGGGUUGAUGAGUUUCGCCUUUAGCGGUGACAACCACCAUUACAACGAGACCUAAUCUAAAUGUUGGGUAUCGCUUGUAAUGGUGGUUGUCGCAACUAAAGGAUUCGCCACUGAAGUCCUAUAUUGUUGUAGUGAUAAAUGUUAAACCUAAACACCAAUUUAAACACACCAACCACUAGAAAUUGGUGGCGACAAGUUCAUGGCAUUAAGAGCGAUAACAAAUGGUGUAUAAAUCCAUUAUGAUCUUCGUUGCGAUUUAACAGAACAUAUUUGGACGGUUAAUGAUUUUGAAGCUCAAUUUUGGAACAAUUUUUUUUUUGAUCCAUCAUGUUAUUAAGUUUUAAGUUUUUAAUUUUUUGAGUUGUUAUGGUUUAGUUUCUUGUUGUGUAAUUUUUAUUUUGAUUUAAUAUAAAAUUUAGUUUUUAAAAAAUUAAUUGCUAAAAAAAGUACUGAUGUUAAAAAAAUGAUGUUAAUCCGCCUAACCUAAAUGUAAAUGGUAUGUUGAAGACGGUGUGUAGCAAAAUCAAAUAUAAGCUGCUGGUUGAUGCAUCGGGUAUUGUAUUACGUGAGGUUGAUAGUUUGAUUUGUUGAAAUUAUCUUUUGUGUGUUUGAGAAUUCUUUUAUGGAAGUCCCUAUAAAAAGGAGUUCAAACUCAAAUGUUGGUUGAAAUAUUGCGAGUACACUUCACUUAAUUUGAUUGCGGUUAGGAAGCAAUUUAAUUUCUCAAAAGAUUAAAUGCCACUAAUAAAUUAAAAAAAUAAACUAAAAAUCAACACCAAAUUAAUGCCAAAGCUUUAAACCAUAUAUUACUAAAUUAAUUCACAUACGCCAUCAAAAAAAAAUUCAUGUCACAAACCCAUACUCAUAAAACUCACUUUCCAGGUACAAAGUUUGUAGCAUAUGACCAUGCAUUGUUUGCAACAGGGUCAGCAAGGUGGUCAGCGAGGUUCUCCAAUGGUCCCUUUCCGGUAACAAUGGCUUGAACAAAGAAUCCAAACAUAGAGAACAUGGCUAGUCUACCGUUCUUGAGCUCCUUCACUUUCAGCUCAGCAAAUGCCUCUGGGUCAUCAGCCAGACCCAAUGGGUCGAAGCUACCACCAGGGUAAAGUGGGUCAACUACCUCACCAAGAGGUCCACCAGCAAUUCUGUAACCUUCAACUGCACCCAUCAAGAUCACUUGGGUAGCCCAGAUGGCUAAAAUGCUUUGUGCAUGGAUCAAACUUGGGUUCCCCAAGUAGUCAAGACCACCCUCACUAAAGAUCUGGGAUCCAGCCUUGAACCAUACAGCCUCACCAAACUUGACACCAUUACGCGCCAAGAGUUCGGGGAAGACGCACCCAAGAGCUCCGAGCAUGGCCCAUCUGCUGUGGAUGACCUCAAGCUCACGGUUCUUGGCGAAUGUUUCAGGAUCAGCAGAGAGCCCAGCAGUGUCCCAACCGUAGUCACCGGGGAACUCACCGGUCAGGUAAGAUGGGGCUUCGCCGGAGAAUGGGCCAAGGUACUUAACACGGUCGGGGCCGUACCAUGGACUUCCUGAUGGUGCGACUUUCUUGACUGCUGUCUUCCUCAUGGAAACCCUUCCAUUUCCGGUGAUUUCUGAACCAGAUGGUGUUAUUUUCACUGCUUGUCCGAUGAAUGAAGAAGAUACAGACAUAGUGGAAGCUGCCAUUCUGUUAAAUUUGGUUGAAAGAUGUUGUGGAGAUAGGAGAGUUUGAGUUAUGAAGAUGGGGAGAUCUGCAAGUUUAUUUAUAAGGUGGUUUUUUGGUCAGAUAGAUAUGAUCGAUGCUUAUCUAGAUACAAUCUUCACCUUCAUUUUGAUUGGCAAACAACAUUCUAGUUUUAUCUAAGGGUCAGUAAUCUGCGUGCUGUGAGUUCUCUGGUCCACCAGAGAUUUUUGAAGGGGCUGCGGUAUAUUCAUGGCUCUGGUUUAUUGAGGGAAUGUAAUGGCUCCCAUUCUCAGCCACAAGCUGUUCUUGGUGGGGUUUUUCAUCUUUAACCAUUUUACAUUUUCACAAAGUUACAUAAAUAGUCAUCAUGCUUUACAAAGUCACCGGUUCAGCAACAAACUUUUUUUCCAUGAUUAAAAAUUCAAAACGGUCCGUAUGGUUUUAAUAUUAUUAGUAAUCAUCUUAACAUUUCUAAUUUUUAAAGACAAAUAUUCAUAUAAAUGGUUAUGUGAUUUUCCAGAAUAUCAAGUGGAGCACAUCAUUUUUUCGGUCUUAUGGAAUGACUAUUUGGUUUCAAUUCCUAUCAUAAUUGAUCUUAGAGCAUCCACAAUAGGGGAGUUUAAUGGAAGAGUUGAAUGAGGUGUCAUGCCUACUUGUCAUUCAAUGGAUACAACUCCACCAUUGUGAAAUGCCACCUUGGCAUUCAAUGAAUUUGGAGUUCAAUGGUCAUUGAACUCUUCAAUGGGAAAAAGGAAAAUCUUUAAAUCUUUAAAUAAAUAUUUUUUAAUAUAUUCCAUUGAACUUGUAGAGUUUAAUGCAUUGUGGGAUAAAAAUGAAAAGAGUUGUAUGGAAUAAUGAAUGAUGACGUGACACUCCAUUGAACUCUAUAGAGUUCAAUGCAUUGUAGAUGCCCUUAGUCCCACAUAAAUAAACUUUUAUACCCUUCUAUAUUAUAAUUAGUUUAUUUAAUAUAUAAAUAGCUAUGUUUUAUAGUUAACAAUAAAUUUUGUUCAUNNNNNNNNNNNNNNNNNNNNNNNNNNNNNNNNNNNNNNNNNNNNNNNNNNNNNNNNNNNNNNNNNNNNNNCUCUCUCUCUCUCUCUCUCUCUCUCCCAUCACACCCUCCUAAUCUUUAUUUCUUUCACUCGAUCGGUCAACCUCUUUUCUUUCUACAUAAAAAUUAAUCCAAAAUGCAGCCUUUUCCCAUACUCUGUGCUUGCACCGCCACUUUACCUUCUUGAAACCAAAUUACUAACCAUACACAAGUCUACAAAUCUACUAAUGUGUCUUCCAUUUCUCAAAAUCGAAAAAUAGAGAAGGUGUAGAACAUUGAGCUCACUUCUGUGCAUCUCCCACCUCUUUUACACAAAUAUGAAAUUAAAAUUGAAGAACAACUUUGUGAAGAACCUAGAUUGUGGAGAUGAUGAUGAAUAAAGUCGAUAGUUGGUGGUGCUCGGUGAUGUUUGAUGUUAGCGGCAGUACACUAGUGUUGUGGUGAUCGCCUGUUCAGUUGGUUAUAUUCUGGUAGGGUGGACGAUGGUGACCGUAGAACAGUUCAUAUAUAUAUNNNNNNNNNNNNNNNNNNNNNNNNNNNNNNNNNNNNNNNNNNNNNNNNNNNNNNNNNNNNNNNNNNNNNNNNNNNNNNNNNNNNNNNNNNNNNNNNNUAUAUAUAUAUAUAUAUAUAUAUGUGUGUGUGUGUGUGUGUGUGUGUGUGUGUGUGUGUGCGCGCGCACACUACAAGAAAUUUAGGUGUUUAUCCACACACGUUAUAUGUGGCUAAAAGACCUUUAUGUGUAGUUAUCUUUAGCUACACACAGAUUAAGUGUCAUAAUGUAUUGACUCAUGCCUAUAGAUAUAUAUCAUUAACUAUACAUUCAUUAUGUGGAAGUAUAGUGCAAUUAGUACACACAUACAUGUGUGGUUAAAACUAGUAAGUAUGUGCAUAUAGAAAGGGAGCUGAUCCGUUCACAACAAUUUUUCUCCAUACACAAUAAUUGAUGCUUUAAAAUGUUGUAUUAUACAACUAUAUAAUGCAUGAAUUGUUGUGUAUGGCAAAAAACUGUUGUGUACGAAUCACUUCCCAUAUAGAAGUACUAAAAAUUGUUUGAGUUGUCAACGAUGUGGCUGAUGACAUGUCAAAUUAUGUGGCAAGCCCACACAAAGUGUUGGUGAUAUGUGUUAUUCGAUAUGUGUGGGUAAUAAUUGUUAUAUGUGUAGGUUAAGAUAAGAUAUAUGAAAUAUAUAAAACACAAUAAAUGAAAUAUAAAAUUUAACAACACAAAUUGUUAUUACUUUUAAUAAGGAGUUAACGAUAUAUAAAACUUCUUUUGGAAUGGAAGUAUGUAGCACCCAAAGUCAGAAAGGCCAAGAAAGGAAAGGAAACCCUAAGUUUAAGGGACGACUCAGCAAGUCCAAGGAGGUACUCGGCGAGUCCGAGCGGGAUCCGGGUCGAGGAGUAAAUGACCGACUCGGCGAGUCGGCCAAGGAGACUCGGUGAGUCUGGUCUGUACGAGGAAAUCCCUAAAUUCGGGACUUGGAGCCUAUUUAAGCGCCUCAUUCUCUUCUCUAGGGUUCCUCUACUGCCUCUCUAACCNCUCAACCCCACCCCCGCCCCGCCAUAUCCAUUGUUGAGCCAAUUAUUGCUUUGAAGAGUGCAUUAAAGCUUGGAGAAGGAAGAAGGACCUUGGAGGUGCAAGAAGGAGCUAUAGAUCUGGGCUUGGGAAGAUAUUUCUGAACAUUUGGAGGUAAUAAACUAGUUCUUGGACUCCUUUGCACCUAGAUCUAUGUGUGAGUUUUGGGGCUUUUGGCCAUGAUUGGUACCCAUUUAAGUUAGAAGCCAGAUCUAAAGUUGCUACUUCGGAUAUAAGCAUAUUAUGGGCUUGUGAAGCAUAAAGUAUCAGCCCUUGAGUUGAUUAUGGAGCCUCUUUGCAUUAAACCCUAUUUUAUGGUGUGUCUAGCCUAGAUCUCCUUCUCUACACGUAAAGUUUGCAACUUUACGUGAGGAAUAGGCUUGGGAAGGGUAGAUCUACAGUUUGGGGUCCAUGCAUGACUCAAAAGUCCUCUACAUGUAUGUAGAUCUGAAUGGACUCGGCGAGUCCUUUGAGUGGACUCGGGGAGUAGCAUGAAGAUUAGGAGGAACUCAACGAGUGGGAUGAACAGCUCAUCGAGUCGGAUGAAGUUGGGCAGGAACUCGGCGAGUUGGAAGAACAACUCGGAGAGUCGGUUGAAGAUUGCCUUGGACUAGGUGAGUCUGUUCUUGGACUCGGCGAGUCAGGUCGCGAAACCCUAAACCCUUCGACUUGAGACUCGAAUCAGUGAGUCGAGUGGAGACUCGGUAAGUUGGACAGGUCAGGACUCGGAAAUCGGUAGACUCGGCGAGUCAUGGACUGACUCGGUGAGUCGAGUCGCGAUUGGAAGGACUUAGAGCAUAUGAACUCGGCGAGUCAAUAGGUAGACUCGGCGAGUAGGGUUGACCUGGAAGAUUGACUUUGAACAGGACUUUGACUUUGACCAGAGUUGACUUAGUUGACUGUUGGGGGUCAGUUAGUCUAAGUGUUUCAUUGAUAUUGGUAGCUCGGGGAGCUAGUGGAGCAGGAGUUCAGAGAGUUUCCGGGCAGCAUCCAGAAGGUUAUCAGCAUGUUCAGCAAGUGCAUGUGAGUUUCCCUUUGUGCCAAUGGGUCUACGGUCACAAUGUCGGCCCAUGUAGUUAUGAGUAGAAGACCCGGGGGUUAGCCCUAGGCACAGUAUGCUAGUAUGAUAUUCAGGACGAGGUCCAAUGAUAGCGGGCGGGUGCCCAAGGAAUGGUUUAUGUGAUAGUUUAUACUUGUUGUAUGUGUGAUACUUGUAUGUGUCUGGUAGGGAGGUGAGUGUGGGCGAGGUCCCGUAUCUCACCAAUAGCAGAGUGUGGAUGGUGUUCCACAUCUCAGUAGCAGCAGAGCAGGGGCGAGGCCCAAGUUAGGGAAGGAGUGAGGGUGGGCUGGGCCCGUACCUCACUAUCAGCAGGAGUAUGGACGGGGUUCCAUGACUCAUCAGUAGCAGGACAAGGGCGGGGCCCAGAGAUAGGCGAGGCCUUAGGACAAGAUCCGUUAGUAUGUGUUUAGCUUAUGUGAUGUGAUGUGAUAUGUUUAUGUGCUAUUAUAUGUUAGUGGGCGAGGCCCUGUGACAGGCGAGGCCUAAGUGAAACAGAUCUGUAUCCGAGCGGGGCUCGAAGCCAGGCGGGGCCUGGAGCGGCGGGGCCGUUGUAGCGGGCGAGGCCCGAGGUAGGGGGGGAGGCCCAGGAUAGCGGGCGUGGCCCAGCGUGUGCAGUAUGUGGUUAUGCAUGGUAUGUGGUAGGGUGGGGAACUCACUAAGCUUCGUGCUUACGGUUUUCAGUUUUGGUUUCAGGUACUUCCGGUAGCGGAGGGAAGAGCUCGGGGGUGAUCGCAUGGCACACACCAUAGAUUAGACAGUCUGGGAAUGUUUUACUCUGACAAUGAACAUGUGUUUUGGAAAAUUAAUACUCUGAUUAUGUUUUGAAUUGGUGACCUUGCUUAAAGAAAUCUUUUAUUAAAAGAAAUUUUUAGUCAUGAAUUUUGGGACGUUACAAGUUGGUAUCAGAGCCUUGGUUUGAGGGAUUCGGGCAUACUCUCGGGUGUGCCUGAACUCAAACUAAGGGGUCGGAUAAAAAGUUUUCAAAAUGAAAAGACAGUUUUCUAAAAAGAGAGUUUUGGGAAAGAAAACAGUUUUAGAAAAGCAAAAAGAAUUCAGAAAGAAAAGAACUUUGAAAAGAAAAAAAUGGUGUGGUGCAUGCAAUCAGCUGGUCUUAAGUAAGUACCCCAAAUUACCCAUACAAGUUUAUGUUAUGAUUAUCAGUUAGUAGAACAGCAUGCUAGAUUAGGACUAAGGAUCUAGGGAGGAUGCCUUAUGUGCCUAUUAUAUGUGCUUUGAGUUGCAUGAUAGUGUUGAUUAGACAGUGGUAGGAUAGCCUGUUUAGGUUAUGCCUGAGUAUAUGAGUUUGUGUUGCAUGCUAGUUCAGAUUCUUGCUAUGUGGAUAUGAUUGCUUAUGUAUGUUAUGGUUAGAUUUUCCCCUUGUCUGAAUGCUGCCUGCUUUGUGCAAUAUGGGAUUCCGAGUGAUGGGAGUAACCAUUAGGUGGAUACGUCACGUCACAUGUGAUCAGGGUUGAAUAAUCUCAGAGUGCUAAAUUUGGCCCUAUUUCGCAGCUCUCGUUUGAGUCCAACCAUUGUAGGGAUGAGUCUUUUACUCGAAGAAUUAUCUGAGCCUUGUCACAUGUGAUGGUGUCCAGUUGAUGGCCAAUUGGCAUCACAAGGAGUCCUUCAGCAGCUGAGGCCUGGUUUGGUGUGAGUCAGAGGUUUCCUUAGGGUAAGCCUAGGAUGAGAUAGUGUUGGGAGCAGUAGUAGUGGAUAAGGGACCUGGUGGAGUCGAAGCAAUUCCNGAGGAAAGUACAGAUAGAUAUGGAUGGUAGUAUGGGCCCGUACUACUGAAAGCAGAGGAUCCGUACUCGAUUCGGGAAAGGCUGAGACAAGACCGAGAACCUAGUAGGGUGAGUGUGUGUCUGGUCUCACAGCAGUGAUAAGUAUUCUGAUAGAGGAUGUAUUAUAUAUUCAGCAUGGUGACAUUGCGAGAGAGACCAGUGGGUGGACCAGGCGCCGGAGAGGGAUCGCUCGGGGUCNAGCAGCUCGAGGAGCGGAUGAGGGAGUUGAUAUCAGCUGAGGUUACGCGCAGUAUUCUAGAUCAGACUCCUGUGAUCUUUGGCACGGUCAAGGAGGGUAUAUUGGAGAUUUUGGAUGAGAGGCUGGGAGCCUUCCGUACCGAGAUGAUGGCAUUGAUGGGAGCACGUACCUUGACAUUUCGAGAGUUCAGGGCUUGCGGGGCACCAGAUUAUCAUGGGGCUAGGGACCCCAUCGCUAGCAGCAGAUGGUUGGUUGAUGUUGCCAAUGCAUUCCGUACGAGCCGGUGUCCUGAGGGGGACAAGGUUAGGCUCGCUUCUUGUCUUCUGAAGAACAGAGCAAGGGAUUGGUGGGAGGAGAUUAGUCAUGCCUUGGGGGAUGAUGUCGCGUUGGAUGCGAUGACUUUGAGCGAUUUCUCGUCCAGGUUCAGGGCGGAGUUUUCGCCGAUUAUUGAGGUGCAGCAGUUGCCACAGGAGUUUCAGGAUUUGACGCAGACCACUGAGACUGUGGCGGAGAUCACCGCCAAGGUCAGGGAGAGGGCUCUUCUUGUACCGCAGUGUGUCGCGGAUGAGGAGAUGAAGAAGGCCCGAUACCAUGAGAUGUUGAGGGAUGAUAUCAGGGUGUUCGUGAUCAGGUCCAGCUGUAAGACGCUAGAAGAUAUGAUUUCUCGAGCUAGAGAGAGGGAAAUUGAUUUGGAGCAGAUCCGGAAGAGGAAGCCGGAUGAGGUUUAGGUAGCCACAGGUUCGGGCAAAAGGCCUAAGGGAUCAGAUUCGAGAUCGAGGGAUUAUCAGGACCGCAGUCGGUGCGGGAAGUGUGGCAGGGCGCACAGGGGUGCGUGUAGGAGUGGUAGCGGUGGUGAUUCUGGCUGCUUCAAGUGCGGUCGGACUGGUCAUUUCAGUAGAGAUUAUACUGUUACCACCACACAGGGAUCAGACUUGAUAUGUUUUCACUGCAAUCAGCGGGGCCACAAGAAGGCCCAGUGCCCCAGUUUGUUUUCAAUAGGACGGGUGAUGACACUUGCCCCUGCAACUUUGAGGAUCACAGACGGCCGUCAGGGCCGUGCAGAGGCGCCUGCGGUAGGAGGCAGGUCUUUUCAGAUGACUACCUUGGAGGCGCGAGCAGCACCGGACGUUGUAGGUAUGCGAUUUUGUUUUCAGUUCUUUUAUUUGUGCAUGAUUAUAUUGUUAUGGUUCUGGAUCAUCAUUGGUUUGAGUAUUUUAUUUUUUGAGCGGUUGAUUGUGAUCGAGUUAUAUGCCAUCUUAAUACCUUGGAUAUUUGAAUGGUAGUUAGGAGAUGUGCUCUAUUAGAGAAGGUUUCAUAGGAUGCAGUAAUUGUAGCAUGCCUGGGAGGGACUUGGUAUGUCUCGCUAGAUCGGAGUUGUAUAAUGUUAGAGAUGGAUUGGUUAGAUCCCUAGCUAUGGUGAGCUUGGGUUCCUCAGCAGCUUGAUUAUGGAAUGGUAGCAAGGAUUGGGAUUCUUUUGAGUAUUGAGCAGCAAGGGGUAAGCAGGAUCGAAGUGGGGGAGAAUCCUCCGAGUGUGCAAAGGUAGGAUCACGCAGACCCAAAAUGAGUGCGCGACCUCCGAGAAGGAAAAGAAGUAGUUCAGCGUUUGAUGGAUUGAGGAUUUCAGGGUUGGGAUUUUGAGAAACUCCCCAUCAGCUAGUGCGUGUGAUGGUGAUGGUUAGUAUGUGGUUGGGAAUUCAGGUUGUGGAUCGCCCGUAGGACUCGAGGGAGUCGGAAUGAGGAUCUUGAGAGCUAAUGGCACAUGGGUGCCUUCGUAUUAGCAGUCAGUGGUAGAAAGUGAUGUAAGACUACGGGGCAGCCGUAGCAUUCACUAACAGUUAGUGGUAGAAAGUGAUGUAAGACUACGGGGCAACUAUAACACUCACUAGUAGUCAGUGGUGGAAGUGUUGUAAGACUACGGGGCAACCAUAGCAUUCACUAGCAGUCAGUGAUGGAUGGUGAUGUAAGACUACUAGUAAGCCGUAGCAUUCCUUAGUAGCUUCGUUAGCGGAGUUGGGGCGAGGCCCUUAUCUCCUAGCGAUCAGAUAGGGAUCAGGAAUGGGUAGUGGAUGAAAGUGAUAGGAAGUUUGCUUGUAUAGCCCUAGAGAGGUGAGACCUUGGGAGAGGCCGCUCCAGGAUAUAGUUGGGUGAGGCCUGUGGGCGAGGCCCGUAUGAGAGUAGCGGUAUAGGUGAGACCUGAGAGUAGGGUUGCUCAGUAGUAUGGCCGGGUGAGACCCGUAGGCGAGGCCCGAGAGAGAGUGGUUAGACAAGUAGGACUAGAAGGAUAGAGGCGGGGGGGACCCGUGGGCGAGGCCCGUGUGUUUUAGCGGCAUAGGGGGGACCUGGUAAGGACCUUAGUGUCAAGAUAAGGGAUCGGGGAUCCAUGGAUUGUAGUGACUGAAUGGCAGAAUAGAUUGCGCAGUUAUAGGUGGUCAAAGUUCCUUCGAAAGUCGCUGGGAGCGACUAGGAGUAGUGUUGGGACUAGCGACCGGUGGGAUCCGGUAAUCCAGAUAUUGGUAGGACGGUAGGGAUUAGGGUGGUCUCAGUUCAUCCGGAAGGCAGAUAAGGAAUAGCAGAAUUUUCAGUCAGUAGUAGUGCGGGUAAGCAGUGUAUGGUGGAAUUCAGUUAGUUGUAUCGAGGGGUGCUCGACACCAAGUUUUGACAGAGAGGAGUGUCAGUGGUUACUGGCGGUGAUGACCUGUACUGGAAGUAGCGGGGGUGAUGGAGUUGGCGAAGGAUAUGACCUUCACAGUGACAGAGGAAAUAGUUGGUUAUGGAGCAUUGCCUUGGGAAGGCAAGGAAUUCGCACAAGGAAAGAAGGGGUGAACCCCUAUAGGUUCAGUACAGUACUCGGUGAGUACCGGAAGGAUUGUCGGUUGAGUAAGUUGUGUUUCCAGGAUGUUCAGGGUCAGGGUGACCUGAGUCUAUUAUCCGCAAGGAAUGAUGUUAGUCAGAAUGACCGGGCGGAAGACCAGCGAAGGUAGGCAGCUGGUGUUGGAAUGAUUAGUUGGGUAUUGAAAGCAUAUCGCAGGCAGUGGCCCAUAGCAAACUUCGAGGAUGAAGUUUAGUUUAAGUGGGGGAGAGUUGUAACACCCAAAGUCAGAAAGGCCAAGAAAGGAAAGGAAACCCUAAGUCUAAGGGAUGACUCAGUAAGUCCAAGGAGGAACUCGGCGAGUCCGAGCGGGAUCCGGGUCGAGGAAUAAGUGAACGACUCGGCGAGUCGGCCAAGGAGACUCGGUGAGUCUGGUCUGUACGAGGAAAUCCCUAAAUUUGGGACUUGGAGCCUAUUUAAGCGCCUCAUUCUCUUCCCUAGGGUUCCUCUACUGCCUCUCUAACCCAGAACACCAAACCCUAGCCGCCAUAUCCGUUGUUGAGCCAAUUAUUGCUUUGAAGAGUGCAUUAAAGCUUGGAGAAGGAAGAAGGGCCUUGGAGGUGCAAGAAGGAGCUAUAGAUCUGGGCUUGGGAAGAUAUUUCUGAACAUUUAAAGGUAAUAAACUAGUUCUUGGAAUCCUUUGCACCAAGAUCUAUGUUGAGUUUUGGGGCUUUUGGCCAUGAUUGGUAUCCAUUUGAGUUAGAAGCCAGAUCUAAAGUUGGAACUUCGGAUCUAAGCAUAUUUUGGCCUUGUGAAGCAUAAAGUAUCAGCCCUUGAGUUGAUUAUGGAGCCUCUUUGCAUUAAACCCUAUUUUAUGGUGUGUUUAGCCUAGAUCUCCUUCUCUACACGUAAAGUUUGCAACUUUACGUGAGGAAUAGGCUUGGGAAGGGUAGAUCUACAGUUUGGGGUCCAUGCAUGACUCAAAAGUCCUCUACAUGUAUGUAGAUCUGAAUGGACUCGACGAUUCCUUUGAGUGGACUCGGCGAGUAGCAUGAAGAUUAGGAGGAAUUUGACGAGUGGGAUAAACAGCUCGUCGAGUCAGAUGAAGUUGGGCAGGAACUCGGCGAGUUGGAAGAACAACUCGGCGAGUCAGUUGAAGAUUGCCUUGGACUUGGCGAGUCUGUUCUUGGACUCGGCGAUUCAGGUCACGAAACCCCAAACCCUUCGAGUUGAGACUCGAAUCAGUGAGUCGAGUGGAGACUCGGUGAGUUGGACAGGUCAGGACUCGGAAAUCGGUAGACUCGGCGAGUCGAGUCGCGAUUGGAAGGACUUUGAGCAUAUGAACUCGGCGAGUCAAUAGGUAGACUCGGCGAGUAGGGUUGACCUAGAAGAUUGACUUUGACCAGGACUUUGACUUUGACCAGAGUUGACUUAGUUGACUGUUGGGGGUCAGUUAGUCUAAGUGUUUCAUUGAUAUUGGUAGCUCGGGGAGCUAGUGGAGCAGGAGUUCAGAGAGUUUCUGGGCAGCAUCCAGAAGGUUAUCAGCAUGUUCAGCAAGUGCAUGUGAGUUUCCCUUUGUGCCAAUGGGUCUACGGUCACAAUGUCGGCCCAUGUAGUUAUGAGUAGNGGAAGGUUGACUUUGACCAGGACUUUGACUUUGACCAGAGUUGACUUAGUUGACUGUUGGGGGUCAGUUAGUCUAAGUGUUUCAUUGAUAUUGGUAGCUCGGGGAGCUAGUGGAGCAGGAGUUCAGAGAGUUUCUGGGCAGCAUCCAGAAGGUUAUCAGCAUGUUCAGCAAGUGCAUGUGAGUUUCCCUUUGUGCCAAUGGGUCUACGGUCACAAUGUCGGCCCAUGUAGUUAUGAGUAGAAGACCCGGGGGUUAGCCCUAGGCACAGUAUGCUAGUAUGAUAUUCGGGACGAGGUCCAAUGAUAGAGGGCGGGUGCCCAAGGAAUGGUUUAUGUGAUAGUUUAUACUUGUUGUCUGUGUGAUACUUGUAUGUGCCUGGUAGGGAGGUGAGUGUGGGCGAGGUCCCGUAUCUCACCAAUAGCAGAGUGUGGAUGGUGUUCCACAUCUCAGUAGCAGCAGAUCAGGGGCGAGGCCCAAGUUAGGGAAGGAGUGAGGGUGGGCUGGGCCCGUACCUCACUAUCAGCAGGAGUAUGGACGGGGUUCCAUGACUCAUCAGUAGCAGGACAAGGGCGGGGCCCAGAGAUAGGCGAGGCCUUAGGACAAGAUCCGUUAGUAUGUGUUUAGCUUAGGUUAUGUGAUGUGAUAUGUUUAUGUGCUAUUAUAUGUUAGUGGGCGAGGCCCUGUGACAGGCGAGGCCUAAGUGAAACAGAUCUGUAUCCGAGCGGGGCUCGAAGCCAGGCGGGGCCUGGAACGGUGAGGCCGUUAUAGCGGGCGAGGCCCGAGGUAGGGGCGAGGCCCAGGUUAGCGGGCGUGGCCCAGUAUGUGCAGUAUAUGGUUAUGCAUGGUAUGUGGUAGGGUGGGGAACUCACUAAGCUUCGUGCUUACGGUUUUCAGUUUUGGUUUCAGGUACUUCCGGUAGCGGAGGGAAGAGCUCGGGGGUGAUCGCAUGACACACACCAUAGAUUAGACAACCUGGGAAUGUUUUACUCUGAUAAUGAACAUGUGUUUUGGAAAAUUAAUACUCUGAUUAUGUUUUGAAUUGGUGACCUUGCUUAAAGAAAUGUUUUAUUAAAAGAAAUUUUUAGUCAUGAAUUUUGGGACGUUACAAAGUACAUUAAUCCUUGGUACAAAUAUUACAUCAACAAAAGUUAUCUCUAAGCUUUCAUGAAAUUGAAGACCUUAUGCCUAACACAACCAUUGUAUCUAGAUAAGAUUUUCCUACUUAUUUACUUUGUUGUGUGCAAAUAUUAAUACACUUGACUUAAGCAUCACCAACAUUUGGACAUAAUUGUUGACGUUGAGGUGGUUGGUUAGAGCAUUAGUCAACUUUAAUAUUCAAGUGAAGACGUAUCAAAUACAAGUGAUUGUAGUUCACUCCUAUAGCAACAAGAGGAGCAGAGGCUUUAAGUAGUUUAUCCAUUUCAACAUGAAACUCUUUUCACACAUGAACGAUCUUAUGACACCUGUCAAAUGCCUCUUAAAAUAUACAAUCAACACUUGGUCAGUAGCUUUCUUCUCUGUGGCCAGAACCAUGACCUCUUCAUUUCCCUAUAUUAAUGAUGACAGGUUCAUAAACUAAAAGGACUGUAAAGUCAAAAUAGUUGACAUUAUGUUGACAUACCUAGUGGUGUGAAGAGAAGAAUAAAUAGAAUGUUUGUAAUAAACCCGCUUUCUUGGGUGAGGAAACCAUGACACUUGUUCAGAAAUGAAACAUCCCAACUAGCACCUAACGACUUUUGCUACAUUGAGAUAUACUAGCAAACAACAUAAGCAAAUCACAUGGAAAAUUAUUACAAUUAAUAAAACUCAUAAAUAAAGUGGUAAAAACAGCCUUGCACACACUCUUGAUUAAAAAAAUAGUUUAUAUUAGUGUAACAUCCCGAUUUCUCGAUAUCAGUUUAAAGUUCUAGAGUCAUGUUUCAAAGACAACUCGACGAGUUGAUAGGCCAACUCGUUGAGUAGUGACCAAAUCAGCCAUGUGGAUUUUAGACCCUACUCGUCGAGUUGGAGGACCCGACUCGACGAGUAGGUGCUGGAAAGUGAAAACCAUAAUUUUUAGGGUUUGCACCCUAUUUAAAGGUCCUUAACUUUCCUCCUCAGCCUCCCUUGUCACCUUCACGUCCAAAAAAACCAACUAGUCUCUAUUCUUGAGUGUGUGAGACCAAAAGAGAGUGUAUUGGAGCAUUCUUAAGGAGUUAAGAGCUUUGAACAAGGGAUAGCUUGUAGAUCCAACUUUUCCAGUGUUGUGACAACAAUAUUGAGUUAUAAAGCUACCACCUUUAUAUUUCAUUGCUUAGAUCUUCCUUUUUGGUAAAGUAAUUGUCAUGUCUAGGGCAUGAUGGGGUCACACUCGGAUUUAAGCUUGCCACAAGGGCAUAGUUUUAGAACUUGACUUCUUAAGGCCUUAUGAACAUAAAUCCUUAAGCUUUAUGAAGCCCUAGCCCUCCUUCAUGUCCAAAACCUUCUCCUAAUGCUAAUUAUGAGUGUUUUAGCUUCAUAGAACCAUGCAUGCAUGUAAAGUUAGCAACUUUAUGUGAUAACAACACCCUAGGAGCAUAGAUCUACUGUUUGGAGCUUUGGAGCAGCUUAAAAUAGUCUGAAUGAGUGAUGGACUGAAGGAGACUCGACGAGUUUCAUGGUUGAAUCGAAGAGUCGGUUGAAGAUUGCCCAUAAUGGUUUUGCAUGGACUCGGCAAGUCAGUAAGAAGACUCGACGAGUCAGUUAGGGUUCUUCCUGACAUUUAGACACGCGUAGACUCGCCGAGUUGGUGGGGAAACUCUGCGAGUUGGCCCAGGGAUUUCACGGUUUUCUGAGUUUUGGAGGAACUCGAUAGGUCAGUAGUUGGACUCGACGAGUUGGGUCAACAUGGACUGUUGACCUUGACUGUUGACUUGGAGUUUGACCAGGGUUAACCAUGUUUGACUUUGGAGGGUAUUUGGUAAAUGGGUAUUUAAGGAAAUGGAUCAUGGGUGGAUAUAGGUAAUGGAGUUUGGGGCAGUAUUUUGAGAGCGUGAUUUCGUGGUUUAGUUCGGCAUUGCAAGGUGAGUUAUCCUCACUAUAUCAACAGGGUCUAAGGCACCAAGGUCAGCCCUUUAUCUGAUUUGUAUUCGGGUAUUUGCUUGAUAUGUUUUUUGAUCUGCUAGAUCUGCAUCCUGGUAGUUAGGAUGGUAUUAUGUUUAGUGACCUGGUUUAGGUCAGUAUCCUGGUAUAUGGGAUGAUGUUAUGUUAGUGACCGGUUAGGUCGGUAUCCUGGUUAUAGGACGGUUGUUGUGUUAGUAAUCAGUUAGUUUGGUAUGAUUAUCUGUUGUAUACAUGCUCGCGUAUAAUAUUUAUGUGCACAUGAUUGUUUGAUUGUUAUGGGGGUUGGGUUGAGGCGGGUCCUGCUUCGUGUUGUAGGCCAACAUACCCAUGGCGGACCGGAAAGACUACAGGCCCAGGAAGGCACAUUGUCCAACCAAUGGCCCAACGAGCGGUCCGGAUAGGCUGAAGGCCCCGAGAGGGUGGUCCAAACGUGCCGAGGCUCGGAGAGUGGGCCAGGUGGACUGAAGGCCCGGUGCGGGCGGUCCAGUCAUACUGUAGACUCAAAGAGUGGACCAGGUGGACUGAAGACCCAGUGCGGGUGGACCAGUCACACAGUAGACUCGGGAUGCAUGGCUGUUCAGUGUUUGUUAUAUGAUAUGAUUAUGGAUUGUAUGAGGUUGGUAUUUUGGGGGUAACUCACUAAGCCUUCGAGCUUACGUUUAUCAAUUUAUGUUUCAGGUACAACGAAUUAACCCAGGAAGACGAAUGUGUGAUCGUACACUUCCCCAUAAUAUGUUUUGGAUUUUCUGGGAUACUCUGAUGUGAAACUAUUUUGGAAACCUUUUUGUAAUAACUAUUGGCAUUUGAAAUGUUUUUAAAAGUUUAAAUUUGGCUUGGAUUUUAUGGGUGUUACAAUUAUUUCAAUUAUCCAAGACGAUUUUAUGUCGAGAUUUUAAGUUAACAUUAAAUCUCAAUUAUUUGUUUGAAUGAUUUUUUUCUUUUAUCUUAGAGAUUUGUUUGAAAUUUAUUAAUUUUUUUUAUAAAUUUGAAUUAAUCAAAGACACAUAUAAAAAUAUCUCAUCAAAUCAAAUAAAUUUAAUAUAUAAAAAAGAUAGUAUCCGAUUAAGUCAAUCUAAAAAUACCAACAUAUAAAUAUAACUCACAAAUCUUGAUGGGAAUAAGAAUCAAACUCAAAAUCAAUCAAAUAAAAAAACCUUUGAUUUGUGUUAUAAGUAUAAAAUAAAUCAGGAUUCCAAAUAAAUAUUACAAUGAAAAAAAACCUAAAAUGUUUGAAACAAAAUAUGAAAUUCGCCAUCACUGUCAAUUUAAAAAAAAAACCUUUAUUAAUACUAAUGGGCUAUUUGGUAGCAUCCUGAUGAAUCAUAUCUGAAUGAUCUAGAUGCCUGGAUGAUCUAGAUGCUCUUUAGGAAUUUCUAUCGGAAUGAUAAAAUAAUGUUUGGUUAGGCAUCUAAAUAUCUGCCUCUUAAUGAGGAAAAUAACCAUUUUAGCCCUCUAAAUUAUUUUUUGAAUACAAAAUAAACAUUAUACAAUAUCCAACAAAUCGGUUAAAACAAAUUGGCUUUUGAUAUUCAGAUUCAUGUGUUUCUUCAUCAACAAUCUCUUUGAAGAGGACUCGUUUUGUUUCUGUUUUUAGAUCAUUAGGCUUUCUUGCUUCUGGAACAUUGAUGGGCCUAUUUUCUUGCUGAAUAUCUUCCAUCACUAGCAACUUCAUCUUGCUCCUAGAUCACAUAUCAACUAAACAAGUUGAAAAAUAACCAAACACAUAUUUUCAUAUAGAACAUUUCAAGCAAACACAAACACAUUUUCAAAAAAAAAAAAACAAAUCAAUUGUUAUUUUCAGAUUUCCAAAGGACAAAAACAACAUCAACUGAACACAUAUAUAGAGCAAGAAGAACAAAGCACAAAAAUCGAUUUCAUACAAAAUCGAGCAGCAAGAACACGAUUGACACCAAUUUCAUGCAAAAUUGCUCAACAAUAACACGAUUGAAGCAACAGAUUCGAGAAAAAAAACCAUACCUGAAAACUUACCGACGACGAGUAGGCGGAGAAGUAGGAGCGUUGUCGAAGGCAUGCAAGGGGAGGCGGCGACGGAGCCAAUAAUUGGAAGUUGUCAACGCUUAAUGAAGAUAAAGAAUGAGGGAUGAAAGGUCGAUCUCUAGAAAGAAGGAGAAGAAAAAAGAGUCGGCCGCAAUUUGUUGUUAGGGCAAUGGUAGAAGAUGAAAAUUUUUUUAUUCAGACUUCUCCUCAUAUCUUAACGAAUCAGAUUAGUUUUAGCUACAUCUGACCGAUUAAGAGCGUAAAAAUGUUUCAACCAAACACUCUGAAUCUUAAUGAUCCAAAUGCAACCUCUUAAUGAGACCAUUAAGAGGCAAAACAAACAGCCCCUAAAUAAAAAAAACAAUAUAGUUUCCAUAAAAAUCGAUUUAAAUAUUAAAGAAGAGAAGAAAUCAGCAUUUAUACGACGUAAUAGUUUUUUAAAAUUAAAAAAAAAAAAUUAUUCAUAUUAUAAGUAUAAAAUACAUUUUAUUCUUAACUCUCAUUUGUAAUUUGCCAUAUGUUUUCAUAAGAGUUUAUGGUAAUAACUUAAAUUUUUAUUUUUCCAUAUACCAUUUUUCAUUUACAAAAUUGUUUGUGCUUAUUUUUUUUUGUUAUAUUAAAAUUUAUUAUAUUUUAUUAUAUAAUAUAUAUCAUAAUUUUUUUCAUUAAUUUACAUAUAUCUUAUUUUUACGUGUUUAUUUGAAACAAUCGUUAUAAUGCAAAAUAAAUACCACUUCUCCAUAUUAAUUAUUAAUUUUUAUUAAAAUACUUUAUUAAUUAUUAUAAUUUUUAUCUAUUGAUAUUCGUUUAAUUUUGUAAGUUUUAUUUUCACAAAGUAUAACCUAAUUAAUUUCUCAUCAUCUAUAGUAAAUGAAAGUUUUUUUUUUCACAUGCAAUCACUAAUUAAUUUUGACACUUGUCAUUUUAUAAUAUUUUUUAAAUAAAUAAUAUCCACAUAUCAAUUUAUGAUUUUUNNNNNNNNNNNNNNNNNNNNNNNNNNNNNNNNNNNNNNNNNNNNNNNNNNNNNNNNNNNNNNNNNNNNNNNNNNNNNNNNNNNNNNNNNNNNNNNNNNNNNNNNNNNNNNNNNNNNNNNNNNNNNNNNNNNNNNNNNNNNNNNNNNNNNNNNNNNNNNNNNNNNNNNNNNNNNNNNNNAUCAAAUGUAAUAAAUAUUAUUUUAAAAUUUCAUUUUAAAAAAUAUUUAUUAUUACAUUUUAAUAUUUUAUAUUCUUUAAUCAACCGUGUAAUACAUUUUAAUACAUAGAUUUUCCAUCUAAUAAAUAAAUAAAAUGUAACCAUUUUAAUCACUAAAUAAUUAAUCAACCAAAGAUUAAAACCCACUGAUAAAAAGGAAACUAAAUCAACACCAAAUUGAAAAUUAAACCAUAUAUUACUAAAUUAAUUCACAGAGAGUUCGACAUCAAUCAAAUAUUAUCUCGCACUCAAAUUCACAAAACUCACUUUCCAGGUACAAAGUUUGUAGCAUAUGACCAUGCAUUGUUUGCAACAGGGUCAGCAAGGUGGUCAGCGAGGUUCUCCAAUGGUCCCUUUCCGGUAACAAUGGCUUGAACAAAGAAUCCAAACAUAGAGAACAUGGCUAGUCUACCGUUCUUGAGCUCCUUCACUUUCAGCUCAGCAAAUGCCUCUGGGUCAUCAGCCAGACCCAAUGGGUCGAAGCUACCACCAGGGUAAAGUGGGUCAACUACCUCACCAAGAGGUCCACCAGCAAUUCUGUAACCUUCAACUGCACCCAUCAAGAUCACUUGGGUAGCCCAGAUGGCUAAAAUGCUUUGUGCAUGGAUCAAACUUGGGUUCCCCAAGUAGUCAAGACCACCCUCACUAAAGAUCUGGGAUCCAGCCUUGAACCAUACAGCCUCACCAAACUUGACACCAUUACGCGCCAAGAGUUCGGGGAAGACGCACCCAAGAGCUCCGAGCAUGGCCCAUCUGCUGUGGAUGACCUCAAGCUCACGGUUCUUGGCGAAUGUUUCAGGAUCAGCAGAGAGCCCAGCAGUGUCCCAACCGUAGUCACCGGGGAACUCACCGGUCAGGUAAGAUGGGGCUUCGCCGGAGAAUGGGCCAAGGUACUUAACACGGUCGGGGCCGUACCAUGGACUUCCUGAUGGUGCGACUUUCUUGACUGCUGUCUUCCUCAUGGAAACCCUUCCAUUUCCGAUUAUUUCUGAACCAGAUGGUGCUGCUUUCACUGCCUGUCCGACGAAAGAAGAAGAUAGAGCCAUGGUGGAAGCUGCCAUUUUUGUGAGAUUUAUUUUGAAGAUGUUGUGAUGGUUAUACUUAUGAAGAUGGGUAGAACUGGAAGUAGAUUUAUAGGGUAGUUUUUGGAUCAGAUAGGUGAUCAAUGCUUAUCUUGAUACAAUCUUUAGCUUCAAUUUGAUUGGCUACAGAGAUUCUUGUGGGUCCGUAAUCUGUGGUGUGAGUUCUCUGGCCCCCCUGAGAUAUUUUGAAGGGGCAGGAUAUUCGUGGCUCUGGUUUAUUGAGCCAAUGACUGGCUUUCACUCACUACUCUUAGUGGUGGUUUUUUAUAAUAUGCUGUAAGCUUGUAACCAUCCAAUCGUCUAAGUUUAUAACUGACCUAUUAUUACAAAUAUAUACUAACCAGGCAAAACUUUUGGUUAUAAAAGUUAAUGUGACCGAGAGACUAACACAAAAAAUUAUAACAGGAGUAGUUAAUAAUCCGCGAUUUACCGCUAUGCCGAGAGCCGUAGGGAGGAUCCACCAUUUACCCCUAAGUGUGCAGAAUGCCUUUUUUUUUUUAGUAUUAAAAUAUCAAGAUCGGACACGCGUUGUAAAAUUCUUGUUCGAAUUGUUUGCAAACUCUUCGUCACAAUAAGGGGAGUUUAAAUAUGCGUUUUAAUAUAAUAACAUUGGCAUUGAUUAAAUGUUAAUAUUCAAUUAUCAUCCCACAUGAGAAUGAAAUAUAUUAAUGAUUUAUUAAUCUAAAAACAUUAUCAUCCCACAUGAGAAUGAAAUAUAUUAAUGAUUUAUUAAUCUAAAAACAAUUUUUUUAUGUCAUUAUUUUUUGGGGUUACAGUCGAGCUUGGAGGAUCUCGACUUUAGGUAUGCCCAUUUUAUUGAGAGGAAUUACUAAUAAAUUUCGGAAAGAGGAAAAAAAUAUGAUCGUGGACAUAUGGUUUAGGAAUAUUUUCAUGUUCGUUUGACACAAGUAAAGUUCUUGAAAUGGGUGCUUCAGUUUGUACGAGCGGCUAACUUGAUAAAGUUCAAAGACAUAAAGGCAAUUUUCAAAAACUCACAUGAUCAGUUAUCGAACAAGCAUGUCGUACUAGUGUGCCCACUACACAUGUUAGUUAGCGGUUUCAAUAGGAAAAGAGCAUCAUUAGCUGUCAAUGAUAAUAUUCUUUCUCUAGUACUCGAUCCUUACGACUUUUAUAUUUAUAUCAUGUAAUUUAGAAUUUAAUUUAAUUUCUAUUAAUCUUCGAUUACAGUUUAUGUGAUCUAAUUCAUGGAUGUUUUGGCACUACAUAUCUCAAUGGAGUAUGCCAGGGAAAUUUUGGUCAUAACAACAGCCUCCAUGGGUUUAUAUAUAUUUUUAAGGUACAUAUAACAUCCUAUUUUUAGGCUUAGAAAUUUUGGUCAUUUAUAGUGAAAAUAAUUUUUUUUAAUAAAAAAAUAAAAAAGGAAAAAUAAAAAUAAAAAGAAUGACUGAAUGAAUACAUGAGCUAAUAAAAGGUUUAGAUCAAAUGUUUAAAGAAAAUAGCGAAUUUAUACUUAAAAUAGGAAAUAAAUAAGGAAGGGUCAGUGGUGGCAACUUUGGAAAACUUGUUUAAUUUAGAUCUAACUAGACAAUUUAUUUGUAAAGAGUUAAAAAUGUAACGAAAUGAUACUUAUAAGCUUAAGAGGGAGUUUUUCAGUUGGAAAUGUUGUUAGAAACCCUUAUUGGAAAAAAUUAGGACAAAAGGACUAAAAUUGUCAAGUUGAUGAAACUUGUGUUAACCUUAAUGUAACGACCCUAAAAUCUUAAAUUAUGUGUUUAAUUACUUUGUAUCAUUUUGUUGAAAAAUGAACAUUAAUGAUGCAAUAAUCAAUUUGUUAGUAAAUUUCAUUGUAUAUCCUUACAUUUAUCAUGUUAUAAUCGAAAAUAUAGGACAUUUCAGCAAAAAAUAACCCUGUAGGAAAGUCGCAUUACACCUCGAUAUAUUCGUGUGGAUAUAAAUUCUAUGAAAAUCCAAAUUUGUAUGACGAAGUUAUAGUCAAUAUAAGUUGGAAGUACAAAUUUUAAUGUUUAAAUGUGUAUGUUNNNNNNNNNNNNNNNNNNNNNNNNNNNNNNNNNNNNNNNNNNNNNNNNNNNNNNNNNNNNNNNUAUAUAUAUAUAUAUAUAACAUCUCAAAACCAUAAUAACCAUAACAUAAAAUCAGAGUUUCAAAACAUAUUAUCUCUCUAAACCAUAACAAUCACUGGAUGAUGUGUAGAGUCACGUGUAACAUCUCGUUUAAAAUUAGAUAAAUAAAAUAAAAUAAGUAAAUAAAUUAGAUAAAAUAAGUAAAUAAAUAAUAAACCCUAAAACCUCAAGAUGAAUUUUAUAUUUUUAUGUUAGCCUUAAAUCCAUAAUAAUUAUCAGAGUAUUAGCGCAAUAAGUUAAAUGUUAUUAAUUCUGGAAAUAGGGGUUUAAAAUGUAAAUUUCGAACUAGUUAAGAAUAGAUUUGUGGAAGCUGGGGAUUGUUUGGUAAUUUGGACUUGAAUUGAAAGGAUUAUUGGAAACAGGUAUAGAGUAAAUUACAGAUUUAAUUUGUAAAGGAAUUGAGAUGGAGGGACUGAAAAUAUAAGAAAGGGACUAAUGUUUGAAGAGAUAGGCAUGACUUAAACCCAUUCCCCCUCCACCCUCUUGCUACUCGGUUGCACCCAUAUAAACCCUAACCCUAAUAUCUUCUCAGCCGCCACCUUAUCCCUCCAUAUCUCCAGUCGCUUCCAUCACCUGUGUCGCCGUCAUGAACCACUGAGCACCACUGCCGCUGCUCCCACUGCCGAUGAAAACGAAGAUCAACGUUUGGACACCGUGACAGUGGGGAAGUAGGAAGAAAGGAAGCUCGUGGUUGUUAUUGCUGUUAUUCUCGGUUAGGGGUCGCAAAACCUUUCUCUUCUCCGUUUCCUUUUGUUGCUACGUUGUCAUCGUCAUCGCUCCAUGUGAGGGUGGUUGUGUUUGUGUUUUGUGAGUGUAGGUGUGUGUUGCUGCUGUGGCAAGUUGGAGAGGUGUGUGUGUCUUUUGUUGGCCAGAAAAACGAAGAGAAUCACCAUGGCAACCAACCAUGGUGGUUUUCACCGUUCUGGAGCCACUAGCCACCACCCUAGGUGGCUGUGUGUGUUGGAUUGACAUUUCUUCUGUACCAGGAUGCUUUUGAUAGUGUUUGGCCUAAAAUUAUAACUACCACCAUUAAAAAGUGGUGGCUGUCGCCUCCUACCGCCAUGGACCGCCGCCGACCACCAAUGCCCGAGGUGGCAGUGGGUGGUGUCUGACUUACUAAACAUUAAAUAACCUAAACAUCUAACCUUAGACCGAGUGGUACGUGUUUGGGUUGGAAACUCUUACUAGGCUUUAGAAAAUCCUAA
rnacentral:lncRNA from 1 species